rnacentral:lncRNA from 1 species
UCCCUUGCUCCUCCCUCUUCCCUUCUCGUUUUUCUCUAUUUUUUCCUUCUUCUUUCUCUAUUUCUUCCUCUACCUCCCUGCUUUUUCCUCCCUCUUCCUUUUCCUCUAGGACCUUCCUUCUCCUUUUUCUGCCUUAUUCCUUUUCCCUUUCCUUAUCAUUCCAUCCUUUUCCUUCUCCUACAACCUCCUUCCCUUUCCCCCUCUCCUCCUCUCACUUAAGGGUCUACGAGAAAAGGAGGAAGGGGGGAGGAGAAUUGGGGGAAAGGGAGGAGCGAAGAGAAGAGGGGAUGAAGAAAGGGGAGAGGGGUUGCAGGAGAAAGGGGAAGGGAUGGGAUGAGCGCUGCCAGUGAAGGAAGUAGGAGAGAAAGAAGGGAAGGUAGAGAAAUGAGAUGAAGAGAGGGAGUUAAAAAAGAAGGUGGAAGGGAUGGGAAGAGGGCUACGGAGAAGUAAAAAGGAGAGAGAGAAGGGAAGGAGAAGGAAUGAGAUGAAGGGAGAGGGAUAAAAAAGAAUGGGGAAGAGAGGGAAGGGAAGAAGGGAAGAGGGGUGAGAAGGAAGAGUGAAGAGGAGAAAGUAGGAGGAUGAAGGGAGAAGAGAGGAGUGAUGGUGCUGAUAGAGGAGAGUAGAGGAAGGAAUGGUUUUGGUAUCGAAAAUCAACGGACUUUUAAAAAUAUCCUAAUAGAAUUUUAAAUUUUAAAAACAUUCAAAAAUAUAUCUACGGAUACAAUGAUACAGUGUAAUUUGUGAAAAACAUCUAAAAAAACACUUCAUCCAUUCAAACUAUUUUUUCUUUAUUCCCAGGCCCAAGGAUAAGGUAAUGGCAACCCUACAAGUAGAAAAUUUAUUUUAGCAUGCAAUAAGUUCGUGGCAUGUCUAAUAGUUAGCCAGUCGUCGGGUUAGAUUUCUUUUUUUUUUUAAUGAAAAUACUCCAAACAAGACCGUGAAAACUUAUUUAGAGUUAUCUUGACUGUCUAGUAAACAUACAUACUGAAGAAGCACGGAACUUCCCCGGAACGAGCUGACCUGAUCAGCUCGGGGUGCUGAUGGAAGAGCUGGCUCCAAGCCUGCAAAACAGAUAAGAGUGAGCUAACAAAGGGGGUCCGAGAGUUGUCCCGAGAGCGCUCCGACGAUCAAGUUAGUUUUCCGGCGGGAUGAGUUCACGGGAAAUAUAGACGGCCGGUAGCAAUUUGCCAAUAGUGAGCGUACCUUGUACAGUUGAUGUGUUCUAUCAUUUAUACCUGUGCGGAAAUCCGACCUCCGUACGUUUCGGGACCUGCCCAGCAUAGCCCCUAUCCCGCACUCAGGGGGAUUGUCCCCGACCUCUUCGGGAAGGAUGUUCGCCCCCUCCAGGAGCCCUAGCAGCACGGCCCAGGACGGCUGCCAGGGGCCUGGGGCCAAAGCCCAGCUCGGCCGCACCUGGGCUGCCACGUGUCCAGGCCCAGGACGGGGCCUUGCAAUAGCCCCUAGAUUAAGUAAGACUUCCAGGCAGACCUAAUCUAUACUCUGCCACGUAGGAGACCAGCGUCGCGCACUACUCUGCCCCGGUCACCUCUGGUACAGUGCUGUCACUGAGAAAACCGCGCCGAUCUCCUGGGUCGAGCGUCAAACUCCCAAGUUUCGACAAACUUGAUCAAUGCGUGCCGACCUCAUGGGACCGAGCAUCAAAUUGCCACUGACAUGGUUUAAGCCCCCGACUUUUAAAGAUUUGAGCCUUGCCGACCUCCUGGGUCAAACAAACUCAUUCAAGUUAAGGCACAACGUGCCGACCUCUUGGGGUCGAACAUCGCACUUUCCGACUUCAAAAUUUUAAGCCGUGCCGAUCUCUUGUGGCCGAGCAUCAUACUUUGAAGGCAGUCACGCCGACCUCCCGGGUCGAGCGUCGAACUCUGAUUUUAGCGGGUAUGCCAACCUCUUGGGGUCGAGCAUCACAUUUCCAAGGCAGUUAUGCCGACCUCCUGGGUCGAGCGUUGAACUCCCUGAUUUUGGCAGACGUGCCGACCUCUUGGGGUCGAGCAUCACAUUUUUCAGGCAGUCAUGCCGACCUCCUGGAUCGAGCAUUAUAUUCUCAGGCAAUCGUGCCGACCUCCUGGGCCGAGCCAGCAUGCUCCCUGGUUUUGACAAGCUGCCUCAAAGUAAGUCACGGCGUGCCGACCUCUUGGGGUCGAGCAUCACACCUUCAAGACGGUCAUGCCGAUCUCUUGGGUUGAGCGUCAAGCCCCCCGUCUUUAACAGGCGUGCCGACCUCUUAGGGUCGAGCAUCGCACUCUCAAAUUUCGCAAUUUCAAGCCGUGUGCGGACCUCAUGGGGGGUUUUUCCGUCCUCUCCGCUCUCCGAGCCCCCGAUCUGACUCUUUCUUCAGACGGGCUGCCUCCUCUACGUUGACAGCCGCUGCGCCCUUGUCAGGAGCUGCUCCAAAUUUUUGGGAGGCUGCUCGGCCAAAUCAUAGAAGAGUUCCUCUACCCUGAUCCCCGUUCAUGAAGGCGGCCAUUACCACUUUUUCGUUUUUGUCCCUGACCUACAAGCUCUCCGCGUUGAAACGGGUCAUGAAAUUCGCUCAGCGACUCGUCGGGCCUUUGCCUGAUGGACAUCAGGUGGGUCGCGGUUUUUCGCGUAGGUCUUCGAGGAGACGAACUGGGCUGCGAAACUGUCGAGCCAGCUCGGGAAAAUUCCGUAUAGACCCCGGCGCCAAUCCUUGGAACCGAGAGCCGUGCUUUCCCCUUCAGGAACAUAGGGAAAGUUUUGCAGCGAACUUCGUCCGCGGCAGUUUUGCAGACGCAUGUGCGUCAGGAAAAUCGAGAGGUGGUCUUCCGGGUCUGUAGAGGCAUCGUACAUCUCGAUGUUCGGAAUCUUGAACCUCCGGGGUAGUGGGUAGUCCUCUAUCUGUCGGGUAAAGGGCGAAGUAGCGUAGUCGUCCUCUUACAAACGCGGCCGCAGGAUCUGUUCGAGCUCGUCUUGAACGGGUUUCCGCUGAGGGGGUCCCGUGGUCGGCUCUUGACAGACCGGGCGGAAGAGCGGUCAAGCCCAUUCCGCACAGGCUUCCUCGGGGAGGGGUUCCUCAACCGGCUCCCCGCGGACCUGUCACGGGAGUACCUUUCACUGUCCCCGACCACCGAGGGUCGCGGACGAGGUGGAAUUCGCCGCGUUUCCUCCUGGGGGCUGAUCCAUGACUCAUCCUCCGAAGGGUCAGGGGGCAACUCCUUCUCUUUCCCCUUAGCCUUGGAAGUCUGCGCGCUUCCAGCCCCCUCUUUCUCCUUCGUUUGCUGGAUUAGGUCCUCCAGCAUCGGGAGGUUCUCCGUCACGAACUGGAGGAUCUGCUGUCUUCGCUCCCCUGAGAGGGCCGAGCCCCCCGCGCCCCCGGCCGGCCGCUCGGUCUCCGCUCGCCGGGAUCCCUCGCCGGCUCUCGGGCCGGUGCUCUCAACGGUUCGCUUGGAUCGUGCUCUUGCCAUCAACACAACAAUAAUUACCUUGCGUUUCCCACAGACGGCGCCAACUGAAGAAGCACAGAACUUCCUCGGGACGAGCUGACCUGAUCAGCUCUGGGUGCUGAUGGAAGAGCUGACUCCAAGCCUGCAAAACAGAUAAGAGUGAGCUAACAAAGGGGGGCCCGAGGGUUGUCCCCGAGAGCGCUCCGACGAUCAAGUUAGUUUUCCGGCGGGAUAAGUUCACGGGAAAUAUAGACGGCCGAGAGCAAUUUGCCAAUAGUGAGCGUACCUUGUACAGUUGAUGUGUUCUAUCAUUUAUACCUGUGCGGAAGUCCGACCUCCGUACGUUUCGGGUUCUGCCCAGCAUAACCCCUAUCCCGCACUCAGAGGGAUUAUUCCCGACCUCUUCGGGAUGGAUACUCGCCCCUCCAGGAGCCCUAGCAGCGCAGCCCAGGACGGCUGCCAGGGGCCUGGGGCCAAAGCCCAGUUCGGCCGCACCUGGGCUGCCACGUGUCCAGGCCCAGGACAGGGCCUUGCACAUACAUACAUUGAACUAAGGUUGUGGGCUGGUUAUUUGUUCAAAUUGACGGUUUCAUAUUAGUCAAAGACUAAACUGCUGGCUUGCAAUGUUAAUUUAUUGGACCGUAAUAAAAUCUCUCUUUAGAGUCACAAGACGGUUUAUUUUGAAGUAGCAUGAUAAGAUUAGAUCUUACAUAUCACCUGAUAAAAGAACAACUUUAUCACUUCGAACCAAUUCUUGCUCCGAGGUACACUUAUCACAAACCAAGCACUCAGUUACCAAGAUUUUGGAACCAGCCUUGAACAAGCCCAUUGCUUCCAGUGACCAUCUGUAACGGGAGGAACCAGACUUGAACAAUUGUGGAGCCCGAAGAACUGCAGGUUGGCGGGCUAAUGCAGAAACAGUUGUUUGGAGCCCUUUGUUAGUUGAGGCCCCCCAAUUACCAAAUUUUGCAGUACGUAAGGUUAAGGUUUUUUUUUUUGAAGGAAACUGUAAGGUAAAGGUUGAGGGAGAGACUCAUACAUCAUCCAAUCGCACCUUAACAGGGCUGACGUAACUCUACAUUAUUCUAUUAUCAAAAAAAAAAAAAAAAAAAACUCUACAGUAUUCUAGAAGCAGAAAGUCCUAGAAGCAGAAAGUCGCACGUGUAUCCUAACAACACAAAUACCCAAUAGCAAACGCAGCCAUAUUCAGUCUUUAAUAACCAGAACCAAAGCAAAUAUCCAAAAAGCAACAGCUGGCAUAUUCACUACUGAGUAAUUCACAGUUCAGCGCUCAGCCGUGAAAGAAUGGGAGUGGAGAAGCAAGUCGUAAGGCCCGGAGGGGGACCCAAACCCGUUCCCGGUCAGACCGUCUCCGUCCACUGUACCGGUUUCGGUAAGUGCCCUCCAUUUCCAAACCCCCUUCCUCUCUCCCAUUUGCACCUUUGCCUUUCACGCCGUUAUAUUAUUAGUGGUAGUCUGUUUCAUAUGAUUACCAAAGAAUACUUUUAAUUUUCCUAAUAAUAAGAAUAUGUUGUGUAUUUGCAGGAAAGAACCGUGAUUUGUCUAAAAAAUUCUGGAGGUAAUGACGCAUGUAAAAAAUUAUUUUAAAAAUUUGUGAUUUUUUUUAGUACAAUUAUUUUCAGCAUUACUUGCUUGUGAUCUGAAAUCCUUGUUAAUUAUAGCACCAAGGAUCCAGGGCAGGAGCCGUUUGCUUUCCAGAUUGGCCAGGGGAAAGUUAUCAGAGGUAAUAUUAAUCAUUAUUGUGCCCCGUCUGUUAAUUCUUGUCUCAGAAAGAAAUUUCCUUUGUAAUGAUAUCCCAUUGUGGAGUAGCUUAUAAAAAUUGUUUUACUAAAUUUUUGAUAAAAAAAAAAAGGAGGAAUAUUUCAGAUAUUCUGCUGAAUAUUGGUGAGGACUGGAUAGGCAGAUUAGAUGACUUAGCUGAUGUUAGAGUGUAGAGGUUAGGAAAAUGUGCGGAGCCACAGGGGCUGGUUUUCAUGGUAAAGAUGGAAGCUUUAAAUCUCUAAUAAAACCCAGCGAACAUUUGAAUUGACCGAAAUUCCAAAAGGGAUGUGAAUUCGAAUCCCUUCCAGUGUAACUAUCAUUCUCAAGGAUAUUUUUCUUGAAUUAUUGUCCUUUUUCUUUUCUCUUCUUUUUAUUGGGGAGCGGGAUUGUAGUGCCUUUUCUCAUAAAAUCUAUCAGUUUUCUAGGCUGGGGAUGGGGAGUUCUUUAUGUUGAGAUUAGCUUUGUUAUUGUGCGUUCUGUAUAAUCUGUUUGGGUGGCAGCAAACAGAUUUUAGUGUUUCUUCCUUGUCUGGCUGCUCUGGCACGCCAAUUUGGAAUGAUAAAUUCAUUCCAUGUUGCGGCAAUCUUCUGAUUAUUCCAAGUAAUGUUGGUUGUCCUAUAUGACAGAAGAGUUGAUGUCAUCUAUCUUAGGCACAAUGUAUUGAAUUGCUUCAUCCAAGAAUUUUAGCUUUUUCCUUAGUUGCCUUGCUUGUUCUCUCCUAUGCAGGAUGGGAUGAAGGUGUACUUGGAAUGCAAGUGGGAGAAGUUGCGCGCUUAACGGUAAAAUCAUGCACUUGAGUUGUUUCUUGCUUAGCUUUUUACUAGUAAAUAAAUGUCAUUUGCUAAGAACACCUUGUAAAAAAAAAAAGCAGCUAUGAAUGAGGAUGUUAUGAUGUGUGUCUUGUAGAGCAAAGCUGAAUAUCUGGGAUAUUAUAGUAAGACAAGAAUAGAGAAAAAGGAAAAACCUUUUAAAAGACGGUUUUGUAGCGUCCAAGCUGACUACCAGAUGCACCAUGGCUAAUAUCUUCUGCUCAUAAUUUUGAGCUAAUAGAGCCAUUAGAAAGGCUGAUCAUGGAAGUGUUGAGAAUGGUAGGUAUCUUGGGAACGAAUAACAGAAGAGGCGGCUGUGAUACUGCUAUCUUUGUGGGUUUGAGCCUAUAUAUUUGCUUUGGACAAAAUAAGUAAAUUUGUCCAUUUAUUGUUGGUUUUGGAUGAGUGCCUUAGGAUCUAUAGACUUCUAACAUUCCAUAGUCUAUCUCUCUGUCUCCAAAUUAACUACACGGUUUUGCAACGAAAGUAGCACCUAAGAUCUCCUAUUUAACGAGUGUUCACUGGGCAUUUGUUAACCAAACAUUUUCUCUUAAAACCAUUUUAAAUUGUUUUUACCCAGUCUGCAUUUCAAUGCAGUAUGGUGACUGUUUUUUCCUCUAUUAAAUUGUUCCAAAUUUAUGCAGUGUUCCCCCGACUAUGCUUAUGGUCCUAGUGGUUUCCCAGCAUGGGGCAUUGAGCCUAACUCUGUUCUGGUUUUCGAGAUUGAAGUAUUGGGUGUUCAGUAAUUAAUUACUGGCUCUGAUGCUGCGGGUUGCCGAUGGUAGACAUCUGAUGUAGAGUCCUUCAGCAGUGGGUGUUAGUUAAUUAUAGUUUGUAUUUUUAUCUGAAUAAAAAGGCUUCGAGCUCUUCAGCCUGCCGCCCGAUGUAGAAUGCCUUAGCAGUGGGUGUUACUCUGUAACUGGUACCGAAAUUGCAGCCUCCUCUCCUCUCUCUCAGAUUAAAAAUGGAGAUUAUGGUUUCCUAGUCGCUUUAUGGUACUACAACGUUUUCAUACGGCUUUUGUUUUCCAGCUGUGAGCUCGGAUCUAAAUCAUCUGUGGUAGUGGGUAAAAGGAACAAUCCUCCAUGAUUGGUCAAAAUACCUCGACAUUUUGACAUGAUCGACGAAAAUUAUGAAACUCAGAUUUUGAUGCAUGUGGUGUGCAACAAUUUGAACCAAACCACUGAUUAUUUCAUAUUUUUAGCUAGAAGCAUCUCAUUUUCAGAGAAAUUUCAGUACUUUUGCCCCGCAAUCCGCAUUCAUUUGAAGCUGCAGCUCAUUCAAAGCAACAAUCAUGGCUUUACAUUUGGUUGGAUUCCAAACGUUAACAAUCAUACCUGCAAGUAUUACCCGUGUACAAAGAUGUCUACUCGCUCCUCGGCUUUCAACUUAUUUAGGUUACAGAGUAGUGUUUGAUAACUAACUAUAUCUCAUUUGUUAAAUUUAGGAGUAAAGUCUUUCAUGAAAAAUCUUAUUUCUCUAUUUCCUUUCCUUUCCUUUCACUUUUAUUCCCUCAAAACAAACAGAGCCCUUUAGUACAAACUCAAAAUUAGUAACUUUGAUGUUUUAAAAAUAAGAAAAUUAACUUAACCAUUUUAUCAUAGAUUUUACACGAAAUGAAGAGAUAAAUAUGUUGCAAAAAUUCAAAAUUACAUAACGUAGGAAAACACACUUAUAAUAAGUGUGCGCCUAAACAAUUGAAUUAAGCAGCUAAAAACUUCCAAUGAACGACAAGUGCCAAUAGAUGAGACAAAGUAGAAGCAGGAAAGGGGUAAAACCGUCCUAAAAUUUCUUAUGCACUAUAUAUUCCAGUUCCCCCGUUCUUUCCCCCACUCAGACAAAUUUUCUCCGGCCUUCCGCUCAACUGUUCACUUCAUGUUCUUUCUCUCCACUCAAGCGCUCUCUAUCUGGCGGCGCGACCCAUUUGUUCUUUUGGAUCUUUCCUUGUGUAAGUCCUUUUUCCAACUGUAUUAACCUUUUUUACUGGUCGGAUUUUCCACCUGUUCAUUUUUGUCUUGUUUAAUCCUUAAAUCCUCAAUUCUUGAUCAGUAAAUUCAUGAAGUCCUCGUCUUUUUAUUUUUAUUUUUUUUGGGUCUUUUGUCGGAAAAAAAGUGAUUCUUGUCAAUAAGUUCGAAGUACGUUCGCUUAGCCAGCUUUUCUUAGUACAUGAGUGAAACGCUUGUAGGCUUAACAAUAAAGAUGGGAUUUUUAUUUUUUUCCUUUUGUCGAAGUUUCUCUGGUCGAUCUUUUCUCCUUAUGUCCUACGAUUAAUUAUGAAUUGAAAGUUCAAUGAUUUCAUGGGUUAUGUUUCUUUCCUCGAUUACUAUUACUUACCUGAGUUCUUUGAGCUGUUUCAUGGAAAUAAAGAAAUUAAAUAGUGCCAUGUUGGCUAAAUUUCUUUUUUCUUUUUCUUUUUCUUGUUCCCUUUCCUUUUCCUAGUUUUUCUAAUUCUUCAGCGUUAUACUUCAUUUUCAUGCACAUAAAUAGGGAAAUUCAACUUCCAAUGCCAUAUUAGUUAAUGUUCUUUCUUGCUUAUAUGUGAAAGGCAUGCGCACUAGUCUGAGGAUCAUAAGAUUCCAUUAUGUUUAUCCCACUCUACUUGAAUACUGCUGUUCUUAUGUUUGUUGAUCAUUUAUAUAUUGCAGGUAACGGGCAUGUCGCACUACUGCUGAGGCUAUAUUGAUCUCACCUAUAAGUGAACAAUAUGCGGUGGAUUAGUUUGUCCAUUGAUGUGUUUCGUCAAGUUAUCUCCUUGAAUUUGUAUUGUAGGGUUAUUCUGUAAAUGAUCUCAGUUGUCCUUAUUAAACCAGAAUUACCUCUUGAUUCUUUUGAUCUCGUUUAACAAGAUUUCAAUGGGGUCCAAUCACUUCUCUUUCAUUGCUUCUAAUAUCUAUAUGAUCAGCUGAGAAUUAUUUAUGGUCUUAAGCAGUUUUAAGUUCAUUCCUCUGACACCUCGUCUCUUGCCAGUACAUCUUGUAGUUCCUUCAGAUUUGGUACACUCCUCGUUUUCUUAUCUUUUCUUUUUUCUUUGGUCCUAUCUUUUGUUCUAGAUUUCUAUUUCUAUUGUCGUAGUCUUGCGUAGAUUUUGAAACUGAUUCAAGGUGCAAAAGAAAUUAUGGUGUGCCAAGCAGCAAGCCAGACAAGAUUCCGGGCUUUAAAACAUGAAAAUGGCAUAGCAGGGACACCAACCAUUGUAGUUAGGGUGAUAGCAUGCUUUCAACCUUUGCAAAAUUGUCAGGUUGGUUCAAGAUUGUGUUAGGGUGCUUGCUAAUGCGUUUCAAGUUGUAGUCUCUUUACCCUUUAUGUUUACUCUUUGGAUUUGUGUUUUCUUAAUGUGACAGGUUUUUCUCUGUACUUGAUAAUGAUGGAGAAGUUACUAAAUCCUACUUGUUUCCUUUUGGAUUUCUGUAGGCUGAGUACUUCCGUCACUUGCUUAAACCAGUUACGUAGAUUGAUAGUACGUUUUCAAUAGUACGUGAGGCUGGAGUUUGAAUAUUUUGAUUCAUUAUUUUGGUUUCUAAAAGUGUGGACGUUGAAGAUUCAUUACAAUCAGUUUUCUGGUAUGGUUUUUGACAUCUUGCUGCUGUUCAUCUCCAUUGCCUUUUAUUGCUUGGAAUUUUCUAAAAUCUGGCAAUUUUAUGUCUCAGAUUAUUGAAUUAGCUGGAUGUUUACAGCCUACGAUUUUCAGCAUUCUCAGCACCAUUAUCUGUGGGAUUCUCCUCGCUCAAAUGACAGUACUGCUGUUCCAGAUACAGGGACUUCAGCUUUUGGGCUUCUUCAUUUUAAAACGGACCAACUUGAUGGAGUUCGGGGACCUUUCCAAUGGUUGCCUCCUCAAAAGGAGAGCUCGUCUCCCACAGCAGCUCCACAUUUUGAAGAAUCUCAACGUGCUUUUGGUCAUGGACAUGGUGUCGAACCUACAUUCAAGGAUGUAUCUGCAUCCGCUCAUAAGAAGUUUCUCAUUUUUGAUCAAUCUGGGGAUCAAGUUAGAUUGAUCUCGAGAUCUUUUCGUUCACCUUACCAAGAUCAGAUUAUCAUGCCCAUGACACCAGUUGAUUUUCACGAUUUGCAAGGUGAAGCAGGACAAUCACAGAUAAUGAAGCCUCCUCCGCAUACUGAGCACCAUCCGCAUACUGAGCACCAUGUAAAGAGUGAAGGAGGUGACAUGCGUGAGGACACAGAAGAAAUCAAUGCGUUGCUCUACUCUGAUAGCUUCCCUGGGAAUGAUGAUGAUGUUGAUGGUGAAGAUGAUGACCUGACUAGCACCGGGCAUUCACCUUUUACAAUCAUAGGUGGCAUCGAGAUGCAUGAGAAGGUUUGGGAACUUACUGAGGAAGUUGGUAGCACUGAUGGUUCAACUAAAAGGCAUAAAUUGCUUGAUGGUGGUUACAAGAAAUCAUCGUUAGUGGACACUGCAGAUCCAUUGAAAUUGGCUAAAUUUUGCAAUGAUGAUAACCAUGUGGAGACAAAUUGUGCCAAAGGUGGGGACCUCAAUGAGGAGAUGGACUCCAAUAUCAACACAACGCAAAAGCGGGCCAAAAUUUGCAAGACGUUGAGAAUUCUUGAAAGUAUAGUUCCUGGAGCAGAGAAUAAAGAUCCAAUCUUGAUCAUUGAUGAUGCAAUAAAUUACUUGAUAUCAUUGAGGGAGAAAGCUGAAGCUUUGGGCUUGGCCACCCUGAAGUGCAGUGCUCCCGUCAACAGUAGUACAUUUCGGGUGCUUUUUUACUGAGGCAGUACGAUCAAGGGAUAAGUUGAUCUCGUCUCUUUUGACUGAAAGGGAUGGAUAGGUGGUUUUUGCUGUGUGAAGCUUUUGUGAUCUUGUUAAAGCUAUAGUGCAGUUUGCUUUAAAAAGCCAAUAGAGGAAAAGCUUAAUGAGGUGAAAAUUUUCAUCUUUGCUUACAGGAGGUGAAGAAAACUGGGGCUAUAAUUGCCGGGUAGAAAUGAUUGUUCAUUUGCUUUCGGAUUGAAAAUAGCCAGAAUUUUGAACGCAUGGUCUAGGCAGAGAGGUGGGCUGUGCUGUAAAUGAGGACCUCUUUGCCAACAUGUUGAAAACACAAUGGAUUAAGUGCACGCGCAUUUGCUAAUUUGGGUCCGCCUUCCACUCUUCACCUCCAUCUUGUUUUCUUGAUUCUAAGCUUUGUUAUUUUUUUUUUUACCUUAUGUGGCUUUCAAAGAAGCAGCUAAGAUGUUGGGCUGAAGCAGCAGUGAAGAGAGCUGAGAGUAGAAAGGGGGCCCGGAAGAUUCAUCAUGAAUAUUUGAUGCUCAUCCAUGACCAAAUCUUGUCUUAAAAGGCUAGUGCUAGUAUGUUUCUUUAGUGAGCUGUGCAGAGGAUUUGUGCUUUGCCUUUGCUGCAAAGAAGAGUCUCCUGUAGGCCGUCUUCAUGAGCACGUGGGCAUCAAUCUUUAAUGCAGGAUUUUAUUUGUAUGUUUCGUUGAGUACAACAGUUGUUUUGGGUGGAUAUUGCAAUGUAAUCCUGGUUAUGUAGUGCCUAUCUGUUUGGAUUAUGACUUUUGGCCGCUGCCUGUUGUUUGUUAUUAUUAUUUUUCCCCUUUGGCAGCAGUGCUUUUCGGUCUUGCUAUGCUAUAAUUCAAUUUAAUUUGACAUUUCCAACAUUAACCCACUGCUAAACUGUGCUGUAUUUGAUUUGAUUGCUACAUUAGAGAGGAUAAUCAAAUCAAAGGACCCUUGCUGCUGUGGGAGGAGUUGGACGACAUUCUUCUGGACUGCAUGAUUUCCAUUGAAGAGAGAAGACUUAACGAGUGUGUGUAUGUAGGGGAGGUACAAAUAGUUCUCAAAAUGAGAGAGUUGAACCUUGAGAAGGAAAAGGGGGAAUCCAACGGUUUAUAAGGAAUUCGUAGUCGAAAGUUUUCCCUACAAAGGAGGGUUGUGGGGAAAACUAAUGAGGUAGCCCAUCAAGAGAAGAGAAGAGAAGAGCACGGCCGUUCUUUCUCUUUUUCUCGCUGCAAACAAUUGUACUUACCGUUCUAUAGAGUUAGAGCACGGCCGUGCUACUACCAACCUAAUGAGGUAGCCAAGCAUGGUAAAGAAGCAUUCUUUGUCAAUUGUUACUUCUACAUUUUAAUUAGAGUAUUUGCAUUUUACCAACUUUACAGUAUCUCCACAAGGCGCCCAAAAAAAAAAAAAAGAAGCGAUUUUAUUCACUUUUUUGGGUUUUCCAUAAUAGUCCACGCACAUGAUUAGUUGAUCGCUGUGCUUGCAAUGCAGAUUCGGCCCGGCUAAAAGCCAGAGAACAGCAUCCGAAUGGAUAGCCGUUGGGGCCCAAAGGAGCUACCAAAACCCCAAAGAAAACGAGGGUCGAUUUUGUGUCUUCAGCAAAUUCUUAGUGCCAAGGCAUGUGCUGACUCGUAUUAAAAGUCAAAGUAACAAGUAUGUGUAAGCGUAAGAUCCAUUCAUAUGGAUAUGUCCAUGCUUAAUGUAGUGAAUGGUAAUUGAUAUUCUGCAUGCUGACUUCGGCAUUAUGGUAGGACUGUCUCCAAUAUAUUAGUUUCUUGGAUACUGUAUGAUACCUAACAACUUUGUCUGGCUUUGAACUAUUCUCAUGAUAUACAAUUAGUGUUCCAUUGAUAUUCAGGAAGCUGAUGAAUUGUUCCUUCUCUGCAAUUUUGCGUGCAAGAUCUUAUGGAAAAACUGGACAACUAUGACAACCUACAUGGAGAGAGAGAGAGAGAGAUAAUGCCACUGAUAAUCCUUUUCCAAUCCAUCCAGGUCCCAGUGUAUGCUUGCCCAAUUGCUUAUAUGCUCCACAUCAAUGGAAUGAAAGAUACAAAUUGAACCUGAGAAUUUUCAAGACCUUUUCAGCCUGAACUUUUUCUUGAUACAUCCAAAGUUGAUUCAUUGAAAACAUGUAAUGUGCUUUUGCGGGAAAAAUGAUAAAGAUGUUCCACUCGUGCAACUAAAUCAUAAUGCAGAACACACUCAAACAAACAUGGCAAUUGCACCACAACCACUCACCCAAAGACAGAAGGAUCAAAUGUGAAAGUUCCUAAGAUAAUUCCUGUGAAGAGAGGGAACCUUUGGAGUACUCCUAAUAAGAGGAAAAAAAAGAAAGACGACUACAGCUAUAGGAAUAGAAAAAUGAAAUAUAGGGGGAUCAAGUUUAUCAGGAAAUAUCUUACUUCUUCACUUCCUUAGUCUCAAGAAACGGAAUUUCUCCACCUUCUAGGUGCCUUUUUAGGUUGUUCUGGAUUCGAAAUCUGGGGUCCAUCAUCAUGGUUUUCCAAAUUUGACAUCUUGGUGAGCUUGCCUAGCUUUUUCCACCUGAGGUCCAUGCGAAAGUUUGCUUUGGCUUAGCCAUCUUAUCGAACUGUCUCUGUAAGGUUUCAAAGUCGUUUUGGAGUUCCAAGUACUUAGCCUUGACUGUUUCAAGCUCAAACUUGAGAGUGUUGAUGUCCUUCUUGGCAGUUGCCCAUCCUUCUUGAAAUGACUGUGGCGUCCUUCAAGCAAUGUCUUACGGGUUGACACCAUUGGCUGGUAGUGGGAUUCUCCAGCUUCCUUGAGGGAGCUACUAGCUAUUGCAUUGCUUAUCUUCACCUGUUCAGAGAAGAGAACUUGCACUACUACUCUUAGAGGAAGCCGUUCAUUCUGAGCAGCAUGCAUGCAUGCAUCAAUUGAGAGCUUCUGGCAAUCCAUUACACGGCAAAGCCUCUUCCUUUCAUGCUCUGAUAGUGUUGGAUGGGCCUAUCAAUGCUUCAAUGCGUUAGAUUCUAAGUAAACUUGGAUGAGCUUCAUUAUAUGCAAUAUUUGAAACAAUAAUGUAAACGGCAUAUUGAGCAUUAUUAUGAAGGCACAUAGUGACUCGUUCAUAACUUCUAAUUUUGUGUUGUAAAUUUUUCAUCUGAAAUUCUUCUCUUUGAUCUUCACAAUGCAUGAAUAAAUAUCGACGUUUGUUUUAACUUAGAAUUUAAAGAUUUUGCAACUAUUCUCUGGCCCUGUCUUCCUUCUAUACUUAUCCAUUUAACAUAAUUCUUAACGGAUGCAUGCUUUAUAAAAAGACCAUAUCACACAAAAUAUUUUAUUUUGAGGAGCUCGUCAGCUCGAGGACCAACCUGUUUUAACACCAUAUAUUGGUGAUGAACAGAUCUCCUCACAGAAAAUCAAUGAAAAUAUAGUUACUUUAGAAAAUCGCGGAAAUUAAAUUUCAAUUACCUUCAGGUAGGAAUCAACAGCUCUAUAUAGUCCAUCAUCACAGGUUCUUGCUGAAUCAGGUAGAGCUUCUGCCAAGACCUGAAAUUUCGUUAGGGAGAGAUUUCUAUCUCUGGACACCUCUGUUAGAUAACUGUCAACCAGCCUUGCCACUCUCAUCUUAGCAUUUGGAUUUGUACCCCUUUGGGGUGCUUCAGCAAAUGAUUGUCUGCUAGGACUUGAACUUUCUGUCUGCUCUUGGACAAGGAAAUGCUCCAGUAGUCUUUGAACUAGAUCAACAUCGUAUAAAGUUUCACUCUUGUUGUAUGAAGGAAUGAGAAGAUCUGCCAAUGUAGCCUGUUCAAACUGCAUGCCUACCCUCUUUUCCAAUUCAGUAACCAGAGCAGCAGCUACUUUCAACAAGUUUGCCAUUCUCAACAGUCGAAGAAGGAAGCUACAGGAAACACUGUCCUUCUGGGGAGGUAUUAAGCUAAUAAGGCUCUCAAUAAUCAUUCUUUGAUCCUUAGCCUGAACAGUUGGUAUAUCUUCUUUUGUCCCUGCUACAAUCAUAUGGAGCCCCCUUUCCAACUUCUGUUUAUGUCAUUAGCGUGGCUGUAAUUGCUUCCCUCAUCAGCUGCUGCUGAUCCCUCCGUUAUUAGUCCUGGAAGCCAUUUAGCUGCGUAAUGCAUUAUUGCAGCUCCAAUUAGUUCAUGUCUCAUCCCCUUUACCUUAAUAGCAGUAAUAACACGUACAAAGUGAUCAAUCCUGAGAAUCGAAACAUCUUCAAACCACCAAUCAGGUGGCACUUGUUGGUUUCUGCUUGGACUGGAAUCCUUCAUUUCAUUCCAACUAGGGCUAGAUACUUUUGGGGGCCUCCCUGUAUAUUGCCAUCUUAUUCCUUUUGGAUUAGCACAAGCUUUCCAAGCAAUGGACUCGCUGCAUCUUCUGACAAUUUGAAGGUUCUCUGCCCAUGGCGACAGCUUCUCACUAUUUUUAAGUACUAGUAUAGAAUCUCUCCAUGAUGACAAAACCACGUAGCUGAGAAAAGCUUCUGUCUUGAAUAUUAGAUUGCCUUCUUCUAAGUCCUCUGUCAUUUCCAGGUACUCUGCUGCACAUCUAAGGCCAGAGAUAUUGUUUGCUGUCAGAUCAACAGCAAUCCCAUAGCAAAAUUUUGCUGCAAGCUCAAAAGCCUCAGGUCCACCUGGGAGGUCAUCUAAAACUAUCUUGUUCAGGUCUUCCCGUGAUUCAUAUAUGAUUCUGUUCAACUUGCCACUUCUAGAAAGCAGAGGAUACUUGAGAGACGAGAGAAAGAAUUAGUAUAUCAUCUAACCCCAACCCUUUUACAACCGUUAUUAGUAAUUCUAUGUACACAAGUUGAGAAAUGAGAAAAAUGUUAGAAUAGGAUGGCAGCUACCUUAUGUAAAUGGAAAUUAACAUCUCCAAUUUGAACUAAAAAGUCACUUGGGAUAUCAGUUGCAACAUACCUAUUUACAGGACAAGCACACCAAACAUUAUAAGUAACUUGCUUUAACAUCAAUGAUAUAUUGCAAGAAAGAGAUACGAGCUUCACCACAGAAAGUUUACGCUUUCAAUUUAUGCAUCUUCUCCUAAAAUACUCACUCACUCGAGGUUUCACAGGAUGAUUAACUUGAAGAUGAAAAUGCAAAAAUAAAGAUCCAAGCAAUGCUGAACAAAUGAGAGAAACAUACCAAGACUGGCCUCUUUGCUCAAAACCAUCGGUUUUAAGUCCAUGCUUGCUUAUGCUGAGAACUCCAUUGCUGUAAUCUCGCCCUCCUCCGGUCUCGCUUUCCGCGUCCCACAUGGUGAGUUGAAGAAGCUCAGAAACUUCAGAUUGAAUUUUAGAGUUAAGUGCUUACUUCAGAUGAGAGCAGAGAAAGUGAGAUGAACAACAAAACAGAACAAGUAGCUAGAGAAGCUGCACAAUGAGCCAAAAAAGGUAUCCCACAUGGGGAUGCUUGGAACUAUCUCCAAUUGUCGGCUUCUUCACUGAUUUCCAAAUGACUCCUACAGGCUGGGUUGCGAUGGGCUGACAACUAAUAUGUGUUUUGGAGCACUUGAUUUCUUGAUUUGAUCUCUAAUAUAUGGAUAUACUUUCUCCAAGUAGCCAGAGUGGGAGACUUUGAGUUGUGUGCAGCUCUCACUGAUUUUUUAACAUUUUUUGAGCUACUGUUUCAAGAGUUCUUUAAUCGCCCCUUUUACAAACAUUCAGGACUGUGCAGGGAUUUUCUUUCAGCACGAACUAUUCUUCUGAUUAGCAAGUACGAUAGGUUGGCAGGGAAUUUUGCAUCUUGAUGAAAUUUGGAAUUUGGAAUUUGGAUGUAAUGCAACUAAAUGGACCGGACCACCUUCGACUUCAGGGUAUAUAUCUACGUACCCAAAAAAUAUCUCAAAGAAAUAACAAGUCUUUAAGCAAACUCUUUAAUUCUCGAGCCAGCCUUCCUUUUUUACGUUCGAAAGCUCCAUUUAUUCUUUUUGUUUCUUCGGGAAGUGUGGGGGAUUAUAUAAUUUGAUGAGCAAUAGGCCGUACUAUUCGCGCUGAUAAUACGUUAGCAAGCUUUCAUUUUCAUGCCAAUUAUUACAUCUGAAGAUUAGCAAGGCGCAUCUAUCUAUCUAUGGUCAGAUUGAUGAAGUUUUGAUCAUUUUGAUGUCUGGAUUUUUUUGACUAAUGGAGAGUUAUUAGUUUUAAGUUGCACCACGCAGGAGAAAUACAGAGUGCCCAAACAGGAUGACGAAAUAUAUAGCAGCGGUUAUUGUCUUUCACCUUUGGAAGAUUCAGCAGUGACAGCGGGUGGAUAAGGCUAAAAAGGAGUACUUGCAGAGCAAAAGAAUUUGGCAGAAUGCAACAAGGUGGAAAGGGGCUAGCUGCUCUCUUGCAGUUUUAGUAGUUUUUGAGUACCACGGAUAAAGCAGAGGGCUUCCACAACCAAUCACCAGUUUUAAUGAUAAGGCACAGAGUGGAUAGCAAUGCACGACAAAUGCGAAGAAGAAUUCAAUAAAUGUAAAUAUUAAAGCAACAACAUGCAAAACACAACAAUUUUUUGACACUCCUAUAAAAUUAUAUGCCCCUCCCCCCCCCCCCCCCAGAUCAAUCUGACACCGCGGCGAAAGCAAUUUAAAAACCUGUAAAAUACAAGAUUCGAAUCAGAAUUUAAAAAAAAAAUUAGAAUUUCAAAUCCAAGAUUCGAAUUAGAAUUUCAACAAGAUUCAAUUAGAAUCUAACCACUUGAGAACAUUCAAGAACAAUUAUAUAUAGACCCAAUACAAUUGUGUUAAAAUUUCAAUAAUAUUGUCAAAACCUGUAAAAUAAAACCCUAGAGAACCUUGUGAGUGGAUUUUUGCAGUUUCAAAAGUUGAUUUCCUUCUAUGUCCUCACGUGUUCCUACACUUUUCACACGACCCCCUUAGACUCCCUUGUCUCGAAGGGAUAUCUCAUAGCAAAUCCCUCCAUCUCAAAAGAACUCAACCCCAAGUUCAUAAUGAAGAACGCAAUAUUCAAAAGUGAAAAUACGCCAGCAACUUUUUCAUAUAAUUUUUAGAGUCGAUACUUGUGAUGGAACCUUUGUAUCCAAUUAUGAAUAGAAUUAGAUAGGUGCCCUGUUUGGAAUUUAAGUUUUUGACAAUUUUAUCUACUACAAAUUUUUUAAAAAUUUUAGCUACAGUAACCUCAAAAAUUUUUUUAAAAUUCUUAAACUAUACAUUUCAAAAUAUUUAAAAAUUUACACUCUUCAAAAAAUUUUACAGUAUACUACAGUAAAAUUUUAGAUAAACUUUUAAAAAACUCACCCUCCAAACGGGCCUGCGUCCUUUAAAAUUCCAAAAUUCAACAACUUCAGCAAUUUGCAUUUUGAAAACAAGUCUCAUUUUCUCUUCACAAAAAGAUUAUGAACUAUAUACACAGAUCCCUAGGGUUAGGGUUAAUCGUGGCAAAAUUCGUCUAGUCUCAUCAUCCGAAAAUGACGACUUGAUGUGAACCACAUUGAAUAAGAACGCGAUCAUGAGCCACUCUCCUGACACAUCUAUUCCAUUCUUUGUGAUCCAAAUUAUGGUGAAACAUUACACAAGAAAUGUACUACGAUAUCAACUGAUGCGACGGCAGAAGCAAUUUAAGAGAACCAGUUUCAUGAACUAAUUCCAUAAUAAUAAAGAAUCAAGGGUGAUUUAUGAUGAACCCUAAAGAAAAUCAAAAUUCAAACGCUCAAGAACAACUAUAUAUAGACCCAAUACAAUUGUGUUAAAAAUUUAAUCAUAUUAUUGUCAAAAACUGUUAAAUAAAACCCCUAUUCACAGGAUACAAGUAUUCCAAACGAAAAAGGAGAGAAAAUACAAUAAUGAAGUUAGGAAAAACGAUGAUGAAACUUCACACUGCCACCAAUCCAGGAUCUGCUCGCCGAUCCGUUUCGACAAUUUCAGAAGUUGAUUCACGGCCAGGUCUAGAUCCACGAACGGAUUGGGGGGCUAGGGAAUGGAUCUUGUACGCGACUCUUUUUUUAAAAAAAAAAAAAAUGCAACUUCAAAGGUUUUCUUUCUCUUUCCUUGCGUGUCAAUUCCCACAUCUGAGAAGGAGGUUCCACCAAAGAAUCUCAUCUAUCCAAUUUCAAAUUAAACACAUCCCCGCUGUUAACUACACCAUACGAUCCAAAACUGCAAUUAUAUAAGCCUCUGCAAUCUGUUUUAACACAAAUGGUACAGUUCAUUAGCUUUUAGUAUCUAUCAAAAAUUAGGGGAGAAGAACAGGAAUGAAUGUAAGCAGCAAUUCUACGAUUAUCCAAAAAAAAAAAAUGUAAAUGCCUCGAUCUUGUGGUGUACAUUAUCUUUUAACAUCAUAUCAUAUGUAGAGUCCACCAAAAAUUGUUCCAUGCUUGUAUUGUAUUCAAAUUAGUUUGCAUAGUUGAACAAAAGAUUUUUUAUAAUAUUAAAAAAAGAUUUAUAUUAUGUUCAAUUCACAGAACCAUUCCCAGACAUUUGAUUUGAACUGUCCCGUUCCCAAAAGUUAAAAAGUUUUUAACAGGAAGUCAAGUGAAGCAUCUUUGACAGCACUACUUGGCAAUUUUGUGCCACAAGAAUUCCUCCGCUAAGGUAAUUGGAGAAGGAUAUUAGUUGGUCCAUAAUAUCCAGAUCAGACAUUAAUGGGUGCUUCAAUCAUUUCAAACAUUUGUCCUGGGUGCAGUGCAUUUCCAAUACGCCUUGAGCUGAUUUGAUGGUAUUACAGCAUCUGGAAUUAUGGUUGUACCAUCGAGGGAGCUGGUGAAUGGGUCCCUGAGUUGCACAAGUUGUCUUGCAGUGACGGACGCUGUGGAAAAGAUUGAACUUAUGCAAGUCCCCGCCAAUGGGGUCUUCAACACAUUUAUCGGCCGCUGUCAGAAUUGAUGAGCCUAUCCAGCACCAUCCCUUUGCAUUAAUGACCAUCACCCACUCAAUACUCUAAUCAAAAGCCGCCUAAUAUCUCUGUCAUGUCAUUAACCUGCAUUCUUCUCGUCAAGGAAUUGUCCCCAUUCCAUACAUUAGGGGAUUUUUGUUGUCUGUUCAUGGAAUGGGAUCAGAAAAAGGAGACUUUAUAUAGGAUAAUCCUCUCUUGACUUCUCGUUUUAACUGAUUUUGACCUGAUGGGCGCUUCUCUAUGCCAUAAAAGUGGUGACCGUGGCACAAAUUAUAUAAAUUUCUGUUCAUGACUUGAUUCUUUAAGCUACCGUUUGUGUGUGAGCAGAAGUAUGGAAAAGUGUAGGAAUAUUGUUUGGAUAAGGUAUUAUUUGAAAUAUUAUUUGGAAUAAUUAUUAUAAUACUUUUUGUGAUGUGAUGUAUGUGAGAUAAAAAAGUAGUUGGGAAUAUAAAAAGGUGGAUUGGAAAAUGUGUUUACGAUGCAAGCGAAAUAUUAUUUAGAAUAAGUUCACUAUCCAAACAAACAUAAGCGAAAUAUUAUUAGCUAAUUUUUUUCUCAUUGCGUGUGUGUGUGUGUGUGUGUUUACCGCAAAAUUUUCCUGCCAUUUCUUCCACUGUUCUACCUUCUCUGUUUGUGCUUUCUUAUGUUUUGUAUCAAGCAAAAUCAUCAACACAUUUUUUUAAUAAACUCUCAAAAAAAAAAAAGAAGCCCCAAAAAGGCUGUUACUCGUCUUAGCAAAAUCCUUCACGUGGGAGCCUAAUUAAGCGGUAUUUCUAUGGUGGCAGAAACCAUGACAUGACGUUAAUGAAGGGCAGGAGCCAAAUGAAAUUCCAAGGUAUUGCUUAAAUGAGGGAUAAGAGUUCUCUGCUGAUUUGGACAAUAAAUGCUCAUUCUUCAGCAGCAGCAGCAGCAGCACUUGCAGCACUGAGGUCCACAGACAGGUCGAGAGCCUACAGCAACGAUCAGAUAAGGAUAUCAAUAAUGAAGUUUAACUUGUACGCCUACCUCUUCAUAGAGAAUACUACGUUACAUUUCUGUGCAAUGAACAAGAUGUUUCAAAGCAGAAGAUUUCUGUGCAAUCUUCUCUGAAAAAUGAUCAUUUGCUUCAUCGAAUGUUGAACUACUACAUUCGAAUCAUGAGUACCUUAACUUGCUAUUGUCAGCAAUAAUAAUAAUAUGCAUCCUAACUGUGCUCUAGUGACUCUGGCAAAACUCUUGAUUCGUGAAAAAAGAUGAAAGGGUUCAGUUGUGUGCCAAGAACACCUUUCCAGUUAUUUUGCUGUACAUGGAUAUUACAUCCACAACCGUAGAUUCAAAAUGCGUUGUUCCGUCGUAGCUCUGCAAGAAUUAAGCGUAGCUUCUCUGAUCAGUGACAGUAAGCCUCAAGGAAGCACAAAAGUCGUAGGCCAGAUAGUGGAUGCAAAAUCCGCCCUAUCGACUAAACGAAUUCAAGUUAUUUUCAGCGCCAAUGUAACCAAUAUUUUCUCAAUUCACAACUAAACGAAAAGGAAAAAAUAAUGAGAGUUUGCUUUCUGAGCAAUGCAGAAGCACAAAAGAUAUACAUCCCCCGUGAAAGCUUACAUCCCGAAACAUGGACACAGGUUGCAGCUUAGCAUCAGAUGUCUAAGCUUCUUGCAAGAAGAGUGGUAAUAAAAUAUGUAUAUCAAUCAUAUGUCUGUCUAAUGACGAAAGGCAAAUGACUUUUCACUUACGCUGGAUAUGAAACAACCAUCAGCAUCAGGGCAGUUUGUAGGUUCAAAUCUAUCAUAAGUUUCAUAAAAUAUCUCGUCUACAGGUCCAAGCAGGUCAACGCCAGGCUUCAAUUCAGCUUGUGGAUCAUCUGUCUCAGCUUCAGUUGCAACAAAUGCAAUGUAUUUCCCAUUUGGAGCAACAUUGUGAGCAUAUGAGCAACAAAACAGAUACCUGGAGAAGUAAUUGUUCAGAAUAUCUAAGGAAAUGAAUAUCUCAUGUUGUUCUUAUAUUCUACCUUCUUGGUUGUUUCUGCUAUUUUUGUUACAUUUUUUCUGUGGAAGAUAUCCAAUUCUUCGUAUUUUAUGAAAAGCAUCAUAAACUGAUGCUCAAUAACUUAUUAGUGAGGAGAAUGCCGCGAUGGCUAGAAGUUUGAGGCUCUCUCUCCUAUAGUCACUCGAAGAAGUUGUUGAAACCUUGACAAGCUCUGAUUCAAAGCUAAGAUUGAAUGAGAAGAAAAUAUACUUGAGAAACUGGAAAUGCCUUUUGGUCACAAAAUAUUUGCUAAAUCGUGAAACUAAUAAAAGUUCCUGUCUCAGUGCGUCUUCCAAAGAAGAAUAGGCUGUUAUUUCUGAAAGACUAGAAAUGUGGCAAGGAACAGGAUUGGAAGUACAUACUCCUAGGGUAUGAUAACAAGUGAAGUAGAAUAGGAGGUGCUUGUCAUCUACGUGUGUGAUUUGCAUUUGAAUAACAGAAAGAGAAAAGAAGGAAAAAACAUACAUAUCUGAUUUACGACCAAGUUGCUUCUGUGGCAGAAUGACCUGACAUGAGUGAGAAUCAUUUGUGUCCGGAAUGGGGUGGCUCAUUAUGCAUAUAGCACGCGCAACUUUUCCAACCUUCUUUACCUGUUAUUUGCAUUCGCUUCCAAAGCAGCUCAGUGCCACAAAAUAAUGAUGCAGAAAUAUGAAAGGUAUUUAUCAUUGGAGUCAGACAUUUGCACACUUGGAUUCUGAGACACAAACCAAAAAUACACGGGCAGAAAAAUAAGUUGCUGUUUGAGGUUACCUUUUCACUUAGAUAAGAUGGAUCACAAACAACUUUCUUGCACUUAGCAGUUUCUCCUUCUGAGGUCACACCAUAAGCUUUUCCAUUUGCAUCAAACUCUACCUGCAAUCCAGAGACCACACUAAGUAUACAAGAUGCAGGUGUAAAAGGUCUCAAAUUUGAGCAAGUUGAUUUCCAAGAUAGAGACCUACCUUCUUGUCGGAGGAAAGAAGUACUGCACUGAAAAGUACCAAGACGAGAUGACAUCUACUCUAAUUUCUCUUUGAAGAGGCAUUCAUAUACUCAAUAGCAUAUAUAAAAAUCUUGACCCCAAAAUAUUACAGUACAAAAUUUGAUAGAUAGGAAGGGUUUCAGGAUACACAAAAGAUCUGGAUAAAUACCUUACACUGUGGCUUGUUAAGCAUGUACGUCCCACCAUAAACUGCACUCAGACGUGCAAAUGCCUGCAAAUUUUGAUGCAUGUAUCAGAAAGGCUAACAGAAUGGAGAAGGUUCUCAACUUAUGAGUUAGGACAAACCUGAGGCAACUCUCCCAGUCCAUACAUAGGAUAGAUGUAAGGAGAUCCUGCUUGAAAACGGGCCAGAGACUCUGCAUAUAGCUUUUGAAAGGAAAAAAGGUUGUUAUUAAAAGAAUCACACCAAGCAUCUGUCUAUUCUUGUAACUCUGCAAUUAGAUUUCAUUCAAAAGAAAUGUAACUACGUCACCAGAUUCAAAAGGCCAACUGCAAAAAACUACUAGUGUUCUAAGGAGGUUGAAAACCUGAAACUUAUAGAUCCUAUGAGAUUGAAGGCCAGAGUUAGGCUUCCUAUCUUGCACUUUUCAACAAGAGAAAAAUAUCUACAAUUAUCUGUGUUAUACUAGGCGAAACUGUGAUACUGAUAUAAGCUACUUUCCUAUACUUUCCUCAUCGUGUUAGGGAAACAUAAUAUCACUGUGUUGUGCAUCGUUCUUGACAAAAGUUUCACAUGCACUUAGUUUGUUGGUUAAAUAACAUAAAACUACUUCUCAACUUCAACAGUGUACAAGUUACAAGACCAAAAACAGUUCAAUUGGCAUUUUUCAUUGUUCUUGUAUAUUACUCCCUUAUUUCUGUGGGUGAAUGCAACUCUCUUAUGUGGUUACAAAGCAAAUAAUAAGCGUAAAAGCAAUGUAUCUUUUACAAAGGAUUAUGAUUCACCAGGUUACACUCAAGCAUGUCAAAGAGCAUGGAGAGAAAGGCUAAAGAUUGAAUGCAGAUUCAUACCUUCACUCUCUUGACAAAAGCCAUGGCUGGCUGGUCCAAAUAAGCAUCAUCAAUUUGAAGUGCCAAGGCAUGACCAAUAAAAUCAAUUGUAUCAUCUUCAAGUUCAUAUUUCCUGCAUCAACAGUGUGAGCAAAAAUACAUAUCUGAAGUUGCAAUAUGUUUUAUGCUCAGAAGUUUGUUGGUAAAGCAUUUAGUGAGAUGAAACUCAAAAGCAUUCUGCUUUGCUAUACAUCACUAAAAUGUGUAAGAAGGGAAGACACAGCCUUAUCCCUUAAAGUCAAUCAACAUGGGGAGGCUAGAAAUCAUUUUCCAUUACUUCAACACCAAAUUCGUUACAAUAUACAUGCCUUCCUUUUCAGUUGGAAAUCCCCUACCCCAAGUGUUCAUCAAAUGUUCAAUUCGCACAUCAAUGUGAAAAGCACAGCCACUGGGUGUAUGUAGGACCAGUUGAUAAAAAAAGGUAUCCUAAUGGCAAAAGCAGUUAUGAACCUUUUUCAUUAUGUUUGAAGACACAGAAUGGUCAAAAACAACUCCUUUGAUCUUAUAGAAUAAAAAAUCAAUGAGGUAGUACAAUAAGAAUGUUUUGCUUCCACAUUGUUCCGUGACAAUUACUUUGUAGCAAUAUAUGAUGUGGAAGUUAGUUGCAUUUGAUAGUUUAAAAAAAAGAUGGUACUUUUUUUUUUUUUUUUGCUGCGGUAACUAAAUUACCAAAGCAAAGCUUUGCAACGGGCAACUAAACCUACAGAGUCUUAAAUUCCUAUACUUCAUCAAAUGACCUGAAAAUUUGUCACAGAUAAUGCAAAGAAAGUUGAAGAUCAAUGUACAUUAAAAUGUAGAGAUGGUGCAAUUCUUGCUAAUGAGCUUAAGCCAGUAGCUAAAAUCAAGAAAAUAGCAAAUAAGGAUUGAAAUUUACGAGAUAAGUUCCCUUGCUGUGAUUUUGUUCAAAUCCAUCCCUUCAUGAGUUUUUGGAUUACUCUCCUCAAAGUCUUGGACAAAAAUAAAGAACUUCCGAAGUCUACGUUUCUCAAAGAGUCCCAUCAGCGAAGACUUCAAUGCUUCCACAUCAGUUGCUGGCACUUUAUAAAUCUAAAGAUCAAAAAUGUUUUGACAUCCAAGUUUAAUUACUAGAAUAAGACCUUUGUAAACAAUCAGAUAAGUGCUAUGGCUAAACAAGCUGUUAUGAGUUGCAUACCUUUCCCUUGUUGUACACAAAGCUACCAUCUACAGCUUUAAAGUUUAGAUAUUUGGUAACAUUAGUAUGGAUGAGUACGCGAACAAGAGCUCCAUUAGCCAUCAUGAACUACCAAAGGACACAGGAAGAACUUUCAUCAGUUGCAUGUCAAACAAGCAAAACAUGGAAAACAACGCGGAAAAUUGCCAGUAGCCAGUAGGACUGGGAAAUCUACAAUUGAUGACAUAUUAUUUCUGCUUCAACAUGUCUUUCUCAAAUCAUGUAGGCCCUGUCUGCCUGAUAUUAAAAACUGAAAUGCUUACAAAAAUAUUCAAUAUAUGGACCCAUCCUCAAAUCUCAAGUUGUAGAAUAUUUCUCGUUGCUUUUGGCUUCAGUUGGGGGAAGGAAAAAGCUUUUGGAGGUCAAGAUGUGUUUUGUUUUUCAGAUUCUUCUCUUUGAUCAAUCAAAACCCUUUGCAGAAUGAAGACAAACAGGGACAGCAUAUUGUUCGAAGCCUGAAGCUGUAUUCAUAUAUAAGAGAGUCGGUGGGACAAUUGAACAGUGUAUACCUUAGGAAUCAUAUCAACAUUGUACUCCUUGCUUGUGCCUAAUUUUUCUGGAGGCUGUUCAUCACCCCUAAAACGCUUCCAAAGCUAUUAAACAGAAGAAGUUAGGGUACAUCAGAUGGAUAUUAUAUGUGCAGCAAGAUCACAAUUCAACUUGACAUUGAAAUAUGGGAGCUAAUAUGAGAGACACUAGAGGCAGGCAUACGAAUUUCAACACAACUUCCAUUUUACCUGAUUCAAAUUAAGGGAGCUGGACUCUCCUCCAUAAUAGUCAUUUUUGUCCAUGUGUAACACCUGUUUGGAAUGUGCAUAGCUAAAAAUCAGAGAUUACCAUUUUCAGUGAAAUGUAAUGCUAAGGGGGUCAAAGCGUAAUACUGAAUUGAGAGUUAUACCUUGAAGACCUCCUAAAACUACUGGCUAGCGCACUAUUCUUAGCUUCUGGCUUGAGAAUAGACAUUCCAUUUGCAGUUUUUGAAGCAACUUAAUACAGAAAAGACCCUUUUUUUAUUUUCUCCCAUGCUAAAGUAUGGGAAAAGAACAUUCUCCAGAACAUGUAUCCUUGAACUACAUAAAAUGAGAUGUUUAUGGAAAUAAAAAGUUUCAUUCUUGAUUAACCGCCUUUAUUCCCACCCCAGAAGGAAGAAGAGGAGGAAAUUUGCGUUUCCCUUUAAUAUAUCAUUGGCACAAUUAAGGCCUUACUCAAACAUGCAUAAACAAAUAAUACUUCUAAACUUACUGGAAAAUCACCUCAUCUUUUCUUACAGAAGAGUAGAAGACCAAAAUGGGACAACAAAUAAUGUAAGCAAUGGUGUAAAUCAUCCGAAAAUAUUAAGAUCUGACAGAUUUAUAGAUUAAAAAGAUCACGAAAUAGAGAUUCAAUCCUAGAACCAUCUAAAAAUGCGUCCAACAUAUAUUUUUGUCCUGACAGUUCUAUUUUGGCUGUAUAACGCAUUAAUUAGUGAGCAACCAGAACUAGAACUGGCAUGCAUUGUCUUGGGUAAAUUAUAGACGAUGUUUGUCCUAAGAGGGAGUAGUAAUGCACGUACUUUGAGCCCAUCAACAGAGAGAAGUCCACUAAGAAUGCAUUCUUUGAGGCCGGUGCCCAGAACAAUCACAUCAUACUCUUCGUCCAUCUUGAUUGAUCAGAGGAAAGUUGAUUUCGGAUCAAUUACUAAUGGCAAGAUUAAAAGACUAAUGCAGGAGGGAGAUGGAUCAAGAGAGACAGGAAUGAGGGGAUUGUUAGUGUGAGAAAGCUGAAAAGAUGGGGUGAAAUGUCGUAGAGAAGAAUAAUGGUAGUAAUAAGUAACGAAGAGCGCGGGAGUACUGAUCGAGAGGGAGAGAUGGAACGGGUCUUUAGCUGGAGCCUAACUAGAAUGCAGAGUAUUCAUCUGCUGGUCUGCCACUGAUUUCCCGUACUUGCACCUUCAUGCAGACAUGGCCACGUUUCAAGUUUGAACCGGUACUUAACCGGAGAUUUUGCCCAAACCGAAACUAAACCGAGCAACCGGAAUCGGGUUCAGAAGGCAAAAAAAGACUUCGAUUCAGAUGCAUUAAAAAUCAAAUCCAAAAUUGAAUCCGAUGGUUCUGAAUCGAUUUAAGCCGUGCACCAAAAAAAUAUAAAAAAGAAAGGAUUGGUUUGAUGAGAAAAGUCAAAACAUUUUUCAUUUUUUAUAGAAAUUUUAUUAGCUUUUCCUUUCCUUGUCAGCUUAUAAUGCAAUAAAGCUCUUAUUUUGCUUUUAUAUUCAUUUUCUUUAGUUUUUUCUGGCUGUAAAAUUAUUAUCAUAUUUUCUUCUAAUCAUCUUUAUAGCCAUAGAGCCAUUAAAUAUAAUUAUCAGAAGAAUCCACAACACCAAUCACAAGGAGUCAGAAUAAGAGAUCUUAAAACUGUAACUAAUAAUCCUAGAAGCCAGGCCGGUCAAAGGAAUUGGCACUGUGACCAUUCCUGCCUUUUCGCUACAAGUCACCACUUCAUUUGAUAGAUGUUCGGACAACCAAGUAUACAUAUUGACACUUUUCAAUUGUUUCUGUUGUUAGAAGUUGAUAUCAUAUUGAAUUUUGAUUAGAAAAUUGGAAGUGUGUUCUUAUUUAAACAAUUCUGAAAGCCAAUAUAGUAAGAAAUCUUUUUUUUUUUUUAAAGAAAUAGUAUAUAAUUAUUUGAACCAAAAUUAUCUCACAAAAUAGGAAACCACUGUUACACACGUAAGUCAAUCGAAGGAUCGAGUUAAGUGAUAAGACGAAAGAAAUUGUAAAUAAGAGACCCUGAAUCCGAGAAAUUUUUCAUUAAGCUGCGUACUCUCUCGAAAAAAAAAAUCAUUGAAUUAAGCAUUUCUCUACACUAUUGACUCUCGUUAAAAAAAAAAAAAAAAAAAAAUCUGCUAAGUUACACGAUGAAGUGCUUAGCGAGCUUUCAAACGAUGCAUUACAACAGGAGGAGCAUUCGUGUUUUACGAUUAUUGUGAUGGACGAACCAGUAACUUUCCUUUUAUCUAUAAAUAAACAAACUUUUCUUUUUAAUACUCAUCCUCCUUUAUUUCUUCGUGGUAAUUAAGUGCAAAUGUAAAAACAUGUACUUUUCUUUCAUUAAUCACGCUGUCAGAAAACUAUUUAAGCUGCAAAGCAAUUCAACAUAAAUUACAUCCCUCAUCUGUAUCUAUAUAAAUAUAUACACACACACACACACACAUAAUCUGGAAAUGUUUAAUAGAGCCAUUUUUAUUCGUCAAAGAAAAUUUCAGAGCAUGGAGGCCUCUACGUACUCAGAGAACCGCAUGCCUGACAUACAUGCAUGUUAUUUUUUUUAAAAAAAUAAUGCAACAUAAACUACAAUUUCUGGGCAUCAUAGAGCCAGCUAUGCUCAAAUUAUAUAUUCGAUCUUCUGCGACCGCAAUCUCAUCCUCCCUGCAAUUCAGUUGGGACAUGGUAAGCUGCAAAAAUUCAACCCCAAGUUAAACAGGUUUCUCUGUGAAAUGCUUGCCAAGGUACUUACAUGCAUGCUAGCGCUGUUUUAUGCAACCGCAAACACCUAUUCAUACAACGUAUCAUUAACGCCCAACAAACAACAAUUCUCCAAACCUCCCCUUUUUUCCACAUACAAUAAUUUGUGCAUUCCAAUUUGUCUGACUCUAAUCUCACAACAUAGCUAGCAGUUGCCAUGCUACUAAAGAAAAACUUCAAUCCAGGAGCAUUAAAAAGAGUGCCUUGUGAAAGCUUACUAGCUGUUUCACUUUUCUUUUCACGUCAUUGCUAGACGAUCACAUGGCCUUGAAUCAUGCAUUCUGAAAAUGAAAUCUUACUUUAGUUUCGUUUUGUUCUUCUUGCUUAAAUACUAGCAAUCUGUUGUGACAAAAUCACACAGAAUGAGAUGCCCCCCAUUUAGCUGAUAUGCAGCAUGUCAUCCAGAUACAAGAUCCAAAUGUUGGAUGGAUUUCACAUAUUAUAUUCCACAUAUGUGAUUCGUUUUAUUCUUGUAACAAAUUAUCCGAUCCAUAUUUGACUUGAAACAAACAUACCCCAGCUGGAGAAAUGUGUCCGAAUUGUUGAGGUCCCGAGGACAACUUCCGGCUUGGUCGCUUAAGCGGGUCACUGAUUCGGAUGAAAUCCCUUGUUCCAGCAGAGGUGUUUCGUCUUCCGAUGUGCCUGCUACCUGCAAUUAUCAGUCAGAAAAGCAAAGAUUGCAGCAUGCUCAUGCAGAGGGGCGAAACAAAGAAAUAAAGGAAAAGGGAAACUUUCACGUCACGCACUUUUUGUCUCAACUUUGCAUUCUCUUCCUUUAAUAAUGCUUCCUACAAUUCAUUUUGCAAAGAUAAGUGAGCAACCAAGAACACACAUUUCAAUGCAGUCAACCAAAUUAUAUUCCAUUGGAAUCUUAAGUAAAUUGCUCCUACAGCAUUAUUGUCGGUUACAGAUGAUCUUCAAAACUAUGAAAGCCCAAUAACACUUUUUUAUCUCCAGAUUCUCAAAUUGAAGAUUUCCCAUAUUGUUAUGCGAUUAAAUGCAGAAUAACAGAAAAUGAUUGAUAGAUAACCAAAUAGAAACAGCUGGUGAGGGUAAUUUGUCACCCGCCUUUUUCUUGAGAAUACCAAUUUCUUUCAUGAAUUUGUCACCCUGAAAUCCAAAAAACAUAGUACAUCAACACUAUGCAACAAUUGAAAGACCUUGAAAGAAGACAAAACAUGACAAGAACCUUGGUUUUGGCAAUACGACUUAACCCUGCUUCAACCAACUUUUCGAGUUUAACCAAGUCUUCCAUGCUCAGUCCUACUAGCUCUUCACCUUUGAGAUGUCUGUUACACGUGGGAUCGCAUCAUAAGUAUCACAAAACAACGAACCAUCCUCUACAAGGUAUCUGAUGGCAGAAUAUUGUACCUCAGUUCUGCGGUUUUCUCCUUGAUUUCCUCAGCAAGCAUGGCAUGGGUAUGAUUCUCCCGCUAACAAAGGAAACAUAGAUGUCCUUUCCAAUUAGAAUUAAAGCAAAAAUAUAUGCAGCUGAGAAGAGAAUUAUGAUAAUUAUGCUAUCAUAUCUCAUUUGUUUCUCUCCUUCGCUUGUAUUUUCUCAACUCCUUUUUAGUUGGUUUUCAUUUAAUUUUCACAUAUUAUUAGCAGUUAAAACUGAGUUAUGUUCAAUUAGAGAUGGCAGAAUUCUUAUAUGUCUUUACUCGAAGCUAUUUAACAUUAUUGGAAAAACCAAGAACUUCUGUUGUUGUUUGUAGAUUUCCAGAGCGCUCUUGAAAAUCUUACGAGAGGCUAAUUUCUAGACAAAAAUACUAGAGAACUUAAUACCUGCGUGUGAUGAGGUGGAUGCUUGUCUUGCCUCCCAAUGUCCUCGGAACAUAGGCGGUGCCUUUCAAUAACUUGCAUCAUACUUCAGAAGAGAAAAAAUAAGCUUAUAAUGAGUUCUGGGCACUAAGCUUAAACUAACAAUAAGAAUGAAAUAAUUCCUUAUGAUAGGUUAUAAUAUAAUUAAACUACCAAAUUUCAAAAAAACUAGACGCGUAGCUUUGCAUCAGUUUAGCAUGUUCAGUUUCAUUUUUAAAAUACUAAAUCACCAACUUACAAGGAAAUAAAAAGAGACAUAACUGGAACUUAAUUUCCUUGUCAACUUUAUGCAAUAGUUCAUCCUCUUUUUUGUCAAUAAAUUGGAAUACUAGCCAUGUUAGGUAUGCCAAAGUCUGUGAAUUAACUGACACCGCUCCCCAAACAUUGAGAAAGAUCAACAAAAGUGUGCAAACUUAGACAAAGUUAAAGUAAAUGCAAACAUGUCAUCAGGUUGUUGUAUAUGUCUCGUGAUGCUUUACAAGAAGCCUACAAAAAGGGUCAAAGAGUCAUAUCUAGGAGGUUGAUGUUAUACGAAUCUUGAUAUUUAUCACCAGCAAUGAUGUAUCGCCUCUCUUUAUAGAGUACAACCUUGCAAUCUGCAUCCAGCUGGUUUUCGUAAAUAUUUCCCAUACAAUGAAAGGCAGUAAUACAUCAUCAAGGUGACAUAUGGGUUUUUCUCUUCUACCAAUGUUGAUUAUAUUCUAGUUUGGCUAACGGGUAACCAAUAACCACCCAUUAAGAGAGAGAUCAAGUUUUAAUUUUUUUAAAAAGAUGUAUUAAUUUGAGAAAGUAUCGAAAUAUAGGGUAUGCAAUAAUUAUAAUUGUGUGUAUUCAUAUAGUAAGUUAAGUAUAAUUUAGAUACUUUUCACAGCUUUUGUUAGUGAUAAAGUUCCAUCACUUUUGCCUGAAAUUAAAAAAAUUCCACAGCUUCACUCGUGAAGUUAAAAAACUUAAUGAGAAGAAUAAAAACAUGAAUGGAAUUGUACAAUUUGAUACUUUGAGAAUCCAGAAAAGGAGUUGUACAAUUUGUUAGCUUUAUGGUCGGUUUCUCAUAGAAACAUAUUCAUCUUCCCAUAUAUUGGAUUACACUUGAAGUCUAGACAAUUGACAUAUAAGAGUUAGACAUUUCAGGAUGAGUUAGAUUUAUUGAAAUAACAUCUCCUUUUGUCUUCCAGAUGACACCAAAAAAAAAAAAAAAUUUGCUUUUCUUUUGAGGGGUUUGUAAGUUCUUCCCUUUCCCUCCCUCCAAAAAAAAAUGGAAAAAAAUUAAGCUGGAGAAUGAGGAAGGAAAGAAUUGAACCUAAAACCUCUAAUUUUUGCAAUUUCAACCUUAGUCACUCCUUCUCAACCAGGUAAAAGGUGUGUUUUUAAAUAUCAUGUUAAUUAUUAGUCCAAAGUUCAUUGUAAGUUGAGCUUCAUAGAGCCAUAUAAAUAUGCCCAAAAAAUGUCUUUUGACAAAGCUAAGAAAAUAGUUUUAAAUAAAUUAGAAUUUAGUAUCACAUUUAAAGGUCGUCCAUAAUCUAUUUCUCUGAGUCCCAAUUUUGAAUCAUAAGUUGAAACUCGAUAACUUUGCCUAGAUCUUGAGAUGAAACAUGAUACCCUAGUUAUGAAUCAUAAGUUUAAAUUCAAUACGUUAUUCUACAUAACCAAACUCUCUAAUAAGAUAAACUUUAUGGUCAAAUGCAUAUAUGCUUGCAUAUACUUGCUAAGGAAAAACAAAGUUUAAAAGAAAAGAAGGGAAAUAGAAGCUAAAAAUGUUUGGUGCAACCAAUAGUCUAACACUAUAAAUACUAUAGUACAAAAACUACAUAUUUUCCGAUUAUUUGUCACCAAAACAUAAAUUUUGUCGAAUAGGUUUCUAGGAGAUGUGCUCACGAUCAAGAAUGAACCCCCUCCAAAAAAAAAAGAAAAAGAAAAAAGACAAAAGUAGCUAAUCACUAUAGUGCACAUUUAAAAAUUUCAUUUCCUAAUCCAGAAAUGACUAGAACUAGCGUGCUUUAAUGUGCAUAUUUACUGACUUCUUCAACAAUACAAACUAGCACCAGAAACAAUAGUUUACCUGAUUUUUCACUAUCCACUCUAUUCAUCGAUUUUGUCACUGAUUUCAUUUCUUGGUGCUUUAUAACGCUUAGAAUCUUUGUCCAGACGCCGGACAUACAAAGUCAUUGUAUGCAUGGGCCUGUGUUAACCCUAUUCUUUUCACCCUUUCUUGAACUUCUUAUAUAUUGAACUACCAAUUAAUUUCAUUUUACACCAUUCAAUUAUAUUUAAAUUCUCUCGUUGAUCCCUAAUAUUAAAGUGAAAUGUUUUAGAUCUUAAAGUAUAAAAUGUGUUUCACUUUAGUACUUGAAAUAUUAAACUUGUCCCACUUUAGUUCCCAAAACAUAAAAUUUGUCUCAUUCUAAUCCCUAAAAUAUAAAAUUUAUCUCCCUUCCGUCAAUGAUUUCAUUUAAGUGAGACAAAUUUUAUAUUGUAUAGAUUUAAAGUGUCCCAUUUUAAAAUUGAAUGACCAAAGUGAAAAUGCAAAUAUAGUUAAAGAGUAUAAAGUAGAAUUAACCCUUAAACUACACAUACAGCAUGAGACUUUGCUUCUAAAUGCUGAACUACAUGUACAGAAUCAUAUUUUUCUUAUUCUCUUUCCUUUUCUUCUUCUUCUUGUUCUUCCUUUUUUUUUUUGUGAAGCAAAAACUUAAAAUAUACAAAUUAGUGUCCAGUACACUAUGCACGCUUGAAGAUAAUCAGACUAUCAUGUAAGUUCUCUAUCUAUAUAUCCUCUUCAGAAGCAUUCUUAUAGAUUUCAUUUUUGCAUCACGGAGUUUGUAAUCCAGUACUCAUGGUAAUAAGUAUUCUAGCAACCUAACGAAAAGGAAGGAGUUAGUUAAAAGCUUAGAAGAGCCAUGGAUCCUCAUUAAUGACAUAGGUUCAAGAACUCUUGAUGAUCUUUUUUACUAGGAAAAGAUGGGAAAGAAGUUGCAUGUUAUUCUCCUCCAUUUUGUUUGCCUUCGUUUUCCACAAGUCCGUUUAGUUAUGACAGUGUGUAACAUGUGACUUACAUGCCAAUCCAUCAAGUUUUGGAUAUUUAAGCUUUAUAACCUAUGUAUCCCGAGCACGAAUCAUUCAAUAGAUUCGUGAAGGGCAACACUUCCGUAACUAUCCUAAUCGUUUUCCUUUAGUUUUGGAUAGCAUUUGCAUUUGUUAGCAAAGGUAGAGAUGGACCUUAAAUUCCCAUCGUCAAGAUUAAUAGAAAUUGUUAUUCUAAGAUGAAAUAUGAUAGUUGAGCUUGCUUUCUGUUUUUUAUAUGCUCGGUCCUAUAUUUCAAGACAAGAAAACAAGGGUUAGUAGGUGCCAAACAAGGUCCUUAUAAGGACCAUCGGAAAUUACAAUCACAUCUAGAUAUGUCUAGAGUUUUUAACGAAUCAAAUCAAGACAAAUGUUGUUUGCUACACUAACUUAAAGUAUAGUUUGAAUUCGAUUCUUUAAUUUAUGCAUAUAUGAAUGAGUUUGACUUGUUAUAUUGAAUUCAAGUUCAGCAAUUUAAACUUAACGAGUCAAACGAAAAUUUGAGUAAUACAUAGUUUAGAAUGUAAACAUGUUAGUUUUUUUGAGAAAAUAAAUAACACUAAUUUUAUAUAUACUUAUUUUUUAGAGUAAAACACAAGGUAUAUAUAAGUGUUCAUAUUUACAUUUCCUUAUUUUUCAAAUUAUGUUUGUGUUUGUUCCUAAUUUUUAUUUGAACUCAAUUUGUUCUUUAUACAAUCAAACAUUUCUCAAACUCGAAUGAGCCAAAAUGAGUCAGCCACGAACAUGUUCGACAUGUCAAUGAGCAAUCUAGGUCUCAGCCACUAAAUUCAGAAACUGAUCUAUGAAUUUUACAUACGCUUAAAUCGAAGCUAAAAUGUGUCUAAGGUAAAGAACUAUGUCCAAACCGAAAUGAAUUCAAAUACUACUUAAUAGCUAUCUGCGUGUAUUAUUAUACAGAUGAGAUACGGGUUUCUUACGCAAAGUUCAAAACAAAUAUUACUAAAAAAAAAGAAAAAUCAAUUUAGUACAACCGACAUAUUCGCUAUCAAGAGUUCAUUACUAGUUUUUAUUUACCUAUCGAUGACUCAAAGAGUAGAGCUUCAAUGGAACAUUGAUGAUGGAACUAGGGAAUCAAAUGUGACAAGUUGAACUUCAUGUCCAGUCGAUAAUUUUGUCUAAUUUUAUAGCCUCUGACAUGCCGCAUAUAUACAUAUAUACACAUAUAUAUGUAUAUACAUCUAUGCACACACACAUAUAUAUACAUAUAUUGACAUAUAUAUAUAUACAUGUAUACACAUGUAUGCAUGUCCCUAGUACUAGAUGCGAAUCUUCUCUUUCGCACAAUUUGCACACAGAACCCCAAUGUAUCGGAAGAUUCUGAGAACCGGCUAACUAUGAAACCUACAUGUAUGUGUUAUAUAUAAAUAUAUAUAUAUAUAUAUAUAUAUUCUUCUGAUCAUUAUCCAACCAGGUCAAUGACAACACUUUUCGUUGACUGCUUCCCAUAUUGUUUUCUACCCAUCUCCCACAUGCAGCAGACCAGACCAUCCUAAAAAAUAGUUCGAAUGCUCGAUCCCCUCUCCCAGUGAAUUCUUGCUAGCAAUUUGGUUCAUAUGAUUCAUAUUGAAGUUGCUUAGAAGUGGAAAAGUAACCUCAAGAACUGAAAAUUUUUGGGUUAUUUACAAACUAUUUAUAAAGUACUAGAAGGAAAUGGUAACAAGUUGGAGAAAGGUGAGAAGUUAUGAGGAGGAGAAAGGAAAAAGACCUUGAGCUACAAUACUCGAAGAGCUUGCCUGUUGCUGAGAAGACUAUGAGGGCUAUCUCAGCAUCACAAAGUGUGGAGAGCUCCUGAGCUUUCUUGAAAAGCCCUCUUCUUCUCUUUGAAAAAGUCACUUGUCUAGCUGUCAAGUUAUCAAUCCUCUUGAUCUGAAUUCUUUGCCUGACCAUUUUUCUCGACUCAGAUGAAAGAUCGGACGUCAACCCUGCACAUAAAAAAGCCAUCAGUGGUGAGUAGUAGCUAGUACAAACUGUUAAGAAGUACUCAACAAGAAGAGAGGAGGAAGACGGGAAAAAAGACACGUACUAGUCCGAUCACCUAUGGGUUUCCGGCUGCAUAAAUGUCAGUCAAAAUAGAGAAAGAGAAAAUCUUGGAAGUACAAAACAGUAUCUUCAACCAAUCCCCCCUUCUCACUAAGAUCAACAGAAAUACACUCUAUUUUUAUCAAGUACAAGUUGUUGAUGAAAUCAUGCGGAUUCGAAUCGAGGAAGAUGCCAAAUAGACUAAAAACCAAUUUUAAUUAGAUUAGGCAGGAAGGAAGGAAAAAAAACCAACCUGCAGAAAGAAUGCCAAUCAAGAUCAACCCCAAAGCUUCCUCCUAGGAAGAGAUAAGAGAUUAGAGAGAAAAAGGAGGAUGAGAGGAGGAGGAGCAGCAGGAAUAUGAGAAGACCAACUAGAUUUGGAAUAAAGGCCAAGAAAGCAUGAAAAAGACCCAAAAUGUUCCAAAUUACAGAAGUGGAAACAUGAAAGCUAUGGGGAUAAAAAAAUUCUCCUUGAAAUUACCUUUCUAGGAUAUUGGUUGUGGUGCUUUUGGAGGAUCCACACCACCAGAUACAGCUCCACUAAUGGCGGACAGAGUGAGAGAAGACAAGAAGAGAGAACUAGUACAAGUAAAACUAAAUAUGAUGAGGAAUGGAGUACUGCCUUCUACUUUCUUUUUUUUCCUUGUCAAUCUGAUGUCUGAAGCUUAACUCAACUGGACAGACCCUUGAGAGGAUUCCGGUAUUCCACUUUUGGCCAAACAAACUGUCAAUUUUAUCUAUUUUUUAAUGUAAUUUUUCCAGGAUGUUGGAGUCAAAGUCGUCUGCUAAAAGAACCAUUCUUUAUUUGGAGGUCUACCAUCAAUACUAAUUUUGUUGGAGUCAAGAAAAAAUGUUUUAUAGAGAAAAAAAAAUGGAAUAAAGCUAUUGAUGUAUUUCUUGUUUGCAAGCGUACCUUUUAUAAAUAAUUAAGAUGUAUGCUGUAUCAUUUUCAAGAUACAAGAUUAUUUUUUGUGAAACUAUAUGCACAAGCAAUAAUGCAAUUCUAAGUCACCAACAGAAUAUAAAAAAAAAAAAAAAAAAAAACAGAAAGUAUGAGAAGUGAGGUCAAGAACUUUAGCUAAGUUGUUACCCAAAUCGAGAGCAUAUAGCAACCCUCACCGUACUUUUAUACAAUAUAAAAUAAAAUAAUAAAGAAAUAAUUCAGAUCUUACAAAUUAUAUUUCAUUCUUUCAGAAAAAAUGCCCAUUUUAUUGACCUUUUGAAAUCAAAUCGUUGGUGAAUGCUUUUCUUGACGUCUUACUAUUCAUUGUACAACAAUUUAAAGUCACAGUUAUGGCAUGUAAUAGACUUUACAAAAACAAUCUGAGAAGAGUUUAUAUUCCCGUGUUUCCUUUGGGCUCUCAUUAAAAGUGUAGUUGUUUCAAAAAAAAAUACGAGAAUGGAAUGCAAGAGUGCAAUAAAUUGUAUUUAAAUGAUAACUUUGAUGCGAAAAUUGAAAUAUGAAUUGCGUGGAGAGAGUCGUGGCCAAGGGCAUCGUUUGUCUCAAAGCUAAAUGAUACACAUUUACCUCAAAUAUGCCUUAAAUAUGUUCAAAAUUCAAUCCUAUGGUCUCCAUACAUGUUUACCUAUUCCUAAAAAACCUUGGACCGCUAUUUUUAUGAACUUUAUUCUGAUCUAAGAGGAGAAAUGAUAGUAAUUUUGUUGUGGUUGAUAGAUUUUUCAUAAUGACACAUUUUAUUCAUUGCCAUAAAAUAGAUCAUGCAUCUCAUGUUGCUAAUUUGUUCUUCAAAGAAAUCAUUGAUUUGCAUCGUAUGCCAAUGACAAUUGUGUUUGAAAAAAAAUAAAUGAUGAAGGCAAAGGUCAAGAGCACGUGGAACAAGUUAAAGUUCCAAUUGGACCAGUCGCAAGAGCUCGAACGAAGAGGUUGCGUGAUGAGCUUUCAAAGACUGGUUCGUGGUGGUGUUCAAAGUUAAGAAAUCAUCCCAAAAGUCAUUGAAGGUCUUGAGAAUAAAAUAUUGGAAACUUGUUCAUCCUGUUCAAGUAGGGGAAGAGUCAGAUGAAGCAAACCCUAGUUAUAUGCAUUAAGUUACUAAAUUGUUAAACACUAAAUCUGAUAUAUUUAAAUGCAAAUCACAUUAUGAUAAAUGAAUAAAUUAUCACUUAUUAUUUGGAGUAAAUUUGAUUUAUAAAAUUUAAUGUCACUUAAUUAAUUCAUAUAUUCUAUUUUUUUAGUUAUGAAACACUUUUAAAUAUGUUAAAAUUUAAGUUCAUUAAAUUUAAAGGUGUGUUUCAUAAAACUAAAAUCUAAAAUUUGAAACCGUUAAGUGACUAAAUUGUUACGUACUAAAUACGAUACAUUUGAGUACAUAUCACUUUAAGUGAUAUGUGAAUAACUUAUUACUUUUUUUUGAGUAAAUUUUGUCUAGAAAAUUCAGUGUCAUUUAAUUAAUUCAAAAUUUUUAUUUUUUUUUGUUAAUUAACAUGUUAAGAUCUUUAAAUUUAAGUACUGAAUUGGGUUAUUAAAUAAAGUCUAAGUACUAAAUUCGGUUAUCAAACACGACAUUAGUGCAUGUAUUUAUAUGAUAACUUAGAUGCGAUUCUAAUGUAUUAAAGAUAGAAUUUAUAAAAAAAAAUCCUUACGAAAAAACUUCAUAUAAGUGAUGGAAAGAAUCCGUUGCUUAAUUGAGGAUUUUUUUUUCAAUAGGCGCUCAUUAGACACCUCUGAGUUUAAAUUCAAUUUAGCAGUUAGAUGCACAUGUUUCAUUUAUGAUCCCUUUGACUUAGCCACUUUUUCAAUUUAUUUUCACCUACCCAAAAAGUUGAUAGCCACUCGUAACCCUCACCUAUUUAGCAACUAAAUCCCUUAACUAAUACUCCACUUAAGCACUUUGUGAGGGUGGUGAGAUAUUUAAAAAGGCAGUUCGAGAUGUCCUUUUUAGAAAAAUAAAUAAAUAGAGAAACAUGAAUGGUUAAGUGAUGGUGGUGGUGCCAUGCCAUCCGUACACUGCAAAAGCUGGAGCAUGUCGUGUCACAGGAUUCAUGGCAGCACCCUGAAGGAGACAUACUGCUGUGUUAUUAUUAUUUUUUUUUGUCGAUACAGACGUGUCCAGAUCAAUUCUUACGGGGCCUAACUAAUCCCUUGCGGCUUGGGGCCGGCGCCCUAACCCGAUCCGAACAUGUUAAGUACGUAGAGGAAUCCAGCGGAGCGGAGACUCGAACUUGUGACCUCAAGAUUCACUGAUGAGAGGCGCUGCCGCUGGACCAUUCAUGCGGGCGACAUAUUGUUGUGUUAUUAAUAUGGUUUUUUUUAUAGAAUUAAAUUAUAAUACCCCUCAGGCAUUGCUUGCCACCAUUUGUUGACACUUGUACGACCCAGUAAACUAAUUACAGCGCAACGGAUCCUUUAUACCACACUCUGUCUCACAUCCUAUCCCAUUCCUUCUAAUCUUGUCAAGUGUCCCUUUAUAAACCAAAUUCUGAAGCAAUCAACUCGGACCAUAUUUAAUUAGUUAAUCGAUUAAUCGGGCAAAAAAACUUAAUCUCUGUAACCGGUUAUCAACUAAAAUAAAAAUUCAAUCAUAAAAUUAGAGAUUAAACAAGGGGAAAAAAACCACGAAACCUGAGUCGUCAUCUCCACCAUACCCUUCGAAACAAAAAGAAUCAGAUAUCACUCCUUCUCAAAAGCAUCUUUUGGGUGAAACUCAUCAUCUCAUCAGCGUGUUUCGGGAAUGGCAAUUGAAUGACACUCACCACCUGUUCAUUGAGAAAUUCAAAUUCAUGAUGAUUCUUUGCUUCUUCAUUGAAUAAUAAUUACCCAUAUUUUAUCCAGCAAAUCGUUGAGAAAAUAAAAAGGAUCCAUGAAAUUAAGAACUAUCUUGGACGCAGCAGGCCAGAAAUUAACACUUUCGGCAUUUGGGAAAUACCAAUGCAUAAGAAAAUUGCCACUCCAAAACCUUUUCUGCUAAACGAAAGCUAGUCUUCAACUGAACAGUGGGAGUAUGUGAAUUUUCCUUCAAAUAAUUACUCUUUUCCUCAAUGGGCAACUCAAAGAAUUUAUGCAAAGGGAUUGAUGGGUUCGUCUUGUUUCAGUCUUUAAGUUUCGGGAUUUCUUUUUUAAAAUCUCUGUUGAUUGAAGAUCUAUUUGCUUAAGAUGUUUUUUGUUCAAAAAUUUUUGUGCUUUUGUGUUUGUAUUAUACCUGUUGAAUUGUGAGUGAUAUCUGAUGAGAUGAUGAGUUUCACCCGAAAGAUGCUUUUGAGAAUGAGUGAUAUCUGAUUCUUUUGUUUCGAAGGGUAUGGUGGAGAUGACGACUCAGGUUUCAUGGUUUUUUCCCCUUGUUUAAUCUCUAAUUUUGUGAUUGGAUUUUUAUUUUAGUUGAUAACUGGUUACAGAGAUUAAGUUUUUCUGUUCUAUUAAUCGGUUAACUAAUUAAAUAUGGUCCGAGUUGGUUGCUUCAGGAUUUGGCUUAUAAAGGGACACUUGGCAAGAUUAGAAUGAGUAGGAUAGGAUGUGAGACAGGGUGUGGCAUAGAGGAUCCGUUGCGUAAUUACAGCCAAGCAUUUCUUGCUCUCAGCGAAUUGUCCAAUACGAAUUUCAGACAAAAUGACUCGAAAGAAGUUUUCUGUUUUCGGGCACUAUUUGUUUUAUUAGUGAAAAAUGGUCGUUUGACUAAAAAAAAAAAAAAACAUUUGGGCGACUCAACUAUAGUAAGAAACAUGCAAUGUUUCAUAGCUCGUAUAAUUUAUAAAAAAAAAAGUACACAUUUUGGUAAAAAACAUAUGUAUGCAUUAGUUGAGCGGUCACUUUGACUAAACAAAGUGAUGAAUGAUCAAAACAUGUCUGAAUAGUUUAAUAACCAUUUGCUCAAUUCCUCAAACUUAUAUGGAUAAUGAACUAAAAACAUCUUAUACUACUUUUAGCCAUUAAAAUUCUUAGGAGAAUGAUGAGCCUGUUUGGUAAACAAAUUUUGGGCUAAGUUUGUCCGUUGUAAGUUUAUGACAACUUUAACUAUAUAAAUUUUAAAGAACAUCUCAAAAAUUUUAAACUAUAUAUUUCAAAAUAUAUAAAAAUUUAUACAUUUUUAAAAAAAAUUUCUACAACUUCUACAGUAAGUUACAAUAAAAUUUUAGACAAACAUCAAAAAAAUUCAUUUGCCGAAUGAAGCCAAUAUCUAGUACAAACUCCUAACCGAUAGAACCUUACCGCUGUUUAUUUCAUUAAAUGACUGAAUCAUCCUUCAUUUCAUUCGCAGUAUACCAUUUGUUAUUUUUAAACUCCAAUUAAUCCACUUAAACUUCUAAAUCAUGUGAAUCUUUCCAGAUUAGCUGGAAAUACUCCAUCGGCCCUAUUCCCUUGUCACCAUCUCUCCACUAAAGCACCUAACGACAACAAUAGCCUUCCUAAUCUGCACGUAUUUUCGAGGCAAAUUAUUCACGGUGUAAGGCUCAAUUAUAUACAACAUGAAUUUUGGACGUCUUCAUCUAAAGCACUAGAAGGCAUCAAUUUGAGUGCUUGAGUAUAGAAGGGAGGAGGUUUAAAGCUCUAUUUGUUUUGUGCUUAAGUUAAAAGGGAAAUCUAGCUAGAAGCAAACUACUCCACUAAUUUGAGAGAAAAAUACAAUUUCUGUUAAUUAACAAGUUGAUUUAAUUGUCCCUCGGUACAUUUAACCAAGAAAGAAAGAAAAAACAAACUGUCAAGACAACAAGAUUUAAACCCCCCCCCCCCACCCCUUUCCCCAAAAAAAAAAAAAAAGAGUAAGUAAGUAAACUGUCAAUAUUACAUCAGUUUUAAAAGUAAAGAAUCUAACAAAAAUUUAGUGGUCAAAAUAUUAAACUUUAAUGAUUUAAUCGUGUGGUUAAGUGUCAAACUACAUGUAUUUGUGAGUCUUGUGACUGGUUACGUUAACAUCCAAGUUGCCUAGGUGGUCCAAUAUGUAGGAUGUUGAUAUUUUUAGGCCACGGAAUGCAGUUGUCUUGCCCUUAUCAAUUCUAGGAAAAUUACUAUUGUUUCCCAAAGCCAAGGCCAUUCCUAAUUCAAUCACGAACCAAAUACUACUGUAAUUUAAGUUGGAACCAGACACUAUAAUAGUGCAAAAAUUGGAGUAGUUUUUAGGCUCCAUUUGAUUGGAUUUUAAAUCUCUUAUGCGUCGUUAAAGACGAUUUUUUUUUUAUACUAACAGGUUUAAAUAUUUUUUAUUCUUCUAAAAUAGGUUUCGAUGAAAAUUGUAGACUAUCUUUUGGUUAUGCUCUCUCUAUAUAGUAUAUAUUUGUAUAUUUACUCGUGUAUGAAUGAGAGGAUUUGUUGUGAUGUUAAAAUCAGGGGCAGACCCAAGUGGUUCAAAAAUCAGAAAUUAUACGUUAACAAGUUUCUAUAAUUAUUUUCAAUUACAUUUAUAUUUAUACACCUACAUUUUAUAAAAUUUUAUUUUACUGUCAUAUUGCGCCCUGGAAAUACUGAAGUUUUUCACUGUCCCAGUUGAAAGGAAAAAAAUACCUAUUGAACAAAGAAGAAAUUGAAAUUUUUUUUUUUUAAAAAAAAACUAAGCACAACAAGAUUAAUAUAACCUUUAUCUCUUUUUUUUUUCCUUUUCUAUAACAACAAUUAAAACUUAAGUCAAUUUUUAUUGGCCCAAGUGAUUGUCGCCCCCCACUAAUCAUAGGAUCUUAGCUGUGCAUUGUCUAAAAUUUAAAAAUUUUGAGUUGUCACAAUCUACACGUACAGUACUUUUCACCAAAAGAAUAAAAAAAGACGUAGUAAGGUAAUCUAGGCAGGCAAAUGUGUCGGUCGCUGAGGUGCUUUGUUACGGCACGGUGGAACGAUAGUCCGCAGGAUGUACAUUUCGUUUGUGCUGCAAAACAAACUACUAUUUUUCUACACGUUACGUAUAUAUAUAAAAGCAUUUUAUUUCUUGUUGAAGACAUUAGCAAUUUUUUUUAUACUGAUAUAAAAUAAAAGAAAAUUGAUGAGUUCGAACCCAGUUACUGUCAAAUCAUGAGUGUGUUUGGAUAGUAAAUUAUUUGAAAUAAUUUUAUGAAAAAAAUACUAUAAUAUUUUUUUUAUAUAAUAUAUAUGAGAUAAAAAUGUGAUUAAAAAAUUUGUUGAUGAUCCAAGUAAGUCAAUAUAUAUAAAUAAGAUGUAAAUAAUAUAUACAUUCCAAACACACUGAAUGGUCUGUUUGGAUUGUGAAUUAUUAGAGAUAUUUUUACUGUAGCACUUUUUGUGAUGUGAUGUAUGUGAGAUAAAAAGGUAAUUGGGAAGGUAAAAAUGUGCAUUGGAAAUUGUAAUGAUGAUAUAAGCAAAUAAAUUUUGAGAAAUAAAGCCCAAUCCAAACAAAGCGUUCAUGUCCCCCAUAACCAAAAAUUGCUUGCAAUUAUCAAAUGAACCAACUUACGUUGCUGCAUAAACAUUAGCAGUUUCCUUAUAAAGGUUACUCCCCCAAUAUCUGUUGGCCACUUACAGGUGAAAGGCUGCUGAACCAAUGAAGCGGCAGAAGUGACUACUUCUGCCUUUCAGACUCAGUGACGUGAGUGAAUGACUGGUGCCCACCGCACGGCCACUGCUGUGCGAACAUUGGGAAGUAUACUCAUUGUUCGGUGGCUCAAGUCUUCGAAUGGGAUUAAAAAUAUCUAAAGCAUCAUUAUGUAGACAUGAUCGUCCAGAUAUCAACUCCCAAGUCUCCAAUAAUCAUUGAUUAUUUAUUUCUCCCUCCAUCCUAAUUUAUUUAGUAAUGUUUCAUGAAUUUAAUUUUUUAAAAAUAGUGAUUUAAUUGUGAUGUUUAUAUUUUUUUUUCAAUUUUAUUUCUAUAAAUUCAAAUUUUAAAUUUGAAUGAUAAUACGAAGAUUAUUAGAAAGAAUGGCUAUAUUGGAAAGAAAAACUAAAAAGUGUCUUGACUUUUUUUAACAUGAUAAAUGUUUUGGAGCACCUCUAAAAUGGGAAGCAUGACACUUUCAGUAGGACGGAGAGAGUAUUAUUAUUAUUUUGUCUUGAGAUUAUAAAUUUAGAAUCCAGGUGAAUCCAUGGCUGGCCGCUUAUUAUAAGAUCUGUGCAUCUCUUUAACCGAUGAAUUACUAUAGGAUCAUGUAUCCAUUUAAGACUUUCGUGCAUAAUUAAAAUGGCCCUAUUAGUUCGUAAUCCGACUACAAUUAUUAUUAUUAUUAAAAUUAAUUUUACAUAUACUGAAAGUAUAUAUAUAUAUAUACACGAUAUAUGUAUAUACAUAUAAAUUGAAUUUUAAAUUUAAAUUCAAAUUAAUUAUUUUGUAUCUAAUGAUGCUAGUAUAUAUACUAUUGAUACAUAAAAAUUUAAUCUAUUUUUAAAUCAUUAUAAUCACCUUUACGCUGUUGAGCAUGCAUUUUCUUUCUCUUAUACAAAAGAUUCAUUAGUAAAAAGUUUCUCAUAAGUACUACAUUGUCAUAUUUUUAGUAAAUCUUCUCAACUCUUUGGGUGGUGAUAGACCAAAUGUAUUGGGCUAGUUUCUGCAAAGGUAUGUGAGGCAGGGGACCUGCCCACUCAGUUAGUCCCCCAACUCCCCGCGAGGCUUCAAUACCUAGGAGACUUUGAGAGCAGUAACCAACCGAUUGCAGCAAUCUCAUUCGUGAUCCAAUAUGAAUACCGACAAGCCGUUUGGUUCAUUGGUUAUGAGGGUACCCAAUGGGAAUAACCAUUAAUGAUACUUAUUGAUGGCAUUUGGUACCCUACUAUGGCGAUGAAUCAAUGACAGUGAAAAACCUAGUAAAACUUUUCUAUCACCCCAUUUCUGAGUAAAUGGGACACUUUUGGUACCAACAAAAUAAAAUAAAAAAAAACCAUUCCCGAUUACCGAUUGUUCCACAUUUAAGUGGCUGGUUUCUAAAAAAAAUCCGGGGCUGUGCACAGUGCACCCGUCUGGUGGUGCAGUGGUGAUUCAGUUCCUUCCGGAUUAUUCCUGAACCUCUUCCCCUUAAUGUAGAAUAGAUUAGAUUUACCAUCUCUGAAAAAAAAAGUACCGAUUAUUCCACAAAAAAAGGAUUUCUCUCUUUCUUCAUCGUCAUCUCAUUUGACUCAAUAAUGUCUCUCUCUUUCUCAUCUAUUUCUCUCCCCAUUCCCUCUGCGAACUUCAUUCAAUUUUGUCUACCAGAUUCUCAACUCUUGUAGUUUUACAUUACGCGCUAACCCACCUUCUCUCUCAUAUGAAACAACAAGAGGUAGAAAGAUGGUUGGGGUAUAUUUUUCUGCUGGUGUUGGGAGUGAUUGAUUUUAAAACCUUCAAUUGAUGGUAGAAAAAAAUUAACUAUUCAUGGAAAAUCAAAUUUGUUGGUAGAAGUUGAUGUUGAUCGCAGUAGUUUUUUAGAUUAUGAAAAUUUUAAAAGAUUUUAUGCUUUCAUUGAAAACUAAUAGGUGGAGAUGAAUUGGAGAUUGAAAAUAUUUCGAACUAGGCAAAGAAUAAAUUGAUGAUAUGUUAGUAGCUGUUGGUGGCGGCUGACUGUUGUAGAUCCAUUAGGAAGUAAAAACAAGAAUUAUGGUGAAGUAAAAAAAUUGAUUUUACAUAUUAAAAAUAAUAACAAAAAAUUCAUUAGAUUUUCAUUGCACCGACAAAAGGUUUGGCCAAAACCCAUUGCGAUUGAAGGCUCUCUUAAUACUCAUUGCCAUUACCAUUACGAAGUACCAACCAAACGGGUGGUGGCAAGCUUCAUUUGGGAGUUUAUCAUUGGAGGAUGAAAAAAAUGGAAAUGGAAUUAGCAAAAGAUAAACUUUUAUACAUUGACAAUGUAUACCCGAUGAAUCUAAAGUUAUGUCAUAUGUGCAAAAUUUAGAAUUAAAAUUCAAAAUUUACACAUGUGUUAUAUAUCUAAAUUUCCGAGUUUAUAAACUUUCAAUAUAAAGAAGGAUUCAUCUAGUAACAAAAUGUUGGUUUUUUUCCCCUCUUAUAAUGAAACAAUUGGGUAUAAGAGGAAAAUAUUAUCACCAAAAAGUUCUCUAUUUGAACUCAAAGGAAACUAGAAAAUAUACCAUCAACUUUACUCGUAACGAGACGGGCAAAGCAAAGUGCAAAUACAUUAUUGCUAAUUUCUCAUGCCUCGAACUCACAAAUAUCCAAGAGCUCAUCUUGAAAAAAGAAUACUUAUAUUCUUUCUUGGGGUUUAAAAAUGGUUAUCCAGCAAAUUACGUAGUUAAACUACACUUAACAGACACCAUAUGUUGUGAACUUGCCUUCGACAACUACAAAUGAGUCCAAAACAAUUGGUGCAACAUCAAUUCUACCUUGGCAAAAAAUAGAUACUCAAUUCGUAAGUUCUAACUUGUCAUAUCAUCAAACAUACAGCCAAUUUGAUCUCGUCGGCCAAUUGACAUGACAUGAUUAAUCCCUUUUCUCUUCGUCAAUGGAAGUAUGAAACUAGUUUUUAAGCGAUCCAUUACCAAAAGAAAAACGAAAAAAAUUUCUCUGCAUCCCUGUUGAUAAACAGCCAAACAAGGCUGAAGUGUGGGUGGCAAAAUCAACCUGGAAACCUCCUUCGACUUUUGACUCGGAGCUUUAAGUUUGUUUAGAUCGCAAUUUUUCUUAAAAUUUUUUUUUAUGAACAUAUUUUUUGAUUAUUUUAUAUACAUCAAAUUAUUAUAAUAUAUUUUUUGCUACAAAAAUACUAGAAAAAUUAUUUAUCUCGUAUAUAUUAAAGUAUUACAAUAUGUUUUGGUUACAUGGAGGUUAGAGAAACGACAAUUGAAUCUAUUUUCUACAAAAAAAAAACUUCAAAAAAUAACUCUGAAUGUCGGGUGUACCGGUUACCGUUGUCAGAAUCUACACCCCAAGUGCAAUUAAAGCACAUUUUACACGCAUUUGAACACCCUCAUCAAAUUACAAAACUCCCCCUUUAUCCCUACCCAAGAAAAUUAUUUUAAAAUCCUUCCCUUACAAAACACGUGUACCUUCUUGUCCACCCGAAAAAUCACACUACCCACUUUAUGCUCGGCAGAAGUCUAUCAGUAGUGCUCUUCACUUCCCCAGAACAAAACAAAACAAAAAUAAAAAUAAAAUACAAUAAAAAUGGAGCUUCCAUUUUUCACCACCACGGCCGCCACCAGCAGCAGCAGCAGCGCCACCACCAGAGCGGAAGCUCUACGGUGGUUAUCUAUAGCCGAGAAGCUUUUAGCUGGACGUGACCUCGUGGGUAGCAAAUCAUUCGCGGCCCGGGCAAGAGAAUCCGACCCGACCCUUUUGUACGCGGACCAAAUAAUCGCCGUUGCCGACACCCUCCUCUCCGGAGAUAAGCGGAUCAACAACCUCCACGACUGGUAUUCUGUGCUGCAGCUCACCCCUCAGCAGUCCCGCGACGCCGAGCUCAUCGCCGGUCAGUACCGGAAGCUCGCACUUCUUUUAAACCCGCAGAAGAAUAAGCUCCCCUUUGCCGAUCAAGCCUUCACACUUGUGGUUAAUGCCUGGCAAGUAUUAUCUAACCCCUCUAGAAAGAACAUGUACGAUAGCGAGCUGAUGGCUCACCUCAGAGUCAACCCGAUGAGUCCUGUCCCUCCUGGGUUUAAUCCGGCUAGCCCUAGGGAACAUGUUAACUAUCAGCCAUUUGAGAUAAAUUUUCAGGUGAUGCCUCAGCAUGCAAUGAGCAAUCGAGAACAAGUGAUGCAGCCCACCCAGCCCCAACAUGGGACGGUUAGAGAACCAACCCGGAGUCAGAUUUUACCCCCGCAAAAUCUGACUCGUCAACCCAUCAGUCAAAAUUUGCCGCAGCAGAAUCUGAGUAGAGAGCAAGGGAGGCAACCCCAGCCCCCGCCUCAACCCCAGGCCCAGCUUCCACCUCAGCCCCAGCCCCAGCCCCAGCCCCAGCCCCAACCCCAGCAGCAGCAGAGGAAAGAUAAUUUGAUGGGUAACAAUGCAACCCAUGAUUUUUCUAGUAGUAUUGGCAACGCUAGUAAUACUAAUGAUAACAAUAAUGUUCAUGAUGAUGAUGUUGACGUUGGUAAUAAUAGUGACGUUAAUCGAAGAGACGAGGAGAGGGGAAAGGAUGGAUCAUCAGAUGGUGGGGCAUUGAGUUUCUGGACAGCAUGUCCUUAUUGUUAUUAUAUGUACGAGUAUCCUAGUGUUUAUGCGGAUUGUACCUUGAAAUGUCAGAAUUGUAGGAAGGCGUUUCAAGGGGUGGAGCUUCCAUCACCACCCCCCAUUGUUGAUGGCCAGGAUGCAUACUUUUGUUGUUGGGGAUUAAUGCCAUUGGGGGUUUCCAUGGAGAUUUUGGAGAGGAACAGGGGGAAGGGUGGAAAAUGGACUCCAUUUUCGCCUAUGUUUACUUGUCCAAAAGGGAUGGGAAGCAAUGGGAAUGCUGGGAAUUGGAAUGUGAAUAAUGGGAAAAAUAAUGCUGCGGGACCGAGGAGUGGGAAUGUGGGUAGUAAAAAGAAGAGUUCAGGUCCAAGAGUUUAUGUAGAUGAUGAGGAUGUGUUUUUGGAAUAUUCGGAUCCAAGUGAGGAAUCUGAUGAUGAUUGGCGAACUGAAAUGAGGAAGAAGAAAGCAAAAGGCGAGAAGAAAAUGAAGGUUGUGAAAAAUAAAGGAACAGGAACACCUGGUCGCAGAGGCAGACCACCAAAGGUUGACAAGGGGAAGAAUCCUAAAGGGGAGAGUGAGAAUGUGCGAGAAGGCUUGGUUGUUCAAGAGGGUGUUGAAGUGCCUAAUGCACCCUCUGCAGAGUCAAGUAAGAAAGUGGCUGCUACUUGUGGAAGGAGGCAUUCUGCGAGAGUUGCAAAGGACUUUGGGAAGUUAGACUUGAAUGUGGAAUUUAAUAAUGAGGUUGAAGAGCCUGCACCAAGGGUGGUCCAAGGAAAUGGAACAGGCCGUGGGGAGGAGGAUAUCAUUGAGGGGAGUGGUUUUUUUGAGGGUCUGGAUGAGUUCCUAAGCACUCUUCCAAUACUCAACGUUGUAGGUGAUGAUAAGGUCAAGGCUGCUUAGUGAAAUUUGGAUCUAUCCUGUUGUAGUUUUAGCUACUUUUUUGUUUUUUUAAUGCCUGUAGAACUUAAUGAUGUAGAGCAACUUGGGCAUUUUCCUUUAUUUUUCUUGUGUAGUCUAAUUGAAUGUACAUUCAGCAGCAGGAUGCUUUUUAUGGUACGGUUUACAGCUUCAGAAUCGAGCUGUUUAAUGUUUAAGAACUAUUUUCGUUUUUACUUAGUUUUAAAAUUUUGCCUCGGCAAGUUGCCAUUUUACGUGCUUGGUUUUCGAUAUGCAAAAAUGCAAUAUUAAUAUGUUAUGUUCUUCAAAUGUUCUAAUUGAUUUUCUUUUGCACCUUGAAUUCUGAUAUUAAGAUGUGAAAAUGGAAUGGAAGGAUCUGCGAAUCAUUUCUCAAGCCCCUUAACUCAUUUUUGUCAUGGAUAUUGCACCUACUCUCUCUUUGUUUCAGAUGACCCCAUAUUAUCUCCUAAACCUUUGAGAGAAUAAAAUUCUCAACCUUGCAGUCAAAGGGCUUCCGGUCUCUGGUUGACGCAUGUCACGUAGGACUACACAACAACGAGAGGAUGUAAUGAUAAAAGAUAAAGGUAGUUUGUUCUAUUCUCGUCUACCUAGCUAUGAAAUUCUCGUGUAUGCAUCACUGAAAUUAUUAUAGACUUGACAAUGUCUUCCCAUCCUGCAAAUUGGCCUUUUCAAAUAAUACUCUAUCCGAACACACUCUUUUGCUGAAGAUAAAUGUCCUUGUCUGUAAUGAAAACUCUUUUCUGCAGUUGAUGUUGCAAUAAGGUGAAGUUCCUCCACUACGUGCUUUCCUGAAUCUUAUUCUUUUCUAUCUUUACAUUUGGCUUGUGGUCAACAGAUUGCUUUACGCAUUCUUCAGAGCCCAAAGGGAUUUAUGGGGGGCUUUUUAACCUGUGGUUUGCUAUCUGCAAAUGUCUAGAUGUCUGCCUAUUGCUGGUAUGCACUUCUCUAGUCUUUUUUCUGUUUAUUUGAAUGAUAAAGGCAUGGCACUAUAUUAUCAUUGUUGUAGUUGUCUCUGAGUGUUUUCUUGCAGGGAUCUGUUGGUCUUGUGUAUGAUGGAGAUGGUAUUUCACCUUCUUUGCGGUAUAAUAUCAAUUAUUUUUGCAUAUACAAGAUAGUUUCUUUCACUUGAUCGUGCUGUUCAUAUGAAUGCCAGUGAUUGAUUUACUCUUGCAACUGCACUUUCAUUUUCUUCUUGCUUUCAUGAAUCAACUUAGUAGAGGAAAUUGUGAAACAGUAGCUAUCAGCGAAGCAGCGAGAACCAAACCAAUUUGAGAAGGGAAAUGGAGUUCCUCUCCUCUUUUUCUUAGCCCACUCUCUUUUGCUUGAUUUUCAUCAUGUUUUGCCCUGCUGCAUUUGAGAACCAUAUUUUGGCAAACAAAGAGUGAAAUUUGUCAGCCCCCCACUGCACCUAGCUAUAGUCAUGAAGGCAUUGGAUCGUAAACCUGACAUAGGCCAUCUGAAAUCUGCUAACUCGAUGGUUACUUUUGCUUCUCUCAUGUAUUGAAAUGAGUUCUUAUUAGCUGUUGUUGAAUCUGUCAUUUUCGUACUGCUGAGCUGCAAACUACAUAGCAUGUCUUACGUGCCGCUAUCUUUCGUUCUUAUGGAAACACUGCACAUUUGGAAUCUGGAGGUUGGAGCAUACUUGUUGAACCAUUUAGGAUUAAUACUGCAUGGUGACAAGCUUGCUACUGCUGUUUGACAACAAUUUAUGGAGUAAAUUAUUUGUCAGUGAUCUUAUUAGCAAGUACAACUUCUCAGACGGUCCUUGCCUUUUCCUUGUGCUUGAGUAUUUUGAUCCUAAAUUUCUCUCUCGUUUAUACUCUACCAUCUGUAGAGGUUACAGCUAUCUUCUCGUUGGCAUUUUCCACGACUUAGGUUUUAUCCGUUCUCAAGAAUCGGGGACAAAGUUGAAACUUUUGAUACGUCAAUCAGUGUUUCAUGCUGAAGGAGCAUAUUCCGAAGUCAGAAAGUGGUAAACAUUUAUUCCCAAACUGUUGCAGAAGGAUGCAAAAUCAUGAACCAUGUUGAUUGCCGGAGACAAAAGCAGCCAAGGAGGGUUUUGUAUUUCUAAGCAUGGUGAUGUGCCUAUGUUAUUCAUGGUUUAGUUGGAGAUGAAGGGGAAACAAUUAAGCAACUAGAGUGAUGUUGGAGAUGAAAGGGAACAUUUAAGCUCAUUUAAGAAAAUGAGCUGAUAAUGAGGACCUUCGGAACCUAGAAAUUAUAAUUAUCUUCAGAAUAGUUUAGACUUCUCACUCAUUCAAAACUUCAUCUUUGCGCCAUAAAUGUGACUUUAUUUAUGGUGAUGUGCCUACUUUGUUCAUGGUUGAGUUGGAGGUGAAAGGGCACAUUCAAGCAAUUGGGGUGAGGUACUCCUAACAAGAGGUUGAACCAAGAAAAUGAGAUGAAUUUUGGGACCUUCAGAGCCUGGAAAAAAUAAUUAUCUCAGGGAUAUCGAGAUGAUUGCAGAGUACUGUUUUUCACUGCUUCAUUCAUUAAAAAAUUCGUCUUUGCGCCAGGUACUCGUCCAAACAAGACAAAAUAUUUUUUGCCUCCUGACUUGUGAGGCUGCACGGACGUAAGACUAGUUUUUUCUCCUUGCCUUUUGUUGAGAUUAUAAAACGUAUUUCUUCUUUUCAUUUAGCAUAGGAAAUUCAUUUUCUACCGAGCAAUUUGGUUAAUUAUAUUAUAAGUUGAUUUUCAGAAACAUGUAUUUCCAUUUCAAUAAGAGGAGGUAAAGCCCAAGAGAAACAUCGUUCGGAAGCAAGGGAUAUCCACAUAAGAUGGAAUGGACUGUGCCCCACAAAUUUGUUCUCUCUGUCGUUCCUGGACUUAUCCACGGAAGCUGGCAGCAAUCAACGGAAAAUCCAUUCCCGCCUGUAAAGGUACUCCCCUAUCAUGAUUCUUAUGAUUAACAUAACGGAUAAUUGCGGAAACCUACCCUGAGGUUUUUAAUAAUUUCACUUGGCUUCCCUAAAGUUUUAAAAAUUACACUUACCUCCUUUAUACAUUUAAAAUGACAAUACUAACCUUAGUAUUUUUAAUAAAACUCUCUUGCUACCAUAUUUAUGCAAAGGACAGAUUUCAUAAUUUUUUUUUACAUUUUUACUUCUUUUUCAUUUCUUUUAUAUUUCAUUAAAAGUAUAGAAGAAAUAUCAAUGCAAUGUUGUCCAUAAUAUCUAUUCAAAUUAAACAUUAAACUAGUAAUAUGUUUUUGAUCAUUUUUAAUAUCAUUCAAUUUUUUUGUAACUCUUUUUUUUUUUGGUAUCAAAAUCAAGGAAAAGUCAACAAUGAUUAAAAACAAAUAACCCAAAAUCACUACUAAAUUAUGAUAGUUCUAUCAAUAAACUAGUCCAUAAACUUUUGUUAAAAAAAUAGUCCAUAAACUUUAAAAGAAACAAAUUAGCACUUUUUUUCUAUCUCAAAAAGAAUUUAUAUUCCCAAUAAAGCACUAUGAAAAAUAUCCUAUUUUAGCAAAAGAUUUAUUGCAAUAGUUGAUUAUUAAAUAACAAAUAUUGCCAUGAAAAAUUGACACUCUUUUUGUUUUGAAGAACAAAUUGGACUUUGUAAAAUAAGUGCAUUUUAGGAUAUUCAUUAAAUUUUUUACUCUAUUCUAAAGUUUGGUUAUCAAAGUAUCAAAUCAAGGGAGGUAAGUGUAAUUUUUAAAACGUCAAGGGAACCAAGUGAAAUAAUAAGAAACCUCAAGGGAGGUUUCUGAAAUUAUCCCUAACAUAAAAUACUAGCAAUUUAAACAAAUCAAUCUGUUUAAAAAAAAAGAAAAGAAAAAGAAAAAGGGGUACCCUUUGACUAAGGAGAGGCUUCUAUAAUUAGUAAGAAAGAUACAACGUGUACAGUACGCCUCUGAGCUUGUACCUUGUCUAGCAGAGUCCGGUUUGCCACAAACAUGUAAGAUGAAGAGACAGAUAAAAACCCAAGUUACGCAGGCCUGUAGCAGUCACUAUGAAAAGAAACAACAUAGAUUUCUCCGUCUUUCUUGGAGAGAACAAGUGUCCUUCGAUCCGCCAGACAACUUUACACAAAGUACAAACUGACUCUCAUGUCUGCACAACGUAUGAGUGCCUCCAUAAAUACGCAUCUAAACCCAUUCUUCUGCCCAUUUGCUAAAAUUGUAGCGACCAAGAAAGAAUUCCCUUGAUCAUUUCCUUCAUUUCCCAAUAUAGAACUAGAGCCAGAAGACCCUUGAGCCCCCUGAAAGAGCUAGAUCUAAUGGCUCUACCCGUCCCACAAUCCACCUCUGUGACUACUGCUACUUCCUCCUCCAGCAACUUCCCCAGCACUUCUCCAAGAAAAAUUAAAGUAGAUCACUAUCUCUCCUCUGUAUAUUGAGAUUUAAUGCAUAAAUGAUUUAGUAUUUGUAAAUGAGUAUCUUUUAUUUGUUCAGUAUAUGGUCCUCAUUCGUUUCCUUUGAUUGCUGUCUUGUUCUAAUCUGUGAAGCAGAUUUCUUGUUCCCAGUUGAGAUUCUCGGAAACUAAGCAGGCCCAUCUGAGAUUAAUGGAUGCUUUCAAGUAAGUCUCUUCAAAGUUCCAAUUUUUAUUCUCUUGAAUUGCUUAAGACUAAAUGAGUUUUUUCUUUUUCUUGUUUUUUUAGUUCUUUUUUAUUGUAGUUGCUACUUGCUACUAACCGAUCAAGAUGCUAAUUUUUGUGAGCUCUGCGUCUCAGAUCCUAUCCUAGUCCAAAUUAGGUUGUAGCAAGUGUCAUUUGACGAGUGGCUUGUUGGUGAUUUCUAAUUUUGACUGUUAGAGGUUCAUGAUCUAACUCGUAAAUGGACAUAAAAUUUAGAAUAUUUAACAACUUCGUAAAGGUUAGGCCAUUAGAUUGUGGGCCAUUUGCAAUCGUGAUCUUGUUCCGUUUUAGCGUUUAAUUGGCUUUGUCAAUAUGUGGCAAAAGAAAGCAAAGAGAAGGACUUUCGUUUUUACCACCCUUGUUUUUUUCUUAUUUGGAAACUGAUCCUUAACUUGUUUUCCAUUAUUGACAAAAUCUUAUUUCUAAGAUUUUUCUUCCAUGAAGAUCAGUUUUGAUUAUUGAUACGGUAUUUAUUGCUUGUAUCCUUCUUUCCCUUUGCAAAGCUAUCUGAUUUUCAACCUCAGGGCUUAAAUUCAUGAAUCUAUCAUGUCCAAAUCAGCCCAAGAAGUUUCUAAUGUUUCUUGCUUGGUCUCUCAUAUAUAGGAAAUUCCUACACUUUAAGAUUAAAGACAUGCCACAUUCGACAAUUGGUCCCAAGAGAUAAGCAUGUCUUUUUUUUGCCUUGAAUUAUCUGCAUUACCAGCUGUAAAUUGGUUGGUAGUGAUUGAGAAAGGCUUCUUUUUCGUCCUCCUUCUACAUCUACAGGGGCAAUUCAGCUUUGCAAGUGAAGGCCUUGAGGGAAUCUCAGGGCCUGACUCAGGAGAUCAUUAAUAACGAGCAGAAGUGUGUUCAAAUAAUGGACAAUGAAUCUGAACUUUUCAAAGAGAUGAAGCAUCGAUUUCUAACUUUCAAAAAGGAUAAAUACCUGUAAGCUUUAUAAUUACUGCCUACUCUGUUUAGCAGAUUAAAGUUUUGCACUCUUGAUAAGGAUUUCUUUAUAUUUUUGUGGGACAGGGAGAACUUGGAACAUUUUCAGAAUCUUGCCAAGGUUCAAAAACCUAAGGUACUUAUUCAUAUGAUAUUUUGUCACAAUUUGCUUAGUUACAGGAGCAGUGAGUAGGUUCUUAUGAACUGACAAAUUUGGAAAUAGUUCAUGGUGAUUGCCUGUGCAGAUUCACGAGUGUGUCCUUCAAGCAUCCUUGGUUUUCAACCAGGAGAAGCAUUUAUCGUCCGAAAUGUAGCCAAUCUGGUUCCUCCGUAUGAGGUCUUAUAAAUGAUACAUUUGCUUCUUUUUUGGGCCCCUUGCACUUUCUGCCUGAGAAGCAUGACUAAAUUGAAAUGAGGAUGAGCCUUGCAUACCAUGAGAUUCUCAAUGUGUUAACUGUUCUUCUGCAGAAUGGACCUUCAGAAACCAAUGCUGCCCUUGAAUUUUCUGUUAAUUCUCUUGAAGUAAGCUAAAGAUUUCAUCUCUCAGAAGGUAGUCGUGCAAUUAUACUAUUUCCUCUGUCUACUAAUCUAAAAUCUCUAUAAAAUUCUGCAGGUUGAGAAUAUAUUAGUUGUUGGUCACAGCUGCUGUGGAGGCAUUCGAGCCUUGAUGAGCAUGGAGGAUAACAAAAAUUCUAGGUACUCUUUGUUGUGUCAAUAUGUCUAGUUUGCAGUAGAUGACAGAAGCUCCUCAUUCAUUUCAUAUUUUUCUUUCAGUAGCUUCAUAGAAAAUUGGGUACGAAUUGGAAAGCCUGCAAAAUUAAUAAGCACUAAGGCUACUGCUACUGCUUCCGACCUCAACUUCGAUCAGCAGUGCAGACACUGUGAGAAGGUGCUACUUCUUAUUCACAUAUAUUUUCACUUUUCAGUGUGUCACCUUGUUCAAGCAAAUCCAUGUUUGCAUUUCACAUAACUGAAAUAUGCAUUUCUAUGGAGAAUAUGAAUACCUACAAAGCUUUACUCCAAACUAUAGAGAAAAGACAACCUUUCUGAUUGGCUUUGUUCCUUUGCUUUUAACCAUCAAGCUUUUUCAUGGUUUUAUCUUCUAGAUUUUUGCUUCCACGUUUAGUUUAAUGGUAAUCAAUACUUGUCUAUUCAUCAAACGUUACUGAAAGUUUGGCAAGUUACUUCUCGAAAGGAUGAGAAAAUACGUACUUUGGAAUUACCUUCAAGUAUGUUUCUACGUGCCAAUUCAAGUUUUAUUCUCAUGAAAUCUCAGUGUGGAGAAGUAUUUAACCUCAUCAAGAUGAAUAUGGCAUAUUCAACCUCUUGUUGCCAAGUUUUCUGGACAGCAAGUGUAGUUAUCCUCCUUGAGCAUAAAUGGCUGCAACAACUACUUGUUCUUAGGUUGUAUGAAUUUACUUUAGUCAUUGAAUAUUAAAGAAAUCAGUAUUCCAAUUUUAGGUAUCUAUCAACCAAUCUUUGUUGAACCUGCUCACUUAUCCGUGGAUAGAAGAAAAGGUGGCAAACGGUAAGCUUUCAGUUCAUGGGGGCUACUAUGAUUUCGUUGACUGUACAUUUGAGAAAUGGAGCCUUAAUUACAAGGGUAGCGAGUCAAAAGAAGAGGGCGAGUAUUCCAUUAAGGAUCGGGAAUUUUGGUGCUAAGCCCAAUCUUGUAGUACGUGUCCAAUUUUUGUAUUUUCUUUUCCUCCUCGUAUGUGGCAAGCUGUAGUUGUUGUUGUUGAUGAUGAAUGAUGUAAUAAAAUGUGAUGACAUCUCUUGAAGUUUUGAGCGUCAUUUUCCUAUCAAAGAAGAUUUUCUUGAGCCAAACAUUGUGAAAAUGUCAACUGUAAUCGUUGAGAUUUCACAUCAUUAAGGUGACAAUUUGUUUAUCCCAUUUAUGAAGAUUUUCGCAUCGGUGACUGUCAACUUGAAUCUAACUCACAAAUGAACUCACAAACCGGCAACAAUAUGCAUGGUAACUAGAAUGUUAGGAGUGUAUGUAUUGCAAAUCAUUUAAACAUGAAUGAUUGGCGCCGAUUCGGUAUCGUAUCUAAGCAAUGAAGCACCAUCUUUAUUUUAUUUUAUUUUUAGAUGGGAGGUUUCGAAUCCGAGACUUAUGAUUCCUCCCGCAUACCAUCCAUCUUAGCACAAAAAAUUAUGCAGCAGUGGAAGUAAAAUUAAAGUCUCAACUUAUCAAUGAUACCCAAAUGAAACUUUCCAUAGUAAUUAAACAAGGAAUAGACAAAACGGCAAGGCUAGGCUCCCUUUGAACAAAUAUGAAGACGAGACCAAACUGCCAUUGAUUUUCCUCAACUACAAAUCUACAACUUCAGAUGGAGAAACCAAAUAAUAAGACCUAUUCUAAUUCUAAUUCCUAAACACAAUUCAACUAGAUUUCCUAAACAAACUAUGACACCAAUUCUACUCCAAUUAUCAAAUUUAAAAAAAUAUAUAUUUUUAAAACUUCUGAAUAUUGCUUGAUUUAAUUAUUCGAACAACUCAACCCAUUCCUCCCUCAAAACCGCUCCUAUUUUUGUAUUCAUAAAGAUGUCGAAGAAGGAUGGUCUGUGUGUGUGUGUAUAUAUAUAUAUAUAUAUAUAUAUGUAUAUCCAUAUUUUUUUUUAACAAAGGAAUGGAGAAAUCCUUCAAUUAGAAAACCAUAUUCAUGAGGGGAAAUACGUUUGACAAAAAAUUAUCUCCAGGUGCAUGCUACACACCGAUCGCGCUGCAUUUCUGUGAGGUUCACCAACCUGCAUGAACCAUAUCGAUUAUUAAAUUUGAGGGGGAGCUGAGUCGUCAUCAAACGAUACGUCAAAGACAUUUUGGUGUACUUGGAAUACACGUACGUAGUUAAUCAGCCAUCCAGCCUAUGAGCGAGCAAUUAGACAUUGUGGGUUGAACCACUAUAUCCGUUUUUUCUUUGGAGGCGUCAAGACACUUUUUUAGAGAUGUAUCUAUGGUUGAGAAGUUGAGCUAACUGACAACGAGACAACUUCCCCACCAACCAAAGCGAAAUGAUUAACCACUUCUCGCAUCUAUAUAAAGCACAAUACAGAUAGAUUCUUCCAUGCACUCGCAAACAAAACAAAAAAGCCUAAAGCACUUUCUUCAACCUGUGUGUUCGAUCUACCUUCCAAAUCAUCAAUAAUAUUUGCUUAAUCCCUUCCAAGGAUGGCUGGUUUCCACCGUGCAUCUCUUGUGUUCGCCAUGCUUGUUGCUGUAUCAUCCAUGAGCAGCAACUGUUUCCAAGCUGAAGCGCGUCGCCUUCUCGAUACAGGGUUGCCUGAGAUUCCUACCUUGCCAAUGCCUGAGAUACCAACACUGCCUAAACCUGAGCUGCCAACCGUGCCAAAGCCAGAGAUUCCCACGCUGCCGAAACCCGAGCUGCCAACCGUGCCAAAGCCUGAGGUUCCAGAAUUGCCGAAACCUGAGCUGCCAACCGUUCCAAAGCAUGAGAUUCCAGAAUUGCCAAAACCUGAGCUGCCAAAUGUGCCGAAGCCAGAGAUUCCAGCAUUGCCUAAACCCGAGCUACCAACUUUGCCCAAGCCAGAGGUGCCUAAAAAGCCUGAGAUCACCACUCCAUGAAGUCUGUUGUAGCCCAGCUGGAUACACUAGUUAUUAUUAUUAUUCAUUAGCACUUUUCUUCUGAAUUGAUAUUUCCAUUGCGUUUGAUGUGUGUUGGAGUCCAGUCAUGGUGUAUACCGUGAUGUCACGGUUCAUUCAUCUGUAGCUGUUGUUAUUUCGGAGUGUCACUUCUUGUUUCCAGUGGAAUUACAUAUUUGUACUUUCUUACGUACUUCUCAGUUAAAAAUAGUGUCUCAUAACUCCAUUGUGCCUAAUUAUUGACCAUAGAAUGAAGCAGUACUUCCAAGAACCAGAAGAAUAAUAGCAUUAAAACAUAAAUUGAAGAUGACUCAAGAUCGUCAAACAAACAAAGAACGAUAUAUAUAUAUAUAUAUAUAUAUAUAUAUAUAUAUUAUGAAUGAAGAUGCAGUCAAUGUUAAAGAAGUCGAAUAACUCCUCACCACACAAACCAAAACUCAGUUCUCACAUCAACCUGUCAUGGCUGUUGAUCAAUUCCAGGCAAAGAAUGAUAAUCCUGUGGAAUGCAAAGCCAUACCAUUCAACUUACCAAAAUUCCGACCUUAUUGCCGAUAAUAUGGGGAAGUAUCAGACUCCUUUGAAGUCAUCAUUGAAGUUUAUAACGCUGCGUGCCCAGUAGGUCAAAUGUCAGAAAAGUUUAUGUGCAUCAUAUCAUAUCAUAUCUGAUACUAAAACAAAGUUAGUUUCUUUUGGGAAAUACAGAACCAGUCUCAAUUUAUCAGCCGACAAUGGACUUAAGUUUCGGGCCUGAGGUUCCUCUUUUAUGCUGUGGCCAAUCUCACUUUGAUUUUUGGUUAUGUUGUACGGGUAUUAUGAUUUGGGUAGAGAAUUCGAGAACAGUAAAUUAGGCUCGUCGUUUAUUAGCAUUCAAAAACUGAUCUAGAAUUGACUCCACAAGCUGAGAGACAAACUGAAGGCUAGUCUGCGCUCUACUGCUACUAACUUUAAUUAAUUAGUCACAAACUAAGCAUUAGAAUCACAGAGAUAAAUGCAUUAAGUGAUGAAUCAAGCAGGCUAUAAACUUAAAAGAGUGAAAGAAAGAAGAUAUAUAUCAAGCACUUAGUCGAUUUAAACGACAUAUGUUAAGAAGGGAAACGGAAAUCCAUUAAAUGGUACUACUUUAAUGCCCAUCUUAGUAGUAAAGAGCGAGUAAAGACAGAUGAGAAGAGGGGUUGAACAAACAAGAGACAAUCUUCCUACCGACUCCGCCAAUUACACCUCCAAUUUCCCGCAUUCCUAUCUAUAAAAAUCCACCUCUUAGCUUCUUGCUCCAACAUUCAACUCUCAGACAAAAAAAACAGUAACCAUAAUUCGCCAGGAAAGAUGGAAGCCCAAGUGAUCAGAUCUCCAUUGUUAGCAUUUUCUUUCCUGCUGAUCACCCUGGCAUUAAGUAGUAACAUGGCAUCAAUCCUAGCCGAUGCACGCCAUCUUUUGGAGGCAACAGCACCAGGUGUUCCAGUUGAUGAAGCGCCUAGCGCCCCUGAUAGCGAUGAUACCGAUCCUGAGACACCAUCAACACCUAUAGUUUUCUCAGUCCCCCAGAUUCCAACAAUUCCACUGCCUCAGUUCCCUACUAAUCCGCUUCCAAUUCCCACAUUCCCCGCCACCCUCCCAACCUUGCCUUUUCUGCCUAACUCGCCUUAACUAUCUAUCUCAGCCACAUCAACUACGACUCAACCUCAUGUCCGCCAAACUGAAACUACCUUUUCUUGGAUUACAUAUAUACUAGCUACCCUUGUCGUCAUCGUCUCUACUGCUUCCAAGACAUGCUGUAUUUUUAAUGUUGGUUGUAAUGCUACCUUUUUUUUUACAAAAAAAAUUCCCUUAGUUAAAUGUUCCCUGAUUAUCUCUCUAGUGAUCAUCGCAAUUGGACUGUUAUGAUCCUGGUUGUACUCUGUCUACGUGAUUAUUAUCCAUCUCGACUUGAAUUCUUAACCUCCAUAUUUAGCCUUUUAUGUGGCAUUUUCCUUUCAGAAUACUUUCUCAGUUACAUGGUUCCAUUCCGAUAUCAAGACGAAAUUAUUCCGAGAUAAUGGAUUGUCCAGAACUCAGUCGAAUCACAGAGAACUCGGUCGAGAUGUUUCGAAGACAGAUAGAAACGAUCGAGCCGCCUCGAAUCAAUUUGAAUUAUUAUUAUUUUUGUUUAUCAUAUUUUUUUUACAAUUUUUAAAAUAUUAAAUAUUUCAAAAAUUACGUUUUGCCGAAAUGAUGACCAAUAUAUUGAGACCGGUGUGGAACGAUCCGAGGCAUGAUCGCGACAGCAUCUUUGAACCAUGGUCUCAAACCUCUUCUUGGAACAUUGCCCAUUCUCCGCUCCUUUCUAAAUCUACCCAAAAAAGGGGCAGAAAAUCAUGGCCUCCAUGAAUGUUGAGCUAUGAACCUAGUAUUUGAAUCGACUGUAUGGUAGUUAAAAAAAAAAAAAAAGAAAACCUAUAAUUAGCAAUAUCAUUUUGAAAUUGAGAUUAUGGAAAUCUAUGUAUACAUGAAUCAAUUAAACAUUUUCUAUCUCCUAUGCAGCAUGCAUAAUUGACCUUUGGAUACUUGGGUUUUAUCUAUUUUUGUAUCCAACUCUUCUCUAAUUAAUGAUGUUUUCAGUUUUCCUCUCUUCUAACAACUUUUAUAUUCCUUAAUAAAUUUCAAUUAUUCUUUUUUUAUUCAUAUGUAGUAACUUACUUAAUGUAAUUUUAAUUGUUACAAUGGUAAAUUUAUUAAAGUUGUUGAAAACUAAAUAUUUGUUCAUGUGAAAAUAGAUUGUUGCAUCUAUUAUAAUAUAGUAACGGAAUACAACCAUGUACUUCUAGGCAUAUAAUUUUUGUAAAAUUAUUUUUUAUGAUCAUCCAAAAGAAUAUUUGUCAAUUUUUUCGAUCUCUGUCUUAUUUGAUGAAUAUUAUGACAGAAUAUAUGCAACUUCUUAAAAAUUCAUGCGAUAAUUGAACACUUAGAAUAUAUUAAUUUUUUAAUUUAUUGAUAUUUUUUCUUGAAUUAUUCAUUCUUGGACAAAUUCGCUACUAUUAAAAAAAAAAAAUCUGUACAGAUGGGGUAAAAAUACUAGUUAAUAUAUGUAAAAUCUUGCUUCUUAAUUAAUGAUCAAAUUUCAAGCCAAAACCUGUUUGCAUUCGAUUGCUUGCUUGCGUUCAAUUACUUCCUGCAAAGAUUCCAAUCUGUUAUGACUGCCUGCAUACAUUCCAUUUCGGUUGUUGAGACUUGAGACUGUGUGUGUCGUGUGCGACAAACGUUGUUAAAUUGGGCCCGAUUUAAUUAUUGUCGGUGACGGCCGAACGAUUUCAAUGCACCAAGCUAAUUCUACUUUGCAACUCUUAAAUUUAUAUCACUUUUUUAUUUUUUAUAAUAUUUUAAACACCUUACAGUUCACACCCUCAACUCUUAAGUUUUUUAUUUUAUUUUAUUUGAGUCAAUCAAUAAUAUUGUGAGCAAAAUUAACGAAAUAUACAACCAUACAAAUCAAUGAUAAUAUACUAAAAAUGUUCAAAAGGAGUAAAGAGAUUGCAAUUAAAAUAAAAUGAUGCAUUACACCGUCUUUUAUCUUGUUAAUAGUAGCAGUAAUUGAAAUCAGUUGAGAGAAAUUUAAAAUUUUAGGAUGCAAAGUGUCUAAAAUUAAAGUUUGUGAUGCAAAGUGAAAAAAUAGAAUAAGUUGGGUGUUACAAAGUGAAAUUAGUCCCUUACAUUUAAUUGGGGUAGAGCAGCAUUUAAAUUGUACUUUAAUGCAUUAAAUUCAUUUUGUAGCUUUAAAAUACUUCACAAGACGGAACCGCCCCUAACAUCAAUCUUUUCUUUUUCUUGAUUUCAGUCAAUAUUUUCAUGUAACUUUUAGUGCUAUACCGACAUCUAAACUAAACAGCUGCACUAAUGCACAUACUCAAAUAAGUUUAAAUUCAUCUGGUUCGAUGGUGGUUCAAAUCCUAUUGAUUUCUCUAAGAUCUGUUGGGCCUUUCCCAAUUGUAGGUUAGAGUAGAGUAGAAAUAGGUUAAACUAACUGUUGUCGUCUAAUUAAAAAAAAAAAAGUUUGAACCUCCAUCCAACUCCCAAAAUUUUGAACAAAAGGGCUUUGUUUAGUGGCUGGCAACUCAUGUAAAAUAAGUAAGUUACUCAAUUGUUUUUGUACGUGAUUCAAGAUGUUAUUGAGUUUACGGGCUUGGGAGGACAUACUGUGCGGUUGAACCUUCAACUUUAGAGGCCAAUUGAAGGCACAAUCCGGUCUAUCACAUAAAUUUUGACCAAAAUCAAGCCGUGUUGUUUAGUUGCAUGACAAUAUAGAAUGAAGGUUUAUAUAUAUAUAUAUAUAUAUAUAUAUAUAUAUAUAUAUAUAUUAAUGAAUGUACACCUAGAAUCAGUAGAUAGUGUCAUACCCUUCACUCCCAAGAACUUCAUGUGAUGGUUGUGCAUGAUGGAUCUCAGGACAGAGAUGAAAUAAACGUUAACCCGUGAGGCAGCAGGACAACUAAUUGCAGAUGGAGUCGUCUUCAUGAAGAUCUCUUUCUUGGCUUCCCCGUUGCUAUCUUUUUUGUAUCUGAACACAUUUUUAUGCUUCCCUAUAUUAAAUCGAAUACCAUGUUACUUCUUCAUUCAUAGUUCAGCAAACAACCACAUUGACGGCAUUUCAUCAAAGCACGAGGAAGAAUUCUAUUUGUGAAGCAUAUCUGGUUCGAUCAUUUCCUGGCAACUAUGCCUAUAUAAGGACAUCACAGGGCAAAGGCAAUGCCAUCACCCAAUCCAAGUUGCUAACAUAUUCACUACCACUUUAGAUUAGCAAAAGAAUACCACCAUUUUUCAACCAGCAAUGGCAUCUUGCAAGUUGUUCGUGUUCAUGUUUCUCAUUGUCGUCUGGUUCCCCGGCUACAAUGAAGCAUUUUCAUCCCGUCGCCUUCUAUUACUACCAGUUCCAAAUGCACCAGGUUCUCCAAAAAUUCCAACUUACCCGGUUUCGCCACUCCUCCCAACACCAACUGUCCCACCACCACCAACUUUUCCGCUCCCUACCCCUCCCUUCCCCGGAAUUCCAAUUGCUCCAUUCUUUCCAAGUCCAUUGCUACCACCUGCAGCUACUACCACCAGCAGCAGUACCAGCCCUUGAAAGUCGCAUUUUAAUGUUAUCUUGCGUGCCUGUUGCUUGCUCAGCUUGUAGCAGGAGAACUAAGCCAAUUUGCCUGGCACACGUUUCAGAAUGAUGAAGCGAGUCCUGGACUGUAUGUGCUUCAAUAACAAUAAGUAGACUGUUGUUUAUUGGAUGUUUCUAGUGUUUAUUAUGGUUUCAGUUGCUGAAUGGAUUACCUUUGCAUAAGGGUGUAAGUUUUAGUAAUAAAGGAUUCUGAAUCCUAUAUUAUUCCCAUUUUCUGGUUGUUUGGCUUGUGGAAUUCACGAAUUCAAGAUUUAACGACAGUGCAUUGUCACUUAAAAUGUGCUAAUCGACAGCAACAUGCCUGAGCGUAUAGGCAAUAAGAAAUUUUCUGUGCCUUGCUACAUAGCAAACAAAAACUGGAUGACCAGUGGAAGGAAACAACAACUUUAAGAUGAUUGGUAUCAAAUGAUUUCGGCAUUGAGCCCACUAGAACACGCAAUGUUCACAUUCCAUAAAUAUGAAGAAAGCAGAAGACUAUUUAACGAAAAAAUAAAAAAGAGAAUUAUUUCUAAAGGAGACAACAGGUUAUAAAUGUCCACAACGGCAGCAGAGCCCACAUUUCGCAUCACUUAAUUCGAAGUACGAAAUUUCUUGAGUAUAUUACUCAGUCAAUGAGAAUUGAGGGGAUUCUUAAACUACUGCAGAAGUUGGGAUUGCUCAUCGGAAUUGAGACAUUUUCACUGUCGAUGAAUUUUAUUCGCAGUCUUGUGUGCUAAUGCCUUUGCGAUGUUUAGAUCCUAUCCUUUUGGGAGUCAUUUGCUGUCUUGAGCUCUCAACCUUCAAAGUAGCUAGCAGUUGAGACUACAACACAUGACCCCUUUAGGCAUUAUAACUGCAACUACUGAUUCACUCUCUGUUUUUGACCUAGUUACGUAAUUGACCCGAUUAGCAGGCCAACCCAUGCAGACCUCUUAAGGGUGGUACGCUUUACAAGUUGCUACUGUGGCCAUACAGUCGCCGUUCAUGCCAAGAGGCAUUUUCUUGCAUAGUUCCCUCCCAACACCAUAACCAAUGCAAGGUAGAUCCGUCCCGCAGUCCCCACUGCAACUUUUAAUAGCACAGCUUUGAUUUUCAAACCCCGCUGCUCUGGCUUUUUGCCUCAUAUCAUAUGGUUCCACUUCCACAUGCCUUGCUACCCUACCCAUAUAAAUGCAGCAUAGACUACCAGGUCUUCAAAAUACCAUCCAAGUUGUAGUGUUAGUCGCAACUGAUACUACUUCCAAUAGCACAAAUUUGAAUUUGAAAACUCGUUGAUCAUCAAUUUCUUAACCAAGAAUGGCUUCUUACCACAAGUUGUUGGUGAUCUUCCUUAUCGUUGUUGGAUCUGUUGCUGGCAGCGGCCAAGCUUUGACACACCGUCACCUUCUGUUAUCACCAUCUCCAGGUUCAGAUUCACCCCGAAGAUCAAAAUUUCCCUUUCCAAAAUUAAUGGGAGGGGGUUUGACAGAACAUGGUCCGUCCCAUGCCAGAACCGUCACUUCCCAGCCCGGAAAUCCAAUACUUCCAGACUUUCCAAAUCCAGUGACUUCACCGGGAAAUCCAAUUGUUCCAUACUUUCCAAGUCCAGUGAUCCCACCCGGAAUUCCCCCUAUUCCAUACCUUCCAAGUCCAGUUAUUCCUGCACCAGGAAAUCCAAUUAUUCCAUACUUUCCAAGCCCAGUAAUCCAACCUGGAAAUCCAAUCAUUCCGUACUUCCCAAGCCCGGUGAUCCAACCCGGAAAUCCAACUGUUCCAUACUUUCCAAGUCCAGUUUUCCCACCUCCUCCAGCUGCUACUUCCACCAUUAGCCCUUGAAAUCAAUUUGCAGAAGUACCAUUGGACUUCUCACGUUUCCAUGUUGUGUACGUAGCUCAAUUUUAGCAUGAAGGCUAUAUCAGUUUUCUUGCAUAUUUUGUCAUGAUGUAGGCAAGUCCCUGAUGAAGGGUUGUCCCUAUGCUUUGCAGAAUUCUUAGGUGUUGCUUCGAUAUCAUUCAGAAGCAGACUAAAUUUGAAAUCAUAUCUUUGGUUAGCUUCCAUUCAAGUGCGAAGUUUAUGCAUCAAUAUCCCUAAACUUGAACUACUUUCUCGCCAUGGGGUUGUUUGUUUAUAAAUUGUGUGGAUCAACUUUUUUCUCAUAUAAUAGAUCACUUGAAUCAUGUUAAUCAGUAAUGUGGAUUACUCUGCAGUCUGCACUAGAUGACCAACAACUUUGUUUCGGAGGAGCUGUGUAGAUGUUAAGGGCUGUAUGAAAGAAAUUCUCAUUGAUAUCUUUAUUCCAGAAAAACUGAACGGCAGUCUCCAACCUGAGAAAAGUUCCUUCCAGUGGAAGGUAACAUUUUCACUGAAAUAUUGAGUUACAGACAGGUUUAACCUCUAGAGCUUUAAUUGGAAACGACAACUAUUUCAUACCAACUGUCUUCCGCCGUAAAAGUUAAAAUCAUCAACUUUGACAUCAUUCCAGCUCCUUUAUACACGAAAAGCUUUUGGAAGUGCACAUUUGUUUAAAAAAAAAAAAAAAAAGACACCAAAUUGAUCUUAACCGUGGAAACAUUUUUAUUCAAAUUUAUGAAAUUUUGUAUCGAUUCCUUUCGUAUAUUUUAUUCUUACGUAUUCUCUACUUGCCCACCUUUGUCAGUUUCGGGUCUAGGUACGUACCUUUUUAGUUUACAGUCGUAUGAGCUUUUCGGCGAGGGCAUAAGAGCAUAUAUUGUGUCUUCUGGUUUAUGCUUCUCUCUUGGCAGCUAUCUGCAUCGAUAAUAUGGGUUAUUUCUAGCAGACAAACUAGAAUAAGAACGCAGUCACAGCCACAGGAGUUUCACAGAAGUUAACAAAAUAGUUUAAAAGGGAAGCUGAAGCUGGAUGUGGCUCUUUCCACGCCCAAGCAGAGUUACAGGACCAAACGAUAGCAAUUUACAAGAAGGAAAGGAGGAGUUGCAUACUUACAUGUAUCAAAUGUAUUAAACUUGCACCAACUUUCUUAAUUGAUUCAUCUUGGACCAACCACGUAGGAGGCAUUUAAAAUAGGACCCGAGAGAUGGAGCUACAGUGGGGGGGGGGGGGGGGAAGGGGAACUAAAAUCUAUUAAUUACAUAUGUAAAUUUAAACUUUGCCCCCACUCUUUUAGAAUAUUCUGCAUUAUUUCCUAACAAAAUAUUUAUCCGAUGUGCUUCUUUAUUUGUUACUUUUUUUUCCCUACAAGUCAACCCACUUGAAAACAAAUAAAUAAAUUAUUUAAUCUCUCACACUCGAUCAAAAUCAAGCAAUAAAGAUUCAACUUUAUUUUUAAACCAAUUUAGAAAUUCUUGAUAAUAUAUUUUUCCUCCACUAAAAUUUUAAAAAAAUUCUAGAUUAGUUAUUUCAAAAGGUUUUUUUAGGCAAUUAUUUCAAAAUUUUGAAAAUUACAAAGUUAUAAAAUAGUAUUAGAAUAUUUGAAUAUGAAGACACUUCAAGAACAAUGGUACAGUGUUUGCAUAUUUAUGGUUAUGCUAUAUCGUUUUGAUAGUUUUGUGAUCUAUAUAAUUUAACAUGUUAAGUUCACCUUCACUAAAAUUUAUUUUUGGAUAAAAUAUACUUUAUUCCCCUGUGGUUAGCACUUUUUUGCAUAAUCCUUUUGUGAUUUGAAAAACUAUAUAUAACCUUUUCAUAAUUUGAACUAAAGCGUUAAAGUGACGGAAUUUGCAUUUCAUAAUGGAAUCAACUAAAAUGUCAAAAGUGCUCAUCUUUAAAGUUGAAAAUUAUUAAUUAAUUAUAAGGGGUUAUGUAUAUAUUUUAAAAAUCAUAAGAAGUUAUGUGGUAAAGCACUAAACGAUAAAGGGAUUAUAUAGUAAAAUACAAAAUCAUAAGGCACUAAAAUGUCAUACAUAUUACGUUUAUAUAUUUUGGUCACUUCAACUAUUUUAGGCCUCGUGUGGCAAAUGAGUUUUUUGAAUGUAAAUUUUUGGAUAUUUUGAAAUAUAUAGUUUACUGUAAUUAAAGUUGUUAAAAAACUUGUAGCAGACAAACUUUGCCAAAAAUUUAUUUGCGAGAUAGGCCCUUAGUUUUGAAACAAAGAUAUUCUCGAUAUUUCCUUGGAUUCCGUUACGAAGAAUUUUUUCCGUCACUUUCAUACGUUAGUCCAAACUAUGAGAAAUUACGUAUAUAUUUUAAAAUUACGGGAAGUUAUAUAAAAAAUUGCGAAACCGUAUUUUUAACUCCGCCCUGCACGAGAUGACUCAAGCAUACAGAAGAAAUCUCUCGAGUGUAUUAGUAUAUUCAGUGGGCAAGGAUGGACACGAAACGUCACAAGUCAAAGAAUUGUACCUCUGAGCUUUGGGUGUUCAGUUGGCAUGAUUGAUGAUGCCUUCUUAUUGUCAAUAAAAUUUGGUAAAGGCCAAAAAAUCUGACCAAUCUUUCUGGAUGGUCAGUGUCUUUAUGUUUUCAAACAUUCUGCGAGUGAAUUAGUAAGACUCACAAUGAUGGAUUCAGUCGUAUGGUGAUCAUUGUUUAACUGCGUUGUAACUCGGAACAUGUUAAUUAAUAACAACACGUAUAGUACCUUAAAAAAAAAACACACACACACACACACACAUACUGGCCAUUUUACUCAAAGCUGUAUGCUAGUAUAUGAACCUAAAAUUACAGUGGCAUGCAAAAUCUCAUUGGGAAGACAAUACAUAUACAGGUCAGGAGGCCAAGAAGAUUAAACAUAAUUUAUUCUUCUCUAAACCACGUAACAAAGAUCACAAGUGCUAUUCAAUAGGUUUGAAAACUUUUGAUGAAUCUGAUCUCAAGUUCAUCAGAAAUAUUUCCAGCCUGAAUAUAAAUAGGACCGACCGUUGAUAUUGCUAAAGUAAAUUCCUAUCCCAUUAUUUAUAGCACUUCAUUGGACGAGACAAAAUAUUAUCUUGUUUGCUUUAAUGAAAUCCAACCCCAGUGCAUGAAAAAGAUAAUUGGCAUCAGGGAGAAAUUUGGACGGACGACGCCGUGUCAUGAAUAGUGCUCCAAUUUCGUUCAUCCGCCCCAUCCCCAAACCCUCAAACCAUGGAUAAGUGAUUAACUGAGGGAUAGAUGUUCACACUUCGGAAAAAAAUAGAAUAACCGGCGGAUCUAAUUUAGAUCGGCGAUCGGAUGUCGGUAAAAUGGAAUUCGAGAAAAUUGAAUAAUAUCCAACCUUAAAUUUUGAUAAAAAAAAUUAAAAUUUGGUAAAAAAAAAAAAAUUGGAAAUGGAUAUUGAAAUUCGAUUCUCGAAUUCUCAAUUAGUGACCAAAUUAUCUAAUUUUGUAUUUUAAUUAAAUAUUUUAGAUAUUUCAUGCCUACUGAUAUAUAAUAUUACAUAUUAAUAUAUUAAUCUAUUAGUCAAAAUGUUAUAAGUUAUAAUUUAUACUUAUAAACAAAUAUGUGACCUUUUUAAUUAACAUGUUAAUAACUUUUAUAUUGUUAAUUACAUAUCAAAUAUACUUAACUAAUCUCUAUUAGAAAACCAAUCUAAACCUUCGCAUAUUUUACCGAAAUACCGAUUCUUCGGGCGAAAUCCAACUACCAAUAUCCAAUUAUCCAAAUAAAAAGUUUAGACUUUAGACGGUGAUUGAAUAUUGAUCUUUUAAAAAAAAAAAAAAAAAAAACCGAACCGUUGAGCGGCCGAUGAACAUCCUACUAACGCGGGGGGGAGAACAAAGAAAUUUGAGCACCUACAGAUCUCCUUACUCAAGGAUAAUUUCGUCUUUUCAUUAAAAAAGAGCUCGUUCUGCCGAUUAAAGAAUUGCAGCUUUCAACUAAUUUCCGUAUGGCAAAAACUUGGAUGAAGCCGGUGCAAAAUCCAACUAGUAGACCUGAUGGUGUCUAUUAGCCACGUGGAAAGAGGAGGUAACUCUUGAGACUGAGAGAGGGCUCGCUGUCCAUCGCUAUCAAAGCGGAUCCCAACUUUUCGCCUAGACUACCCACCUCAAUACUUCAGGAACUAGUGUCUUCACCCGUGCUAUGCACGGGUUAUAUUUCAAAUCAAAAUAAUAUUUUAUAUAUUUAUAUAUUGUGUUACAACAUAAUAAAUAUAUAUAGAAUAAAAAUUUUAAAGAAGUGUAUGCUUAAUAUCUUGAAAAAAAAUUGUAAUCUAUAAUUAUUUACAUAAUAAAAGAAUUGUUAACGCAUUUAAGGAGAGAGUUAGGUCGGGUGGUAAGGUGAAAAGAGUUUUCUAAAAAAGUCAAUUUAUCAAUAUCCAACAAAAUAUAUUACUAUGUUAUACCCAUAUAUCAAAACUUAUAAUACAAAAAAAUAAAUUAUAACCAAUUUAUUUUCUUCCAUUUUUAGAAAAAAAAAAGAAGAUCUUACUCCUAUCCUGUGCCCCUAAAUUUGUUGAAUGUAUUUCGAUUAGCAUUUUUCAUAACCUUUAACGUAUAUUUUAAAGAAAAUUCUCCGUACUAUGUGUUUUUAGUGUUCUUAAAAUUAUUAAAAAUCACUAUCAUUUCUCUCUUUUCUUAUACGCCAGUUAGUCAUCAAAUGUCUCCUACGACUUUCAUACCUUUUAUCAUGGUACCACCCUUUUUAUUAUUAUUUUUUUUGUCAUCUCUGCCAUAUUCCUGCAAUCCCCUUUCUUCUUCUCUCCCUUCUCCGCCCAUCAUUGUAAUCCAUAUUUUUUCUUCAACCUUUCCUGCUACUUUUUAACACCUCACCAUUUUCUUCCCUCGCUCCUCCCCCUAUACUUAACAUAUAAAUUUAUAUCCCUACGAUCCAAUAUAUUUAACUUAACCCAUCAUAAUAAAAAUAUAAAAUUGAAAAUUAAUUACAAUGGUUGCAAUUAUUAGUAUCUAAAAAUGGAAAUGAAAAACUGACAAUAUCUAUAAUAUCCUCAAGUACUACAAUCAAUUCAUAUAUAUAUAUAUAUAUAUAUAUAUAUAUAUAUAUGUUUUAACAUAGCAAAUACAUAUUUAUAUAUGAAGACAGCAAUAAGAAAACAUAAAAUAAUUAUGAAUCAAAAGUUAAUAGGAGUGUUUGGGUUUUUACAUCUUAUUAAAUGUAUAUAAUAAGCUACAUAGCAAAUACAUAUUUAUAUAUGAAGACAGCAAUAAGAAUACAUAAAAUAAUUAAUGAUAUCAAAAGUUAUCAUUAGUGUUUGGGUUUUACACUCUUAUUCAAAUCUAAUGUUAAAUUACAAAUUAAGUAGUAUUUUAAGGUUGAAUGUUCUACAUCUUUCUCUUAAACUAUAAUAUUACUUUUUUUAAAUUUUUUGGUAGAACUGGUGUUGUUAUUAUCAUUAUUUUUUAUCAAAAAUGAAUAUUUCAAAAAAAAUUUCACAUUAAAAGGCUAGUAGUACUUUGCUUUUUAUUUAGUGAUUUCAUAAUUUGGAUUUCAUGAAUGGUACCAUUCUUGAUUUUUUAAAUUCAUGACAUUAUUUCCUUUUUGUUUUCUAUUUAAUUUUGUCUUUUUACUUAGGAUUACUACGUUUAAUGAUAAAAUGUUAUCAUUUACUUUUUUACUUUUACUAAGUUUGGCAAUAUUUUUUUUUAUUUACCCUUCCAGUAAUAAACUUCAAACCAAAUUCCUAUAUAAGCGGAGCCACUACUUUUUUAAAUUAGAAAAACAUGAGAGCCACUUCUUUCUUAAGAAAAUGUUAUUUGCACUCAAUUUUUAUUAUUUGCAAUUCUACCAUUUUUUUUAUCAUAUAGUCUAAUUAAUAAAAAUUAUAUGAUCAAAAUGAUUAUUGAAGUGUGAAUAACAAAAAUGGGGUGUAAAUAAUCUUACUUAUUUAAAUUAAUAAGAAAGCAUGAAUGGAUGUUAUAUUUGUUAUCUUUUCUUAUGGUCUUAUAGAAGUUUUAAUUAUUGUAGAAUCAUAAAUAACGCAAGGCAAUCGGAAACGUGAUGGGUUGAAGUUCAAAUAGGAUAUCACUAGUAUUUUGACCCGUGCUAUGCACGGGGUUAUAUUUCAAAUAAAAAUAAUAUUUUAUAUAUUUAUAUAUUGUGGUACAAAAUAAUAAAUAUAUAUAUAGACUAAAAAUUUUAAAGAAUAUACUUAAUAUCUUGAAAAAAAAUUAAUAUAUAAUGAUUUACAUGAUAAAAGAAUUGUUAACGCAUUUAAGGAGAGGGUUAAGUUGGGUGGUAAGGUGAGAAGAGUUUUCUAAAAAAAAACGUCAAUUUAUCAAUAUCCGACAAAACAUAUUAUGUUAUACUCAUAUAUCAAAACUUAUAAUAUAAAAAAAUAAAUUAUAACCAAUUUAUUUUCUUCCAUUUUUAGAAAAAAUAUCUUUCUCCUAUCUUGUGCCCCUAAAAUUGUUGACUGCAUUUAGAUUAGCAUUUUUCAUAAAUUUUAAUGUAUAUUUUUAAACAAAUUCUCCAUAAUAUGUAUUUUUAGCGUUCUCAAAAUUAUUAAAAAUCACCAUCAUUUUUCUCUUCUCUUAUACGCCAGCUAGUCAUCAGAUGUCUCCUACAACUUUCAUAUCUUCUAUCAUGUUACCACCCUCUCUAUUAUUAUUAUUAUUUUUUGUUAUCUUUGUCAUAUCCCUACAAUCCCCUUUCUUCUUCACUCCCUUCUCUGCCCAUCCUUGUAACCCAUAUUUCUUCUUCAACUUUUCCUGCUACUUUUCAACAUCUCACCAUUUUCUUCCCUCGCUCCUCCCCCUAUACCUAACCGCUAAAUUCAUAUUCCUGCGACCCAAUAUAUUUAACUUUACCUAUUAUAAUGAAAAUAUAAAAUUGAAAAUCAAUUACAAUGGUUGCAAUUAUUAGUAUCUAAAAAUGGAAAUGAAAAACUGAUAAUAUCUAUAAUAUCCUAAAGUACUACAAUCAAUAUAUAUAUAUAUAUAUAUAUAUAUAUAUAUAUAUAUAUAUAUUAACAUAGCAAAUUCAUAUUUACAUAUGAAGAAAGCAAUAAGAAUACAUAAAAUAAUUAAUGAUACAAAAAGUUAUCCUUAGUGUUUGGGUUUUGCACUCUGUCAUUUGUUUCUGCCGCUUGGACUAAUUCCAUCAAUAUCGGGACAGCAAUUGAUGGUUAAGGAGUUUGGCGGUUUUCUUUUUCCUUACUUUAGGUUGGGUUUGAAAAAGAUCGCCAGUGCAGGCUGCUGAUGCCUGACCGCCAUAAUCUGAGUUGAUAUCUUGCAUGAAUUAUUUUGCCGUUUAUUGAUUGUUGUCUGCUAGCAUUAAUUAUUUUGCAGUUUAUUGGUUCCUGCUUGCCGAUCACUAGGUUUCAUUUUUUUUUUUUUUUUAAGAAAAAAAUAGUCACAACUUUCAUCUGGCCUCGCUUCAUGACUUUACACGACAUUGAUAGCUAAUGGGAGAUGUUUUAAUUUAUGGAAUGGUUCAAGGUUCUAGGAUUCAAGAUUCUUGAAUUUGAUUACACUGCCCUUUGUGGCACAAGAUAGCCUUCCUUUUGGCUUUGGCCACAUCUUUUUCAAAUUUUUUUUAAAACUUGGUAAUGUUAUAAGUAUUUAAUAUGCACUACUGCCCUCUUUGUUUGUUCUUUUCUUUUGAGUUGUAUGCUCACAAGUAGGAAUGCCCAAACAUUCCCCCGCCCCCGUCCCGCUUCUCCCAUGAGUGCUCGCAAGAGCUAAUAAAAAUUUGUUUUUUAAAUAGAAAAAAAGAAUUUUCAUUAAUGUAAAAUAAUGUCUACAACAAGUGUGGUAACAAUAAAAUCUGGAAGAAAGGCCCUCCAUAUACUUUUUUUUUUUUUUCAGAAACGUUAGAUAAUUUCAUUAAUAUAUUGUAAACUAUACAAUUGCUGAGCAAAGGCCCAAUUUGACUUUACAAGUGCAUCUUGGCACUAAGGUCUGAAUUCUGAAAUCUGAAUACUGAAACAAUUAAUUUGCUAUGAAUGUCUGAAUUUUAAUACUAAACAUAUUUAUACUGUUUGAUAAAUACUUAUAAUUGAAUGCUUAAUAAGUUUAAUUUGAUAAUUUUGCCCUUAUAUCCUUUCAUUCAAAAAGAAAUAGAAUCUAUGACUUAAUUAGUUUAAAAUUGUUAGGUAUGAACAUGAUAAUAUUUAUUUUUAAAUCAAAUUAAUAUAAAAGAUGAAAUAUAUUAUAUGAGGAGUAUGGAGAAGAUGUGAAAGCCAUUAAAAAGGAAGAAAAGAGAAACUAAAAAUCAUUAGAUAGAAAACAUUAGGUUGUGAAAGUCAUUAAAAGGGGAUAAAAGAGAAACUAAAAAUUGUUAGAUAGAGAAUAUUAUGUUGUUUAAUUAGAUAAGAAUUUUGAACAUAAUUUACAAACAAGGGUAGAUUUGGUAGAUAAGCUAAGGUAGUUGAAGUAAUUCUAUUGAUUCUUAUCAGAAUUAAGCAUUCAGUUAGGAUUCUUGUGCUGAAAAAAUACAUACAAGUUCAGCACUGUUUAACAAGUUCAGCAGAUAUAUUUUCAUUUAUCAAACACUCAAAAUAUCUGAAUGUCUGAAAAGGUUUAGUUUCAACACUUUUUUAUGUUAUCAAACAGACGCUAAGAGUGUAACCACUCUUCAUCAAAAGAAAUGCUUAAUCCAUGCAUGCUAACUAAAUCAACCCUUUCCUCCGUUAAGUUAAUGGAUAAAAUGAAUGAGCAACAUUGUUCAACUUUCUAGGUGCCCAUAAUGCUUUCUAGGUUGCAAAGCUUUAUAUAUCUAUGAGAAUAUAAUCCACAAAGUUGAUGCAUCCGAAUCCAUACUUUGAGAAUCAUUUUAAUAACUUCUUGACAAUAGAAAUUUGUUAAGUGCAAAAGAAUAAAAGUGUAACUAGUAAUUUAGUAUAAAUGUAUUAAUACAACAAAUCAUUAAUUUAUAGUAUUACAAAUGUAUAAUUAUUAGUGUAAAUAAUAAUAUUAAUUAUAUUACAUAUACAUAAUCUAAUACUUAUAACUACUAAUAAUAUCAAAUAUAUAUUAUAUAUAUAAUUAUAAUAUAUUUAUUUUUUUAGGUGGGUAAUGGGACAGGGGUAUACUCCCUUAUCCCCCACCCCAUUUUUUAAGGGGGACAGAAAAUGAUCCUUGCCUCGCCCCAUCUCUCACCCCAUCAAUCCCUACGGGCACCCGUCCCAAUUGCGAUCCCUAUUCAAAUGGAAUAUGGACCUAUAUUAAGGUAAAAUAAGAACGAAAUAAACUUGAUAUUAGUGGGCAAUAAAGGUUGGAUUAAUCUUGACAAUAUAUACAUGAUCAUUGUUCGAUGCAUGACAAGCAAUUUGAAUUUAAAUUUAAAUUUUAAAUUUUAUAUAUAAUAUAUAGAAGCAUAAUAAUGUAUGCAUUAUCAAUGUAUAUAAGAUUACCCACAAAAGUGAUGGAAUUGUACAACAAAGUGAUCAUGUAUAUGCUCAUUUAAACAAAGUAACGAGACACAACAAAGUGGCAAACAAAGAUAAUUUCAAACUCACCCUCUUGAUCUCAAAGUCGCGUUUGAGUUCAACCAAGUUGAAUUGUACAAAAUCGGACUCGUUUUGGUUCAACAAAAUGAAAAGAUAAGAGAUUGAGUUGAAUCUCAUGUUCUUCUUUCUUUUUGGAGCAAAUCUUCCCGUUCAGGCUUGAGUGCUUAAGCGUAAACAACCCCGUUGGAGCUCUAACAGAAAAGAACAUUUAUCCCUGUUUAUUUAUCCAGUACAUAGCCAAGUUUCAAGUCAAAAUAGGAGCAAAAGCAGCAAGAAGAUUACAACAGAAAAUUUUUAUUCCCAAAAGUAUGAAAGGCGCAAACAUAUUUACAUGCCGUUGUCUACAUUCUAUGCUUAAACAAUUUUAAAGUGAGUUCAUUAUUUUUUCUUGGCGAUAGGCGUCCCUCGAAAACUUGUCUUACGCGAAAUUUGGGUUUCCAUUCAUUUUGAUGUUGCAUUACAUUAGCAUUUGAUCAGAUUCAGCAUGGUUAUACUCCCCUCUAAUUCGAACCACAUUCUAAGUAUUUCGCCAACUAAAACAAAGUUGGAACGGAGUCUGAUCAAUUUGAAAGGACAGAAUCAUCACUUUUGAAGAAGUAUCAUAUAAACUUUUGAUGGGUGUCAAACCACCAAAAUUAAAAUUCAUACUCUAAACUUAAAUUCAAAUAUAGCAGUGAGUAGAGUCGUCUACUCAAAGACUGCAUGAUUUAUUUCCAUCCAAGCAAGAAUUAAAUGGGGGGUUUUGAAAAUUUAAAAUAAAAAAAAAAUCAAUUUAAGUAAAAGCAAUCAAAUGAAAGAAAAUUUAAAUUAAUUCAAUAAUAAAAAAGCUCUAGCCAAGGAUAAAAUUCUGGAAUUGGUUCGUACAACUGCUUAUUGAUCUAAUAAUAAUUUCAUCUAUCCAUUAACAAACAUGUUAUAAUUGCCAAACAAGUAAUGACGAUCAAUAUUUCCUUUUGAUAAUUACUAAUAGUUAAGGUACCUCGUAGAAUUUAAUUUAUUAGUUGCAUUAAAAACUAGAAAAACCAUGUUAUAAGGAUUUAUUUAAAUUAGAUCAUAUAUUUCCCUAAUAUGAAACCAAUUACGCUAGUUACCACUAAUUUAAGACAAUUAAACAAUUACGGAUUUAACUGUCUUAAUUGGCAAUGGAUUAUUAGGUUGAAUUAAAUAUCGAGCCCUUCAUAUUCAAAUAACAAAAUAACCAUGAGAAAUUAAAUCAGAAAACAUACGAAUAUUAAUGAAUAAAAGAAAUAGAUAAAACAAUUACGUCUCACAGUUGUAGUUGAACCAAACCAUUCGUUAUCCCAUUGACUAGAAAAAGAAAAUUACCCCACUCAUCCUUGGGAAUAAUCCAAGUAAUUUCAUUGACAAAAGUUGCAUAAGCUUUCGACAAAUAGGAAAACAAAAGAGAAAAGACGGACAGCUCCUUAGUUUUUGUUUUGUGCCGAGACUAAUAAUAAUCUCCUAAGAACAAAGACGUUCCUCUGUUUUUCGUUCGAGACUACUCAAUCACCUCUACAAAACAAAGAUAUCCCCUUUUUAAAGUCGAAGAAAACAAAAAGUGAAAGAAGAAAUCCCCGUUUCUCACGUUUCCUUCGAAAGCACUACUACUUUUCUAAUUUUUCCUAAGAAAAGGAUAUUUCCUAAAAAUGACAAAGGAUAAGCUAACUCGUUUCCUAAUACAGGUUGGAAAGACUGAAGGGCAAUCAUCUUGGGAACAGAAAAAUACGCUCCUAAGGACUUUAACUUGAAUUGGGAAAUUGCCAAACGUGCAAAUGUCGAUCUCUCCGGACUUGACAAUAGAAUUUGGACGUGCCCACAACAAACCGGUUCAUCGUCUUCUGAAAAAUUGCCUCCUUUCAUCACUUUUUUCCUCUACCUCUUACAAUUAACAUCAUUAAUCAAGCAUAAGUAGAAUCUAUCAAUUAAUAUAAUAUUUGAUCAAAAUUCAAGGAAAAAUACUCAUAAAUUUGACAGCAAUUACGCACCCUGUCAACUUUAUGUAAGAGGAAGGAACGAGAGAUUGAGCUCUUGAUAAUCAUCCAUCAUACACUCAAUCCACACGAGAUUCAUAAAUAUGGAGUUAGAAGCCCGCAGGGAAGGGAAAGUUAAAAGCAAUGUACUGGGUCGUGAUUUGUUGGUGCAAACGGGGUUGGUUGGUUUCAAAUGGGUGUGACCAUUAUACUUGUACAAUAGAUAAUUUUUGAGUGAGAAUUUUCAUUAUUCAACAUGGUUGUUUAAAAUUUGAGGACCCUUAAUUUAAUCUGUUCCAAGAUACUCAUCCACCUGAAAAUUUCUUAAAAUUGAGGUUUAACUUCUUUCUUGUCUCGGCUCUUUCUACUACUGUUGACUCUAUAACUUACAACAACAACCCCUUUCUCAAUUUUUCUUUGCUAAAUCAUACUACUGUGGCUUUAAAAUGUUGCUCUUGAUUGACAUUCCAAAACUAGACGGCCUAUCCAGUAGGUUACCAGGACCGAAAGAGGGUUACCAGGCCCAAGGUGUCGUCCUACCCACCAGGGAUUUUCCCUCUAAUACACGAUCCAGGCCAAUCAUAAGUGACUCUGGUUUGGGCUACCUUAUUCAUCUGGAAUCCGGGCUACGACCCUGAAUUUUUGUCAAACAUUUUGUUUGACAGUGAUAGAACUGUCAAACAUUCGAAUGACUUCCAUUUUACCAAAAGCCUGAUUGAUGGCAAUUUUGCCAGUUUGUCCAACAGCAAUAUGCUUCAGUUUGGAAGUAAAAUGUCUUUCUAUCUGAUUUGGGGUUUCCCAAAACGAUUUUACAAAUGGGCUAUAUGGUAUCUAGGAAGACCAUCUGUCAUGUUUUUGUGUGGCACAGCGAGUUGUUGAUUAAGCUAAAUCAUUACCUACACAUUAGCAUUUGAAGAAUAUUUGGUCCGAGGUAUCUGAAAUUUGAGAUGUUCUUGUCUGAAGAAGAAGUUUUGGCGGCGAAGGGAGAUCAUUAUUGGUAGGGAUUCCUUAGAAGAAGUUUGGUUUGUAAACUUAAAAUGUGGAUGGCUCAGCAGUAGAAUGGAGUCCGGGCCUGGUAGGUAGAGGUGGCGUGCUCAGAUCAGAAGUGAUGAGAGAAGCUUUUUCGGCUAUGGGGUGGUGAAUAUCGGACAGGCACAGGCUACAAGUCUUGCUGCACAAUUGUGGACGAUUGAUUGUAGCAAGGUUUAAAAGUAGCUUGAAAGUCUCAAAUUGAGGCAUGCUGGAGUGGAAUCCGACUUUAAACUAAGGCUAGACUUGGUUCGAUAUGCAGGAGUUUUAUCAAAACUUACUUUAGCAAAUAAUACCAUCAGGCGUUUCUUUGUUAUCAAAUUCACAGAUGUUGUUGAGCCGCUGUUAGCUUCAGAUCUUUGUAGGUGCUUCAGAAGUUGUUGAGUACGCUUUGCCUUUUACAAUAUCGUCAAAAGUUUAAUUGACAGAAGAUGAUAAGUAGACUAUCUUUCAUAAUUAUUUGGAAAGGAAGGAUUUGUGAUUGGUUUGGUAGAGCUAGUUGGAACUAGGAAAGGAUUCUUUCAUAUAAUGUAUGGCGCUAUGUCCCCAGUUUUUGUUAUUGCCGCAACCCAAUAGGUUUUGAGAUGUUAAACAUACGAAUUUGUAUUAGGAGUACCUGAGUUGAGGAGGGAAAUACCAGUGAGCCCUGAAUCCAAAGAAGGGUGCUGAAGCAGAUGAACACCUAUGGGUAUGGGGUACGGGUUCAUUGAGAUAACUAGAAGACCCAUACUUGAGGCCAGCAAGUACUUUAAAUGCUCCACAAAUUGGAUGGUUGAACAGGAGUAGCCGUGGACCGGAGGUUAAGUAUGGGAUUGAAACGAAUAUUGGCAGAAGAUUCAUUGUCAAUGCAUCUGUGAUCACUGAUUAGCGGGGACUAAGGCUAUACUUUCAAGACACUACUAAUUUUAACUCGCGUGCUUAUUAUAUCCCACCGGCAACAGCUAAAGGAGAAAAUAGGAGGAAGUGAUCAUGGAAAAACGAAGAUGAUAUCAUCACUAUGGACUUUGUUCUCACGGCUGCCUGCAACUUGGAACUCUGCAAUAUCAUCCCUAACAUAUGGGAAAACCAUGAAACAGCUGCCAGAGGACAGUUUGCUUGAAAAAUGGGAUCCCGGUGCAAGACUGAAUAAUUAUUACUGACAAAACCAAAAAUUUUAAGAAGCACGCAAAAUGCUAAAUCCGCUAUAAUUAGCACUUUGAGAAAUCCACCAAAAGAUUGAAACCAAGCAUUAUUGCUUUUCAAGCUUAAAAGUAUCACACGCAGUUUAGAUUUUCAUCUCUUUGAGAUAAAAGGCAAAACUUUACUUACACUUACAGGUUCUGUGCGACCGUUACGGGACAUUCACAAGCUUAUGACAACUUUCUGCAGCUGAUCCCAAUUCCGGGGUCAGCCUUUCAAUCAAAGUUUCAACUCCUCAUUUUUUUCAGUAUCAGAAUUCUAUGUGCAUUUGAUGUGGAAACAUUGGAAACUCCCAUCUUGUUGAGAGUUAUCAUGUAAUUUGAAUUCAAGGCCAAAAGCUCAUGGCUGAGGAACGGAAUUCCUGCUUCUGCUAUACCUUGACAAGAACACCCUGGCACUGCAAGAAAGUGAUCUCUUUACCGCAGAAGUCUCUUUUUGCGAUGAUCUCUCCACCGAAGAACAACCCUCCGAUCUCGACAAGCACUGCUCAUUGCCAGCUCCCUUUGGAGCAAGACCCAUACUUGAUCCAUUCAUUUGCAUAUUCUUGUUGUCUGAGUUUCUGUCACAUUGUGGUGGAAAUGCAUUAGCAAUAGCAGCACUAACUUUGAAGGCUGAUAAGGAAUCCAUCGAAACUGAUCUUCUGAGCGGUUGAAUUCCUUCCUCCUCUCUGGCACCACUAUUUCCCACAUCUUCCAUGAAAUUUUCAUUUCUCCUCGAUGCAUUUCCGGUUCCUACCCUUGAUUCAUCUUCCUCUUCCACCUCAACACCGACUUCAAGAACCUCACUUUCCCUUUCUCUCUCGGAAUCCCUAUUAUUUUCCGAAACUCCCAUUUGGAUUUCCUCCACACGACCUGAAUUAUGAUGACUCUGCGACGAAGACUGGAGGUUAGCCGUGCUCACAACAAUCCCAGCUCGGCAAUUGGGGCAAUUGGUGUGUGAUCUGAGCCAAGUAUCAAUGCAAGGUAUAUGAAAAGCAUGAUUACACUUGGGCAGCAGCCUUAAAGUCUCAUCUUCUUGAAAUUCAUUCAAGCAAACAGAGCACUCUGUUCCUUCCACCAGUCCAUCACCUCUUUUAUACUUACAAAUAGUGAUUGCAUUAAUCACAGACGACUGAAGACCAACUGUCCUGAUAUACCAUAUGGGAUGGUCAACCACGGGACCCUGAUCUUCAUCAAGAAAAUCCAGAUGGGCUUCUUCAUCCUCUCCAGGCUGCUGCUGGGGCUGUGGAAUCAAUUGCCUACUCCUUGAAGACGUAUACCGACGUUUAUAAAACUUGUAUAUCAUGUAGAUAGAGAAAAUCAAGAAAGUUGUGGCUAAAACACCAAGAGACACGGAGAGGGAGACAUAGAGUCCAGAUGGCUGGGUAGAAUGCUUGCCAUCAGAAAGCAAAGUAUGAUCAGGAGGUGGUGGAGGCAGACCGGGAAAGAGUGGAUGGUUGCAGGUUGGAUAACAUUGGAGUAUACAUCUGACCGGACAAGAUCCGUCUAGGUUGUGUACAGGAUCACAGAAAGAUAGACAAAGUCUUUCAACUGAAUUCUCGAGAGAAUCAUUAAGCAACUUCCUGUGGUGGAAGGACAUGGCUCAUUUGAUUUUCAUAACAGUGAUUUUUCUGGGGUGUUCUUGGUGGGGUGAAGGAAGGAAGAAAGGAAGGGAGGAGGGGUGGGGGCCUGGGGAUGGGGCUGGGGGUGGAGGUUGGAUGAGGAUUGAGAUGGAUGGAAGAGUCGGCGAAGGCUACCACUUGGAGUUGGAGUGUUGCUGAAUGUUGACUAAAGCUAAUACUUUUUCGUUUUUUUUUGUCAAAAGAAAAGCUUUUCUUUUUUCCUAAUCCGGCCAUUUGUUGAUCUUGACUUCUACGAAGGUCCGUCUAACUUUGAAGGCGGCAGAUCGUCCUUGCAUGUCUUAUUUCCCUAUAUAAUCCGUAUUGUAUUGGAAAUUGCAAAAGUAAUACAAAGUUCUGAAUUUUCUCAAAAUAAAGAUUUUACUUUGAAAAGACAAUUUCAAAAUCACAAUUUUAGAUGGCAAAUUCACAGGUUAUUUAUUCUUCAUUUCUCUCUAGAUUCCUUGUUCUAAAGUGGUCUAUAGUCAUCAUUUCAAAUAUUCGCUUGAAAGGAUCGAUCUAUAAUAGUAAUUUUUAAGUUAUCUUUUGAAAUAACGAAAUCUUUAUUUUAAAAAGAAUUAAAAAUUUUGGAAUUUCAAAUAAAUAUUGGAUUAAAUAGGUAAAAUCCCAUCAAGCUCACUCCAAAAUGGUCACUUUGUUUUUCUUUAGUUUUUAUCCAUACAUGGUCAUGUAGUUUUUUGGGUUAAUUACAGUUUGCUUCCCUGAAUUUGAUCCAUUAUAACACUCUACCCCCCUGAACUUUAAAUAUAUACACUUUGCCCUCUUCAUUGAUUAAUCAAAUUAAUGAUGAAUUCUCCAUCCAAAAUUUUAACAACAUAACAUUAAUGUCCUUACAUAAUAGUUCCAUAAUAAUACUAUACUUUUAAUUGAAAUAUGAAACAUCUUAUUAGAAAAAAAACACAAAGUCACAUGAUUUAAAAAAAUAAAAAAAAAAUACAAGAUGGUAUAAUAUCAAAGAAUUGAAAAUUUGUAUUGCAGAAAAAAAAAUUUAAAAAUUCUUAGAACAUCUGCCCAAAUUUUCCAUCACUUAUCUUUCUUCCUUUAAAUUGUAAACGGAUUGAUUUUAAUAAUUUUCAUUUACGUUGCAACUUUCACAAGAUUUUCAAGAGUCAAUAAAAUGCUAUUUGGUAAUUUUAUACCGCAUUCAUACCUUGCUGUGUAUUUUGUUUGAGUUCUAUAUUUUAAAAAAUAAAAAAUUCUCUAACUAUGUUUUUCAAUAUAUUUUUAUUUUUAAUCAUGUUUUUAUAUUAUAUAAAACACAUUAAAAAGUACUACAAUAAAAAAUAAAAGCAAAUAAUUUUUAUUCCAUAUGUACUAAUUAAUUUUUAUUUCAUUUAAAAUAAGUACUACUAUCGGCAAUGAAAUAAAUACAUUGUAUAUUUUUUUGGAAUCAAGGCGUAUUUACAUUUUGAUUCACACGUGAAAAUUCUCCUUGAUUAUGUGGACAGCAGUAGUAUUGUGUAACUGUGUUGCAAUUGUUGGGUUAGUCCAAAUUCAACUGCAUAGUGGUGAAUGACGCUCAUUGUUGUUUCUUUCGUCUAUAUGGGCAUUACCUUUUUCUUUUUCUUUUUUUUAAAAAAAAAAAAUUUUCAGCGCAAAAACAAAAAGUGUUUAAGUUAGAUUUAAGAGAGUUGUUGGCUAGUUUCAACUUAUUAGUGCAUUAUGCUCACAAAUAGGGAACAAAUAAGCGCAGUAAUGCCACUGCCUUCUCUUGUCUCCGCACAUUAAUUCCAAAGAACUUUCAACCGAAACACUACGGUAGAAGCUGGUGAACUCACCAUGAGAAAAGAUCCAUUUUCCAAUGGAUAAAUAUUUUCUUUAGCUCAAAACUUCAGCAUUGUAAUUAUAAUUCUCUAGUUAAAUUUUUUUAAAAAAAUAUAUAUAUAUAUAUUGGCAUGGCCCUCCACAUGAGCACAACUUUCUUUCCUAAUUUUGAAUGGGAACAACCAUCAUUUUAUUUCAGUCAAUUGUUUUACAUUUGAUAAAUGCUCCAGCUGGAGAAGUAGAACCAGCAAUGCAUGUGGGAGCAGUUUAAUUUGGUCAACAACAAGGUACAUUUUUUAAGUAAUUGGUUCCGAAUCUGAGUUCAUAAAGGAGUUUUCUAGCCAUCACAAGUUGGCUUAAUUAACGAGAAUGAGUCAUUUUCUUGUAAAAAGUUGUAUGCUCAAAAUUAGCUGUUAAUGUGACGGUUGUGUUGAAAAAGAAUCUGUGAGAAUCUCUGUAAACGACCUAUGGUCCGGAGAGAUAUGCCUUGACUCAUAGUGAUGACCGGAGUCGAACCACCCAAAUUUUAAUUUACCCAAAAAAAAAAAAAUGGAGUUUCUGAAAAAGCAUCCACAACCAUUAAAACAGCUUGCCUAUUUGACCUAUCUGAUAAUGACUUCCAGGCUGAUAUUACCCGCAGAUUCUUCAAAUCCGGCUGCCUCGUACAUGAAAUUCUUUCCCUGAAAAAUGUGGUGCUGAUUGUAAGAGUCGACUUGAUGAACAGUAAUAAAAGGUACUGAUAUUUAUUAGUUUGCCAACAAUAAUCAAAUUUAGCUUAACAUAGUAAACGAAAUUAAUCUCGUGCUUAAUUUCAGUUUUCAAUUCUAGUGGUGGUACGUUUGAAGUAGAAGAAUCAGAUUGAAUUUGAUUAAUGCAACCCUGCCAUCUUUGUUUGUUUGUUUGUUUGUUGAUGAUUAUACUAAAUAGAAUACAUUAGUAUGGUUUAUAUUUUGAUUGUUCAGCUGCAUUUUGCACGAAUGAUAAGAAGUCAGUUCGUGAUAUAAUUAAUUACUAAUGGAUCGUUGUCAGUUGGGUGACCUAUCAAUAAUGAUACUUGAAGCGGAAAUAAUUACUGAUCACUACAGGGAAUAGUAUUACUAUUAUUUUCCACCCUGGAAAAAGUCCUCCCUCCGUAGCUAACUAACAACCCUGUCAUGCUCUUACGUUACUUCACCAGAAAGAAAGAGCAAAGGGCAGGGUAAAAAAAAAAAUGGAUAUAUAUAUAUAUGAUCCUAUAUUAUACACCCAGCAUUAGCAUUAAGAAGAAAGCAGCUUAAUUAAUUGGAAGAUUUGACCUGUGAAAUUUGUUUCCAAGUACUAUGGUAUAUAUUUAGAAAAUCAAAUUGGAAGAAAAAACGAAACAUUACUAACUUGCACGGAAGAUGUUGCUUGCGAAAAUUUUAACUUAAAAAAGUGAUCAUAGGAUUAGGAAAGCUCGCAUCAUACCUUGGCGUGUUCGUAUCGAUCUGCUGCUCUCAAGUUAGUACUAAUUUUAACGUUUGGACCCAUAUUGUCUACACGAACACGUUCUGUCCAGUUCAAUUCGACCAAAUUAAAAGACUUCCAACUUGAGUUGUGGCAUCCCUCUCUAUAGCUAACAAUAAUAUACCAUCAAACCUAUUCAUUCAUCAACGAUAAGGAGUCCUUGUUCGAUCAGAAAGUUCUUUUUUUUUUUGUUGUUUUCGGGUGAAUGAUAAGCCUUUGGUCCGGUGGAAAAUCUGUUCAUCAUAUAGUACCAAGUAUAACUAUGUCAGCUGCUGCAAGAAACUCUCCCUACAAACUUCAGGAUUUGGUCACCCUACUUUACCGUUAUAGACUUUCUUCAUCGGUGGCAAAUGCCGGCAACCGCCAGUUCUUGUCAUCCAAGUUCCGUUGUGGCAAUUACAUGAAUCAAGGGUACUUAAGAUCAUUCACUAGCGCCCCCAUCGACCAAGCUGAUGCAAAAGGAAAACCCGAUUUUCAAAUGUAGCAGUCUCUCUCUCUCUCUCUCUCUCUCUCUAUAUAUAUCAUCUGCUGUCUCAUCUUCCAUUUUGCUAAAUAUAUUCUUCUUCUUUUUUCUACCUGUUCUUUUGGGGCUGUGUUUUGUUUGUUGUAGAUUGAAGGACGCAGAGAAGAAGGUUCAGCCAACGUUGCCGGCUUCUGCUGACAAGCAAAGCUUUUCAUCGUGGUAAUUAAGAACUAGCUUGUUUGGCAUGACUAAGGAGUACGCAGUAGGCAUGACUCAGAUAUGCUCCUCUGAAUAAUGUGCAAUUUUCUUAAUGAGUAUAAUAAGGGUAUGGAUCAUCUGGAGAGUAAUGCAUAUCCCAGCUUGAGUCCUCUCUUAACAAGUGCAUAUAUUAAGUACUCGUUAACCAAACUGAUUGUUAAAUGCUACUUCAUCCAAGGAAAAAGAUUGCCAAUGUAAAAAACACUUAGUUCUGCCUAACCAAAAAAUAUAUAGCUACUCAAAAGAUAACCAAUGAAUUAGACUUCAUAGAAACACAAAUUCCCCAGUUAGAAAGGAUGAUCUAUGUCAUACCCCACAAACUAUGAACCAAUCUUUAUGCCACAUCUAACAGCUAAGAAGAACAGUAAUUUACGCUUCUUGCUUAUUAAUUCAGCCUGCAUAAAAGUUUGAUUCGUUCGCUGCCUUCAAGUUCCCUCUCAACAUUGAAGACACGAUCUUUUUAUGGAUUAAAGGAGAGAACUAAAUUCUGCAGGGCCAAGUGGCUUUUGGGUUCUUUGAUGACAUUAUUGUUGCCUUUCUGGAAGCAAGAGUGGGAAAGCUUACGAGGACUGGAAGGUACGUUUGUGUUAUGCGUACAAAACAACGAUUCUAUGGGGCCGGGUAUUUGAUUAAAAGGUGAUUUAAUUACUUGGAUAGUUGCAUCUCACUAAAUUAAAGCUUCUUUGAAUCAUAAUCGGGGAGCGUCCAGGGAAGGUGGAAAAGGUCGUUGGAGAGGUAGAAGUUGUAGCGGAGGUGGUGGAGAACGUGGCCACUGUGACGGAGAAGGUGUCAGCAGAGGUGGCUGAAAAGCUUCCGGACAAUAACAAAAUCAAAGAAGCUGUGCUGGCGGUAGAACACUUAUCAAGUGUGGCCGCUCAAGAGGCUAAAUUAAUCGAAGAUUUUAUUCACAACGUAUGUGGAUCAGUUAAGAAUAAAAAAGAAAACCAUUUGCUGUAAAUCAAUUACUGGUUCACUAAUGGCAGCUUGGCUACUUUGGGUUGACAGGUUGGUGACAUGAAGCAAGACCUGAAAGAGAUGGAGAAAAUAGCAGAGCCUGCAAUUGAAAAAGUAGUGGAACCCCAUCAUCAAGAACAAGCAGCUUAGAUGGACGCGAUUUUCUCGUGGCAAGGAGUAUUUUCCACGGCACUAAACGUGCAAUGCUAAUUAGUUCCCUGAUCCAUUUCUGUAAAAGCCUCGUCUUUGUUCUGUAAAUAACUGAUCAAUUCGUACGUGCAAUUUGCAGAUGGCUAUUGAAAGACCAAUAAGUUGAGCUUGGAAAAUGCUCUUUUAGAUUCCACUUGAUGAUCGAAUUUUGCGUAAUUAACAGUCUAUUAAUUGUUUUUGUUCUUCUGAAAGCCAUGCAGCUUCAUCAUAGACUAUAUCUGUUUAAGCAUUUAACUUCCAGCCAAGAAGCUACAUUUGUGUCUCUUCCAACUCCAUGCAUCUCCCAAAUUACCUUAGUACAAUAUGUAGCCAUCAUUGUCCUAUUUGCGAAAAGUUCCAUACCGCCAUCAUUGUCAAAAAAAAUAAUUAAUUAAAAUUAAAAUACUACUCCCACCUAGAAUUUUACAGAAAAUAAAAAAUAAAAAAUAAAAUACUACUCCCUUCCACGUGACAUGUUACACGUUAGGCGAUGGAUGUCAUUGUAGCAAAAAACUAAUUCUAGUGUCCAUGUAAGAUCUAUGUUGGUAGGCCAUAUAUAAUAACUUCUGUAAGUGACCAUGUCCUAAGCCAUAGUAGUGAUUAAAUUCGAACCCAUUUGAACUUUUAAUUAGUAAAAAAAUUUAUUGGAGAGACCCAGCAGAAUUAAUAACAGAGGCAGCAGAAGCCCCUCAGAUUUCAGAAUUGAAUGAAAGUCUGUGGAAUGCGGAUUAAUACCACGUAACAACCCAUAGGCUUUUUUAUCCGCCGCUCUAUAUCACGUCAAUAAUGAGUGUGUCUAGGUAGGUAGCAGAUUAUUCGAAAUAAUUUUUUAAAAAAAUUAUUAUAAUAUUUUUUUAAUAUAAUAUAUAUAAAAUAAAAAUAUUAUUGAAAAAUAUGUUAACAAUACAAACAACUAUUUUCUAAUCCAUGAUGAAGAUUAAGGAUCAUUCUUUUAUAAUUGGGUAGAUAAGAUUUUGUUAAUAUCCGAAAAAGAUACAAAAUACAAGGGGCAUACCCUAUCCGGCCAUAAAUCAACCAACAAAGACACAGAUACGCUCACACUGUUGACAAAUUAUCAUUUAGAGAGAAAUUACGCGUAUUUCUUCUCUCGGUAUAAUCCCUGAAAAAAUCGCUAAAUGGAUGAUAGCUUGAAGGUUCAAAUCUUCAGCAGAAAGCUGAUAAAACCAUCAAAUCCAACUCCAAGUCAUCUUAGAAGCUUCAAGCUUUCAUUGUUCGAUCAGCUAGCUCCUCCACUAUAUGUUCAUAUACUCUUCUAUUACUUGCUUGAUGAAGAUCACAAUCGAGCCGAAAACGAUGAGAGAUUUGCUCAAAUGCAGAAAUCCUUGUCCCGGGUAUUAUCCAAGUAUUACCCUCUAGCUGGCAGAUUCCUUAAAGAUGAACUCUUGAUUGAUUGUGCGGAUCAAGGAGUUGAAUACUUUGAGGCACAUGUCAAUGGAGAACUUGUGGAGUUUCUUCAAGAAGGACCAGAGAUUGAGCUUCUGAAUAAAUUUCUGCCCUGGAAUCCUCCUCCGUCGCCAUAUCUGGCAACAAGUCCACUAGUAGCAGUCCAAAUCAACAAGUUUGAAUGUGGAGGAGUAGUGGUAGGCAUCCAAAUUUCACACUUCAUUGUAGAUGCCAGUUCAAUGAUGACAUUCCUGAAGGAAUGGGCUAACAGCUGCACUAGCCCGACAGAGAUGUAUCCAGUGCUCAGUCCUAAUUAUAAUGAUCACUUUGUUUCAAUCUUCCGGCAAGAACACUAUCAGGGCCUAAACCCCGGACCAGCCGACUACCCUGCUAAGAUAGUCACGCAAAGAUUCUUGUUAGAUGAAACGAUAAUAGAGAAGAUCAUGGAAGGAGCUGCUUUAUCUUGUUCAAAAUGUAAUUUUCAUCCAUCUAGAGUGGUGGUAGCGUUAGCACUGAUAUGGAGGGCUCUCCUAGGAGUAUGUCUUGCCAAACAUGGGCACUUCAGGGACUCAAUUGUUGCUAUUGCAAUGAACUUGAGGGGGAAAACAGCUCUAACAAUAUCAGAACCAAAUUAUGGGAACUUUUGGACCUCGGUCAUAGUUCCAUUGGAAGCGAAAAAAGCCAAGAUACAGUUGCAGGAGCUGAUGAUAUUACUCGAUAAUAGAAUAAAAUCCACAAGUGAAAAACUUGCAACAGCUAGUCCUGAGGAUAUUUCAUCAAUGCUGAUCGACUCCCGCAGAGAGAUUAUUGAGAAACGUUAUCUGUCCGUUGGUAUAGAUGUUUACGUUUGUACCAGUUGGUGUAGGUUCCCGAUACAUGAAGUUGAUUUUGGUUGGGGAAAACCACAUUGGGUAAGUCAUGCAAGCAAAGCAAUUGAGGCGAUUGGUUUGGUGGAUGCCAAAAAGGGAGAGGGGCUUGAAGCAUGGGUAAGUUUGAAAGAGGAGGACAUGAUCGAAUUCAAAAGAGCACUGGAAGUUUUAGUGCCAGUGCCCAAAUGAUAAUUCUAGCGUCCUUGAAGUUUAUACUGUGAUUCCACUUUGAUUAGCUACAUUUUACGGUAACAUCGAAUCUUGUUUUCCCGUCCUUUGUACUGCAGUUAUGGUGCUAAUAUUCUGAAAAUCAUGUUUAGAAUUUGUUUUUCAUCUUAUACUUUUUUCUGACAAACUAAGACAAUGCCAGUACUAUUUAUUUAUUCGAUUAACAGAUCAGCAGAGUGAGGUGUCUCCUGCAAUUCAACCGUGUAAAUCUUCCUGUUUGAAAGAACUAGUUUUGCCAAGGGACUUAUCACUUAUCAGGGCUAUUCCCCUGAUCGUUUCAAACUUUAGCUCAUAUCUAAUGCAGUCAGCUGAAGCUACAUUAUCCUCAAUCACAUGAAAAUUGCCAAAUUGCGUCAGACAUGCUAGAUUGGAAAAGACCUCACAGAAAAAGAACCUCCCAAGUCUUUAAAGAGGAAGUUCAACAUUGUAUCAUCUUUUGAUCUUUCAGAAUGGUAUUCCUAUAUACAUCAGACAGGCUUCAAGAAGUAAACAAUUUUCAGACAACUAUUGCACAAAUUGCAGCUAAAAUGCAUAAAUCAGGAAAAAAGAAUGACACGCAAUGCAUGACAGUAGAAAGAACAUAUAAUGACUAUCACUAGAAUAAGGUUAUAUUAUUAUCUGUAUGUCAAUCCUUUUGUCACUUCAAUCUGAAUUGAAAUCAUGAAAACUGUCAGUUCAUCUCUUGAUCAUGCCUGAAUAGCAAUCAUCCAGUGCUGAUUUUGCCGCUGGAAACAGAGAAGCUUACAAGUCAGAUCCAUUUAUUUAGCUCCCAGCGCUGGGUUUACCAUUCUUGUUGCUAAUUAAGUUCGGAAAACCAUUUGAACUGAAGUCAUAUAUGUGGCCCAAUUUGACACGUUUAGUUUCCAAAUAUCUCUUGUUCUCUUUUGUAAUGAAACUUUGAAGAGGGACGCGCCCAGCAACCGCUAGACCAUAGCCCUUGAGCCCACUGUACUUUGCAGGGUUGUUUGUCAUCAGCUUCAUUCCACCCAUGAGGAACCAAUAGACUUCCACCCCUGGCUGACUCUUGAACAUUCACCUACGGAUGCUUCUUAGACUGAAACAAAGAUAACUUUUGCAACAUUUCCUUCUUUUGUAGAACUUCCUAAAUCUGUUCUUGUUGCCAUUAUUAUUGAACUUGGGUGUAGAUAUCAUGUUUUAGCUAUUUCUCUAUCUCUGGGUCCCCUGUUGUUGAUGUAUCUUUGCCUAUUCAGUGGCUUUUGAAUCCUUAAGCUGCUUCAUUGGAGAGGAAACUCACUGUGAUUUAAUCUUUUUCCAUGGUUAGUCUGUUAACCUGAACAGUAUCAUGAGUACAAGUGCGUUCCACAGAGAGAGAGGGAGAGAGGGGACCUGAGUACUAUCAUGUUUACAAGGGUAUUACACGAAGAGAGAAACAGGUGUGUGUGUGUGUGUGUGUGUGUGUGUAUAGAGAGAGAGAGAGAGAGAGAGAGAGAGAGAGAGAGAGAGAGAGUAAAGCUACAGGAAAAUUGUCAGAUAUGGUGUUGAAUUCUGCUUAAAAUCAUUUAGCUCAUCAACAAUCAGCCCGGAAAAAACAGGCUACUGCCACCUUAUAUUAAUUUCCUUAUUUGUUGGUAAUAGUUUAUGUGGUGGAUGAAUAUUAGCAGGAUGCAAUGGGAGUUGAUGACUAAGACCUUGAAUAAACCAAGAGUAGUCAUACCUUUGAAGUAGUAUGCACCAUGGAUUUCUUAUAUUAGCAUUGAUAUACCAUAUAUUUGGUCAGCCAUGAUAUUUUUAUAUUAAGAGCAGAAGAUGUUAUCAUAAAGCUAUGUGGCUUUUCCCUUUCAUUUAAAUUUCAUAGCAGUUCUGCAGUUGUUUAAUCUGUGUCAAUGUUGCACUUACUGAAGGGUAAACAUGGAGUAAAGUCUUAAGAAAACAGACUCGACUCUUAAGCGCAGAUUAAUUUUUUUGUACGCACAGGUGUCAUUUUGAGUUUUUCUUUUCAGUUUUAAUCUUCAUGUGCGUCUGAAUCAGGUAAUUGAGAGUCCUAAUCGUAGAUCAUAUGAGGUUGGGAUUGCUGUAUAAAUAGCAUGUAUGGAUCUAUUAUCCUGGGUUCUUACCUUUAGCACUAAUUUAUAUUCUCUUUUCAAGUCUGAUGGUUCUAAUGAGGAGUUUUUUUGGAAAGAUAUAGUGCCUAACUAUGAAAUGGUUUACCCAUAGUAUAUGUUUUAUGAUCGUCUUAACCUCCUUUCUCAAGGGGAAAAGAUUGAUGAAGAUGCUUCAUCUGGGGAUGCAUUUGAAGAUGCGCUUGAAUCUGAAUUCUUGACCGCUGAUAUUGUAGAUUCUGAGGAGGUUUGUAUUAUAUGCCCCAACUUGUUCCCAAUAGAGUUUUUUCUUUUUCUUUUUUUUUUGAAAAACCUCUUGUAUUUAAAUUUGAUAGGAACACAAACUCUUGACAUGUUCUUUAGUGCUAAAACUGUCUUUUACACCUUGUUCUCCUGUGAGGAUAAUUAGUAUGACAUUUUCUUUUUAUUUAAAGCUUUGUGAGCUGAUGGUAUUGGUAGAAUUGUUAGAAUUAACAUACGUCUUUUGCCAAUAAAGAAUCAGAAGUCAUGAUUGGUUUUGACCUUAGUGGUGUUAGUUGCUUUCAGAUUUCUAAGCUUAUUGUUGUCAGUCUGUUUAAUUUUUUCUAAGACUUUACUGUUAAUUAUCUUUUUAUUAGUAUGCCAUAUUCCUCAUUCUUAGUUGAUACUAAUUUAUCAGGAGGUGCCAGUGGGCUUAGAGGAGCCAUCUGGGGGCAACGAUUCAACUCUGCUGCCUAUUCUUUGUGUUGAAGAUGGAUUGGUGAUUCUACGUUUUUCAGAAAUUUUUGGCCUUUAUGAGCCUUUAAAGAAGUCUGACAAAAGGGAGCGCAAAUAUCCUGUUCCUAGAGGUAUAUAUUUUCUGUACCUGAAUGUUUCGAGUAUAUUGCUGCUAAUAAAUUUUAUGGCAGUAAUAUAUUAAUCACUUGCGCUUAUUCACCUUAUGCAUCUCUUUAUGGACUUCCAGUUUAGCCAUUGGUCCUUUCCUCAUGUUGAAUGUUUUCAGAUAAAUUCAAGACUAUGGAUACUCCAGAAAAUGUUGAAGAAGAUGAGGAAACAUUCUUGAAGGGAUCCGGCUUAGAUGUGUCUGGUACGAGACAAGCCCAAGUGGCUCAACACAAUGUUUUAACAUUUAUGGACGAUGAUUUAGGAUCGGGGAAGUUUGGUGUUAUCCAGGAAGAUGGUAAAAUUGAUGCAGAAGUUGACCAGUGUAGAAAAGAUUCUUGUCAGAGUUCUGAACCAUUUAAAGAAGAUUUGCCAGUGAUGCUUCCUCCAGAGUGGAACUCACCUAUUUGUCCAAAGUUUUACCCUCUUGAUCAACUAAACUGGGAGGAUAGGAUAAUUUGGGAUAAUUCUCCAGCACAGAGUUCCAGUGUUGAAGAGAGUUGUGAGAUGUCUGGACCUGAUUCUGACGUACUGGGUGAUAAGAAUUUUGAGGCCGAUACUCACCCUCUGGUGUCAGAUCUUGAAAGAGAACGUUGUGAACAUGAACAUCCUUUUCGUCAUGGUUUUUCCAUAUCACCAGAGCCCUUUGGUUCAGGAAGUCUUUCUGAACCUUCGAAACUGCCUUACUGUGAAAGAAUGUAUCAUCCUCAACUUUUAAGGUUAGAGUCUCGAUUUGAUCAAGAUGAUCCAAAUAAUACUGACCUUGGACAUGAAGGAGGCUCUGAAAAAGUUCUAGGUAAUGGUGUCAUAAGCCGUUUUAAUAGGCUUAUGUUAGAGAAUGGAGAUCUGCAGAAGGAUCUUGGUUGGACAAUAUAAUUUGGGAUUCAAAUCAGCCCAUUUCAAAGCCGAAGCUGAUAUUAGAUUUCCGAGAUGAACAAAUGCUUUUUGAAAUUCAAGAUAAUAAGGACAGUAAGCAUCUUAGGCUUCAUGCUGGUGCUAUGAUUAUAACCCGUUCAGUCAAGCCUAGUACUGGUGACUCUGUCGAGCUACAUAGUCAUGGAGGUCUUUCAGGAGGUAGGUUUAACAUCUCAAAUGACAAAUUUUACUCAAAUAGGAAAUCUUCCCAGCAGGUGAAAUCACAUAUGAAGAAGCGUACAGCUCAUGGUCUCAAAGUUCUGCAUUCAAUUCCAGCACUUAAGCUGCAGACGAUGAAAGCUAAGCUAAGCAAGUAAGGGUUGAGUGCCACAUUCUUUUUGUAGUUCUUUUACCAUAGAUGGUCUGUUUUACUUUGUUUAACAUGUGUAAAUUUUUAUGCUUGAGGCUUGGCUGUUUAUUCAGCAAGUUGAUCUUCUUAUUAAGUUCCAAUCUUGACCCUUUGUCAGUUUUCUUACUUGUCUACUUUUCCUGUUCUAAUCUUCUUUUGAACUUAUUGUCUUAGUUCAUGUUGUUUUUUUUGUUAAAAUGUCAUCUCUUAUCCAGUAUGUGAGGUUAUUUUUGUCUUCUACUUGCAUUGGAUGCUCUGUUUCCUAUUCGUAUUAUGGCUUUGAGUGCGUGUUAGUCUGCUACUGCUUAUUGUGAAUUUUUUGAUGUACUUUCAGUAAAGAUAUUGCUAAUUUCCAUCGACCAAAAGCUUUAUGGUAUCCUCAUGAUAAUGAGGUGGCACUGAAAGAACAAGAGAAGCUGUCUACGCAAGGACCUAUGAAGGUCAUAGUAAAGAGUUUGGGAGGCAAAGGAUGUAAACUUCAUGUGGAUGGCGAGGAGACCAUCUCUUCAGUUAAAGCUAAAGCUUCAAAGAAACUAGGUCUCACUUUUAUUAUGCUUCUGAUGUUACUAAAUUUCGUUGUUAAAAUCUAGUUGUUCUUCGUUUGCUAUAGAAUAUGGAAAUAUUGUUUUAUCUCUUGCUUGUAGAUUUUAAAUUGUCUGAGCCAGUGAAAGUGGUUUAUUCUGGAAAGGAGCUAGAAGACCACAAGGCUCUUGCUGCACAAAAUGUGCGACCAAACUCCUUGUUGCACCUUGUUCGUACAAAAAUCCAUUUACUACCCAGGGCACAAAAAAUCCCUGGUGAGAACAAGUCUUUGCGUCCUCCUGGGGCAUUUAAGAAGAAGUCCGAUCUUUCAGUAAAGGAUGGUCAUGUCUUUCUGAUGGAGUAAGUCUUAAAAGUUCUUGCUUAUCAUCUAUACACCAGUCCCUUAUGAAUACAAAAGAUAGUCCAACAAUCUCAGUCAAGAUUAAUUCUAUUCCAUGUAAUUAGAUCAGCUUGUGAUUUGUUAGAUGUGAAGAUCUUGGUCAUAAUAAAGUAUUGUUUAUUGGAACUGUGGGGCAGAAUACGUCUUCACCUUGACUGUAAUUUUUUUUCACGUUUACAAUAGUGAAAAGUAUAUCUGAGGUGCUGAAUCAAUGAUUAUGUUGCUGUUUGCAUUAUAUUAAAUGUUGCCACCUCCUUGUCUAACAUUCUGUUCGUAAACACUAUAAGACUUUGUAGAGUAAUUGUGAUGGUUUGUUUUUUUAUGGUUUAAGCAUAUAAAAUUGUCAUGGAGGAGGAAGAACUAGUAAUGCAGGUAUUGGUGCGAUGUCUUGGUUGUUUAAGAGUUAAUACAUCGUUUUCCCAAGGUUCUUAUAUGAAGAUGGUUAAGUAUGUUAUUCCUGUGAUUCUUCUAUUGGAACUUAAGAAUAAGUUUCAUAACACGUAAAUGUAGCACACCAAAUUGGAAAUGUGGAGUUUUUGAACUCUAAACAUGUUCUGCCACAUGCAUUGCUAUUAAGCAUUCAUUGUGAAGAACUUAAGAGUGAAGGAAAGAUUGAAAGAUUGAGCAUUCAUUUUUCUGUCCUUAUUUGAUGGGUUCAUCUUUGAAACAAAUUUAUUGCUUGGAGCCCUCCAGAGGUCUAUUUCUCGUGCUUGUGCUGAUGGGAUGUGUUUAAGUCGCAAAAUGGAGACUUGUCAAACCCUUACAUAGGGAUCCUUGACAGGGAGAGGGUUUACUAUUUCUAUUAAAUAUAGGCUUGUCAUUGUGAAAUGGAUUACUAUUUUAUCUUUCUUUUUUUGGGUCUGAGCAUGGAGAGAAGUUGGGGUGGGGGUGUUCUUUAACAGUUGUAAAAUUUGGCUAUGCUGAAACCUCUAGAGUACGUGUCUUGCAAUAAAUGUUUGACAUGUCAUAAAAUUCUGUAAAUAAUUGCAUCUCUCUGAUGUUCUUUCUUUGGUGUGUUACUGGCAGAUACUGUGAAGAAAGACCUUUACUCCUGGGAAAUGUGGGAAUGGGUGCAAGACUGUGCACUUACUACCAAAAGUCUGCCCCUGGUGAUCAAACAGGGAACUUAAUGCGAAAUGGGAAUAACGGAUUGGGGAGUGUUUUAAUCCUAGAUCCUGCUGAUAAAUCCCCUUUUCUUGGGGACAUAAAACCUGGUUGCAGUCAAUCAUCUCUCGAAACCAAUAUGUAUCGAGCACCUAUAUAUCAGCAUAAGGUGUCAUCAGCUGAUUUUCUAUUGGUCCGAACCGCAAAAGGAAAACUUUCAAUAAGACGAAUUGACAGGAUUGAUGUUGUUGGACAACAGGUUAAAAAGAUUUUCUUUAUCUUUUAUUUUUCUUUAAAUAUCUCGGAAGGGUUACAUUUCAACCAAAUCUAUUGUGUUACCUUGGAUUUGUUGCUUGAUGACAGGCAUAGGUACAUGCUCGUGCGAAAAUUGUUUGAUCUGCUUGUCUCUGUAUACAUGGAAUAUCUCUCUCUCUCUCACACACGCGCACACACACACAGAGUUGCCUUUCAUGUUCCCUCUUCCACCACUACAUAUUUAAAUUUUUGUUUGCAUGUUAGAAUAACUAUUCUUGCACAUGGUUGACGAGAGGUUUGAAGGCUGGUCUCACCCAUUUUGAGAGAGGAGUACAGAAGAAAGUCCCGUUAUUCUUUCUGCUACGAAAGUUGGUUGUUUGUAGCUAAUGAAUACUUAAAAGAUGUGAAAAUUCUGUAUAUGGCUCUGAAUGAUAUAAAUUUAUUGAUUCAAAAGAAUCAGAGGAUAGAAAACUGCAACUUCAAGGUCAAUGCUAAUCAUUAAAUUCCUGCAUAGUACUUGCAUAGAUAGAGCAAGUUGGGUUUGAAUGAAGGGAAGAGUGGGGAAAGGAAUGUAUAUAGUCUAGUGGCAAAGAAAUGAAAGUAGUAGCAUAAGUAUAGUUGUGGAAAAAGAAAAGAAAAAAGAAAAAGAAAGUGCAUGAUAAAGGAUUUUUUCUGCCUUUAUCAGUUUUGUUUUUCUCUUCAGGUGUCUUAAAGUUCUACAGAUUUUGUUUUCUGGAGAACAAAUUCUUUGGAGCUUAAUUAGUCACACACUUCAUAUCAUUUCUCUGUGCAGUACUUGAUUUAGAAGUUGCUUAGGUGGUCUUGUCUUGUCUUGCUUUUGAUUUCAGCAUCUUUGUAUUCAGCUGCAGCUUUCUGAUGGCUUUCAUAAUGGUUAAAUGAGUUGAAGGAAAAACCAGAAAUUUUCUUUUAUUGACUUUGGGGUUGUUUUCUGUAGCUUUUGUGAUCUGGAGAAGUAUUCAUUGCAUCUAUAUUCAUUUUGUUAUUGUAAUCUGACUAUCUUAUUAUUAAAGCUUGAUAUAUGUCUGAGGGAACGAUACAGCUAGAAGUGAAGUGAAGUUUGGGAAUAACCUCUGUUGUGCACAUUUUGAAUUCUAUUUCUUGUUUCACCUAAAAAAUCAUAGCAAAACUUCAAUUCUUAAUUUUAUCUUGUUUCAUGUCAACUAUGUAGGAGCCUCACAUCGAGGUAAUGUCUCCUGGAUCAAAAAGUGUUCAAACAUACAUUAUGAACAGGUUGAUGGUGUACAUGUAUCGUGAGUUUUCUGCUGCUGAGAAGCGUGGGUUACGGCCUUCUAUACGCGCUGAUGAGUUGUCUGCACAGUUUCCCAGCCUGUCAGAAGCAUUUCUUCGGAAAAGGCUAAAACAUUGUGCUGAUUUGCAGGUAUUAUACCUUUGAAUCUAGUUUACGGAUAUAAUCGAAUUAUUUGGUUACCAAUCCGACAACCUCAACGUCAAUCCCACUCCCCGGACUCUGCUCAUUAAAGAAGAGUGAAAAUAGAAAAAAGAAGUUAAAAGAGACGUUCAGGUUUAUAAAUUCAAGGAAACAAGGGAAUAGCGUACCUGUUUUUGAGGAUUAUAGGUUUUAAACUGGUGUCCUUUUGUUGACAAAGGGAAAGAACUUGAUUGUAAGAAUGAAGUAACUUAACUAAGUCAUUUGCUUUGGACUGUUAGUGAUUAAAAGACUCAGCUUCUAUGAUAUUAAUCUCUAGCAAUACUCUCUGUAUUACUCACUUUUUGAAAGUUGUGAAUUGUACAUCUAUUCCAUGUAUGGUCUAUUGUGUAGGUUAUGUGAUAGCUAACUGAUUCAGAAUUUGAACUUCUUCAUUCAUUAGUAACAAGUACCAAUUGAAUUAGGCAUCAUUAGGCCUAGAAAUUUGUUGACAGCAUCUUCUCUAUCAUGGGUAUAUUUAUCCUCUUUCAAUAGAAAAAAUAUGACCUUUCUAUAAUGAGAAUUUUUUGGUAAAUAUAUUGCUAAGUGCGUUACUGCAUGGAGAAGCUCACACUGACGCUGCUAUAUGUCAUUGAAUUAUUUUCUUUUCUUCUUAAUCUUUUGUGGUCGUGUAUGUGCACAUAGUUAACCUCAAUUUGCAAUCUACCAGAGAGGAUCAAAUGGACAGCUUCUUUGGGCUAUGAGGCGCAAUUUCCGCAUUCCUUUGGAGGAGGAACUAAGGAGGAUGGUGACACCAGAGAAUGUAAGCUCUUAGUUAACAAAUUUUAUCCAUAUUCCUCUUCCUUUAUACAUGUAGGAUACAACAUACGAUCUGCAUGUAUGUAUUUAGCAUGUGAUCAAGAGUGUUUUGUCACAGAUAUUUUCGAGUUUUCGGAUCAAUGGUUUGCCCCAGUUGAGUGUGAUGGGGUGGAUCAUAUGUUUGUUUUGAGCUUUAUAUUUUUAAAUUGAUGGUAUUUUGUCUGAAAACAUCGUGAAGUUCAACCUCCAUUUAAGAGUGGGACAUGUUGAAGUUUGGGAUGUUUUAGCGGUUCUCCUGGAAGGCUAUCCAUCACAUCUGCUGAUGUAUUGACUGAAAAGCUGUAUAAACAUGAUUUUCUAAAAUUUGAUUUAAUUGUAUUUGCCUGAAGCAAUAUAUUGUUUAUUGAGUUUGUUUUUCCUCCUUUACCUGUACUUGUGUUAUUAGAGUCACUCUUGAACACGAGGUAAAUUGAGCUUUGCUAGAUUCCAACAGUUAUCUGCUAGGAUAGAAUUUACAAUUACUUUUGACUGUUAUUUACUUAUUUGUAACAUUCGGAUAGCCAGCUCAACUGAUGUUUGGGGCAUCCUCUUUUGUCUUUUGAAUGCGUGCCUUGAUGCGGUUGGUCUGGAAAUAGGCUUCCAAUAAUUCUGCAAUGACCAGAGUCGAGAAAUUAAGUUUGUAUUUAACUUGUUUUCAGCCAGUCAAGUGUCCAUUUCAUAGAACUUGAGUGGGUAUUGUAGUAAAAAGCAUCUAAGACUAUUGAGAAUUUUGCUACAAUCUGGUUUCCACCUGCUGGUCAUCAGAUUAUAAGAGCAGUUGCUAAUGAACAAUCUCCCUUCUCUCUACUUUAAGGAUGUCCCUGUUCUUCUUUCACUCUAAUUUCAAAGGUAAAUAUUAUAUGGUUUUGUCCAAGCUAGCAUGCUGUGAUUCAACUUAAAACCACUGCAAGACAGAAUGGAUAUAUCCGUCUUCUUUCAUUUCUCCAGAUGGUAACUUCUUGUGGUGCAUGAAAUAGAAAAGCUGGAUGGAAAUGGGUUUUCUUCAUAUGUUGGAGGAAUUCAUUUACCUUCACCAAAAUGACUGCUUGUUGGAAGCAAACCUAAUCAAUUUCAACAAAUGAUAAUAUUAUUGAACAGGGGUGGAUAUAGAAGACCAAAAUAGGGGAAAAUUCUGUUUUCCGCUAAAAGGCUGCAUCAAUUUCUUUUUUUCCUAGUUAACCUUCUACCUUCCUCUUUGUUCCUAAUUCUUUGUCCUUAAACAAUUGCAUCCUUUUCACUUGUCUGAGAAUAGGUUUGUGCCUAUGAAAGCAUGCAAGCUGGCUUGUACAGGCUCAAGCGGUUGGGAAUUACUAGGUUAACUUCACCAACAGGCCUGUCAUCUGCAAUGAAUCAGCUUCCAGAUGAAGCUAUUGCGUUAGCUGCUGCAUCUCAUAUUGAAAGGGAGCUGCAAAUAACACCAUGGAACUUGAGUAGCAACUUUGUUGCCUGCACAAAUCAGGUAAUGAUAUCCAUACGUCAUGUACUUUUUCUAAAGAUGCUAUCUUUUACAAUAUGACGGAUGUACAAGUGACCUUAUAAAUUAUGUAUGGUAUCCAUUGGGAGGAUUCCAGUUCUUGUUGCUAUGAAAUAUGACCCAAAAGUUGUUUUCAAUGACCUUUUUAGGUACUUAAUCUCAGCACUAUGACUUCACUGAAUUUUCCCAUGUCUGCUGUUGAUGCAGGACAGGGAAAAUAUUGAACGUUUGGAAAUUACAGGUGUUGGUGAUCCAUCUGGACGUGGGCUAGGUUUCAGUUUUGUUCGUAAUACUCCUAAGGCACCUGUAUCAAAUACAAUGGUGAAGAAAAAGGCAGUUGUUGGUAAAGGUUCAACAGUAACCGGUACCGAUGCCGAUCUACGCAGAUUGAGCAUGGAAGCUGCACGAGAGGUGUGUUGAUUUUUCACCAAGAAUAAUCUUUGCUGAUAACCAAUGAGUGAACUAACUAUGAAAUGUUCUCAUUAUUUAUGCACCUCAAAUCUACAAGAAAUUAAAAAUUUUCUCAAUUUCUUACUGAUUUGAAAACGAAGUGUGUCUGUGGUGAAUUGGUUGAGCACUGAAAAGAGACAUUUCUAGCUACUUGUACAAGGCUGAAUUUGAUUCUGAUUAGUUUCUUUGAUAUUAAAAACUUAACUUAAUCAACAUUUUCUUGUUUGGUUAGCCAUUUGAUUUGAUCAAAAGUACAUAGAGACAUUGUUAAACUUAAGUUGGACUUUUUCUUGAAAUGUUCAAGGAAACAAACAUGGAAAAGGUGAAAUUUCCUAAUUCUACUUUGUUCAUAUUGUUCUCAUACUAUUGGACUACCAUAAAGAUGUGCUCGUGCCGGGCAUUGCAUGGUAUUUGACUCUUUAUAUUUCUGACAUAAAACCAGCAUACACAUUGAUUAAAAAAAAAAAAACUCAUAAAUGCAAUCCUAGAACCAUAAGUCUUGCAUGUAAUACUGACACAUUGCAUGUUUUUGUCUUCUGUCCCUAAAGAAUGGGUUAUUUAUUUUGAUGUACAUGAGAUGAUGUUGGCAUGCAUAUUGUAGGUUCUCCUCAAAUUCAAUGUACCAGAGGAGCAAAUAGCUAAGCAGACUAGGUGGCAUCGAAUUGCUAUGAUUCGGAAGCUUUCAAGUGAGCAAGCUGCAUCAGGGGUCAAGGUAGAUCCAACAACAAUCAGCAAGUAUGCUCGUGGCCAAAGAAUGUCGUUUAUGCAGCUGCAGCAGCAGACGAGAGAAAAAUGUCAGGAAAUAUGGGAUCGACAAGUUCAAAGUCUUUCUGCUGUUGAGGGUGAAGAAAAUGAAAGUGACUCUGAAGCCAACAGUGACCUAGAUUCCUUUGCUGGGGAUUUGGAAAAUCUUCUGGAUGCAGAAGAGUGUGAAGAUGGUGAAGAUGGUAAUAAUGUUUCCAAGAAUGAUAUCAUUGAUGGGGUUAAGGGGAUUAAGAUGAGAAGGCGACCUUUCCAAGCACAGGCAGAGGAGGAAAUUGAAGAUGAGGCUGCUGAAGCAGCUGAGUUGUGCAGAAUGCUUAUGGAUGGUAUGUAAUAAUCACUUUUACUGUUUCUAGUUAUCAUUCUUCUUGCAGCUCAAUAGCUGCUGGUCAUAUAAAAUACAGAUGUAAGAUUUUAGACAGCUCUUCAGUACGAUUAUUUACUCAAAGUGGUGGUGGGUUUAUAUGGAAUGCCUUGAUGACGAAAUACAUUCAGUACAAUAAGGAUUUAAAUGGUUUCAUCUUGUCGUUGUCCUUUAAUUUCUGAGUCAGUUUUGCAGGGUCCCUCUCUGUGUGUGGUUCUGGAUGUGCGUGAGUGAUGUUUAUACUCUGUAUUGGAUAGAUCAAUGUUUUUGCUUCAUUCUAGGACCUUGAUCAACAGGUUAAUGCAGGGAAGAAUAUGAUGCUUCUGGUUUGUUGGUGGUCUUAUAUUAUUCCUAGAAUUAAUCAACCGAACUAAAAGAAGUUAAUAGAAGAAUAAACCCAGAGAAAUAUUUGUACCUUGUGAGUUGUCCAAUCCCUUGACAAGCAAAUUGUAACAUGAAUUGAUGACUUGUCAAACAGUUGUGAUAUCUGGACAUGUUUCUGUCCUCUGAUAGACACAAAGCAGGAAUCACUUUAGUUGGUCCAAGUUACUCAACAAUUUCAUGUGGUUGUAGUUUUAAGUUGUCUUCUGGAGUUUCUAAAGUAAAAAGAAAAUGUGCAUCAAAUGAGAAGUUACAAGUCUUUUUCACUGAUGUAAAUAUUGAACCACAAACUUUCCCAUUUCUGAUUGAUAAAGUUGAUUCUGCAGAUGAUGAAGCUGAUAGAAAGAAGAAGAAAAAAGUUAAAGUUGGAGGGGACCAAGUUCGGUUGGGUUCAGUCUCGCAAUUGAAGCUUGGUGUUGAGAAUGUUGAGCGAAUACAGAAAACGAACAAUGUUAUCAAGAGAAACAUACAACUAGAUGGACAACCUCUAGCAAAGGAGAAUGCCACUAGAGAUCGUAAAGAGGUUCAGUUUCUUUGUAUUGUUCAUUUAUUUUUUGAAGUUUUUGUGUGUCCUUCCAAUUUGAUCCAAAUGUUUGGCAUUCUUUGGGACAACCAGACAAAUUUGAGGGUCUUCCUACAUACCACAUAUCAUGCACCUACAAGAACUUCCAACUUACCUCUCAUAACUCAUGAAUACUGGCUGUGAAAAUGGCUAUAUGCUUUAAGUAUCCUAGCUACAUAUUUGAUACAAGUCACCAAACUGGUAGCUAGCCUCCCUUGACAUCAGACCUCUGUUUAGUCUAACCGCUUGCGUCCAGAAUCAAAACUUGCUCUAUAGCCUUGUAGCUUCACCAGAAGCCUCCUCCUAUUUUUGGCCUCCAAGACUUCUUGAACUCAUGUCUUAUUGGCUGAAUAUUUUCCUGGAGUCUCUUUUAAGCUAAACACUUGCAAUGAUUUCCACCACAAGUAACAUACUUGUUCUAAUUCAGAGAUACACAGUUAAUGUGGCUUAUGUUAUCGCUUUUCCUUUUCUGGAAAGCAGAAACAUGGGCUGUGGGAAAUAAUGAUGGUGAUUGAAUGCUCUCUUGUUCUUGUUGGCUUUAACCCACCGGGCCUGGCAUUCAUUAGAAUGAGGAGAUAGUCAGUGACAUUGACUGGUGGAGGUUGCAGGAUGCAUGGUGUUCUGUAUGAUGAUGUGUCAGAAAGUUGACAGUAGAGCAGUCAGCUUUCUAGGACAAUUUCCGUGAUUUUGCUUCGUGGCUCAAUUUGUGUAUUCUUUGGUUGCUUAAGCAGACAAACUUUCUUAGGCUUUUAUUGGUCAUAUCAUCAAGAUGAUGUGAUUAAGUUUUACCAUGGAAUGAAUGGAUCUUGAAGUCACACAAAUUAUACUGACAGUAAUUGCAAAUGUGUCCCCAAAUUCAAGUCAAGAAAAUCAGCAAUUUUACUUUUGCCUUGGUUUGGAUGCAGGACGAGAAUAUUUCAGCUAAAAAGAACUUAUCCGGGAAACUUAAAGCAAAGAAGAAGAAUGACAUUGAACAGAUGGAGCUUCUAAAAAAGAAAGUUAAAAUAUUGGGUGAUGGAAUUAAGGUAUCUCUCUUUGUUACUGGAUGUCCCUGUCUUGUUGCUGUGUGAUGGGAACAAUUCUGUGUUUCAUUCAUUUUAUACCAUGCUGGUAGUCAAAUUCCAUUUGAGCUGAUUGUUAUUGAAAUAUACAUACAUAUAUAAGUACUUAUAUGAGUUUCAUUCCCUCCUAACCCCGUGUGCAUAAUAUUACAAAACUAGCAAGCUUGUUUGAGUCUCCAUUGUCUCUAAGAUUUGAGUGACAUGCUACCAACGUAGAAAUUUUUCUGUUUGCCACCAGAUUGUCAAGGAAAAGAAAUCAGCAAGAGAGAGUUUUGUCUGUGGGGCUUGUGGUCAGGUUUGUGCUGAUACAUGAAUCUUGUUACUUUGCUUACAGCUCUGGAUCUUAAGAGAUUUUCCCCCCUUUUUAUUCCAUGUAUCAGCUUGGUCAUAUGAGGACUAAUAAAAAUUGCCCCAAAUAUGGUGAAGAUGUUGAAACACGUGCUGAAAACAACGAGCUGGAGAAGAACUUAGGGAAAGUUGGUAUUCUGGAUCAGGCAGAUCAACCCCAGCAGAAAACUUCUACAAAGAAGCUCAUACAGAAAAGUGCAACCAAAAUUGCUGUGGUUGAAGCCCACGAGGAUGACAAGUCUAGUACAAAGGCAAAAAUUCUGAAGGUCAAAUGUGGCACAACUGACAAACCCCCCGAUAAGCUCACUCCUGCCACAUCACAGAAUUCUGACAAACCUGUAACUUCAGAUGCUGAAACAGUACAUAAAUCUGCUGUCAAAGUAAACAAAAUUAUUUUUUCAAACAAAACUAAACCGGACGAUAUGCUGGUUGAGUCUCAAAAGCCUUCCAUUGUUAUAAGGCCACCAACAGAGUCUGAUAGAGACCAGCCUCGCAAGAAAAUCAUAAUCAAACGGCCAAAGGAGGUUAUAAAUGUGGAUGACGUAAGUCAGGAAGGAAGUAGUGGAAUUGAGUACCGGAAAACAAAAAAAAUUGUUGAAUUGACGAGUGUUGAUAAGCAUAGGGUGCGAGAAAUCAAAUAUUUCACUGACCAAGCAGCAAGCAAGAAGAACAGAGAGGAGAAGAGAUGGUUGGAAGAGGAGGAGAAGAGGAGGUUUGCUAUCAGACAAAAAGAAGAAAGAGCCCGAAGGUAUUUGGAGGAACAGAAAAGGGCAAUGGAAGAGCGGGAUAGAUUUUCCGAGAUAAGACGAUAUGAAGAAACCAUCCGCAGGGAGAGAGAAGAAGAAGAACGUGAAAAGGCAAAAAAGAAGAAGAAAAAGAAGAAAAGACCUGAAAUUAGAGAUGAUUACCUGGAUGAUUUUCCUCCCAGAAGAAAUGACAGGAGGAUACCAGACAGAACAGCAAAGAGGAAACCAGGACCUGAUACCGGAAGAUACAGUGCUGGCUAUGGCCCAGCAACAAAGCGCAGACGAGGGGGAGAGGUAAGUUUUUCCAUGAUGUUAAAUAACCUUUCCUCACAUUGGGGAAUAUUUUGUUUUUUGUAUGAUUACAGAUGUUGAAAUCUGCUUCAUCCAUAGGACUCUCACCCUCACCCCUCCUCCCCCCACCCUGUGAAAACCUGAGCAAUGAUUUGGAGCUUGCUACCAUCAUUCAAUGGAUGUGUGUGUUGAGGUGUUAGUAUGGUUGUUUUUAUUCUGGGGUUAUUUUGUUAGGCUUUAAUUCAUUCCUAAGAGUGCAAUGGUGUAAGCUUGUGCCUAUGAGUUUUGAUUCUUAUAGUAGGAGUAAGGCUAGGGAACUGCGCAAAAGGUCUCGUUACAUGUUUACAGAGUGGUUGGGAUGGGCUGAGAAAUUCCAAGAUCAAGUCUUGUGUAAUUUUACUUUUCUCUGACUUUGGUUGAAGAGCUAAAAGGACUGUUUUGAUUCUUAUAGUAGGAGUAAGGCUAGGGAACUGCGCAAAAGGUCUCGUUACAUGUUUACAGAGUGGUUGGGAUGGGCUGAGAAAUUCCAAGAUCAAGUCUUGUAUAAUUUUACUUUUCUCUGACUUUGGUUGAAGAGCUAAAAGGACUGUUUAUCUUAACUUAAAUUUGUUGGGCAAUUUUCUUUUGAUGUUUCUUGUUUGGCAGGGGAGGGGCGGAAGGAGGUUCUUUGGUGUGGGUAAUUGCUUUGCUUUGAAAACAAUAUUUUGCUAGUCAUCUGACAUUUCUGUCAAAAAAUGUCAUUUUUUGUUUAGAUGCUUGCCAAUCACACAAUCUCAAACAAAUGCACAAGAGUGAUGUGAUCUUGUUGUAGGCUUGUACUCCAUCUUUGUAAUUCUUUAAUUCUACAUUGUUAUUAUUUUGACUGGAUUGGCAUGAUAGCUGUUAAGUUUCCUGGGGAUGCUUUGCAUUAUCUUUAAUCUUGCUUGGACUGGAUUCUAGUAAAGCAGCAAAUCUAUCUGCUCAUGCUGGUGUUUUUCUUUAAUCUUGGUUGAAAAUGUAGAUUUGCAUGUAAAGCUCAUCUUGAUUUUAUUUCAGGUUGGCUUGUCAAACAUCCUGGAAAGCAUUGUGGAGACUCUCAAGGAGAAGCAAGAGAUUUCCUAUCUUUUUUUAAAGCCAGUUUCCAAGAAGGACGCUCCUGACUACCUUGAUAUCAUAAAGCGACCGAUGGAUCUGUCCACAAUCCGUGAAAAGGUGAGGAGGAUGGAGUAUAAAAGAAGCGAAGAAUUUAGGCAUGACAUAUGGCAAAUCACCUUCAAUGCCCAUGCGUACAAUGAUAGACGCAACCCAGGUAUUCCUCCAUUGGCUGAUCAGCUUCUGGAGCUUUGUGACUAUUUAUUAGAUUUGAAUGAUGCUGACUUAAGGGAAGCUGAAGCUGGUAUUGAACAUGGAGAUUGAUAGGUAGGAUUUUUUUUGAUGUGCCUCUUCAUUCCAGUUAAUUUAGAGAAUCCCUUAGUGAGAACCUUUUUAUUUUUAUUUUUUCUCGCUUCUCUCCUUUCUUGGGGUUCCUAGCACCUGGGGGAUGGAAAAACGUCCCCAAUCUGUAGAAUCUGUCUGUAUAUUCUGAGUUUUCUGUGACAUAUACGCCCUGUGACUCUUGUCUAUUUAUACAAGAGAAAAGGAAAUAGAGAAUAUAAUACUUAGAGCUCCUUAUUUUUGUUUUCUCUUGGUGGUUUCUUCUUUGAUUUUUCUCGAUACUUUUCUCGAUGGCAGAUGCUUAUUGCAGUUAUUAUUCUAUGAGAAAAUUGAGCUGUUGUUUAUAGGUCUUCGCUUUUCUAACACCAAAAAAGUCGAUAAUGAAACUUGCAACACCACUGCUGCAUAUUUAUACAUCUCUUCUUUUUUUUUUUUUUUUUCUGUCAAAAAGAAACUGUUCAAAUGUGGCUGCAGUUGUGGUGCAUUGCAGGGAAUGGUUGUGGCUUGGUAGUAAUUAUUGAUAGUCCUUAUUCUUUUAUUUUUUUUCUAUAUUAGUGUUAUCAUGUAUUUGCAAUCUCAGGCUCGCUCUAAAAAAAUAAGUAUGUAAACUCCAGGUCUAAUGCGGUUGAUUUGCCAAAAAAUGAAGAAAACCCACAGCCAGGGCUUCUGGCAGUAAACACAAAAUAGGCACGGGGAAAUGAUUCUUUGCUGCAAUGGAAAAUUCGGAAUAUUCUUAGUACCAGCAUCUUUGAUUAAUCUGGCAAAGCAGACAAUACGCUUUACAUGUAUCAAAUUCCUUAAAACACAAUUGGCACAGAAUCAGAGACAGAAAAUCAAGCGGCCAAUAAGAUUUUAGGCCACUUUCCCUGCCAAUUCAAAUCCAUGAAAUUCCAGAAACAAGGUGCAACAUAAUCAGACAUCCAAAAGGUCGCUAGAUUGCAAUCAAUUCCACCAUUGAUGCACGGCAACCCCUUGAUCUCUCAAGCUUCCGUACAAAGCUAAACACUGCCAAUAGGCCCUCUUGCUUUCAUUUUCGUCUCCCACUCCAUCAUCUUGAAAGUGGUUCUUGCACUCUAAGAACAACUCAUCCACCAAGCAGAUUGUCUUCUCCUCCAUCAUCUCAUCAACAACUUGUGCUUCUGCCUUCAUUACAACGAAGUCUUCUUGCCUCACAUUAUUCUUCAGCCAACCUGAUAUCCCAGCAGCAGGAUUCACCAUGCUUCUUGAUGACAAUUUUUCUGCAGUAAUCUCUAGAUUGUAUGUCUCAAAGUGUUGGUUUUCGGUUGGAUAGUUGUUGUGAAACCAACCUUCAAAACCAUUUUUGUCAUCUGAAAUCAAGAUCCUUCGUCUAUAACUUGCCAGGGAGUGGGAGUCCCCUAACAGAUGAGGAAGGAAUUUGAUUUUCCUCAUUUCAUCUCUCGAGUACUUCAACAAUGUCCUUCUGGGAGGCUCGAGCAAAGCAUCCUCUAAGCCUUUCAAUGCCAUUUUCCUGGCGUCUUGUGCGAUCUUUUGGCUGAAUUAGUGAAGCCAUCUUUACUGCUAAUUUUCCUCAUUGCAACCAUGGUAUUCUCAAACCGUCGCAGAUACACAAUCCUAUAAUUUGAUUGUCGUUGCAUCAAUCUUGAAGGAUCAUUGCUCAACUUUGUGAUCACAAUGCCGCCAUUCUUCAGAACGCGGUCGACGGAAUCAGCAUUCUUGAAGCUGAAGCUGAAAACGAAAUCAAAAGUUUCAUUCGGAAUGGAGUCCUCCAAGCUGGUUUCAGAGGCCACAAUAUUAUCACUGUCACUCACGAAGUCCAAAUCUUUCAUCAAAUCAUCAAGGCUAGAACCCACGAUGAGGCCUUUCUGACCCCUCUUGAUCAGGCCUUCGUCGGCCAAAUCACGAAAAAGAACAGGCAAUAUUUUGAAAUUAGCCAGAUCAGAGUUCACCUUAGAAGCAUUGGAAGAGCUUCUUAAAACAGAGCCAAUUGAAGGCAAUGUGAGCAAAAUGAUUGCCAAAAACAACGACCUGGAUACAAUCUGCAAAACCUGCGAAUCAGGCAGCUUAAUUACCAAAAGGGUAUGGGAAUUCAAUCCCGUCCCACCACCAUUCGGCUCCUUCGCCUUGAUGCCGGCGCUGGUUCUAUACCCUUGAGCCAAUUCCAUGUUUUCACAACAAAAAAGAACGAUUUUUGAUCUUCGUGCAACUUUUUUCAACUACUAAUCCUCCAAUGCACCUUCACCAAAAAAGCUGUGAGCAAAGAUGCAGACUUUUGAGCAAUAAUAAAGCCCAAAAUCAAGAAAUCUUAAUUAUAAUUGAUAAUCAGGAAAAAAAUCAAAGCCAAGGGGGAUGGAAAGAGGGAUUUAGCGGGUGCAAAAUCUGGCAGCGGUGUGGUUUCCACCCACAAGGGCCACACGGGUGCUUCGAGCUCUACACCAAAGAAGCAGCAACUCCCUGAUUCUUGCAAUCUCCAUACCUUUUUUCAUUUACCUCUCUCUCUGUGUCUCUCUCGCUGAUAUUCUGCUGUCCCCUCUCUCUGAAUAUUUAAAAUGGGCAAUACAAACGUUGUUUUCUACAUCUUAUGAUUUUGUAACCGACGACAACCUAUAAACUCAACCACCACCAUGCCCAGAGAGAGAGAGAGAGAGGGGAAAGGGACAAAAUCAGAGAAAAGGGCAGCGAGAAAUGGAGGAGGAGAUGAUAGACGAAAUGCGUAAUUUCCAAUCCGGAGUUUAAGCAUUAAAUACAGUGAUGCGAACAUCUCUGUGUUUGUUCACAUGCGUGUAGGGACCGUGGGGAAGUAGUGGGUUGUGGUCUUUGUUUUGGUCGAUAAUUAUGGGAAUAUAAAUUAAGAGGCUUCUCAGCCGGGAAUUUUAUAGUUUAAAAACCAGCAAUUUCUACCCAAAUAAGAAAUGAAUUACAAAGAAUUCCUUGUGGAAUUUGUUUGGUUUAAAUGGUGGAAAUCGAAUUACGUUCGUUUUAUAAUUAUUAUUGUGUGGCGGCAUGAAUUAACUUCGCAUCAUAAUAGUAAAUGACUUCCCAAUCCUAUUACGGUAGAAGUCUUCGACGGACGGACCAUCUCCUCAUUCACUUGAAAGAAAACUACUGUUCUGUAACAAAUUCGUACGAGAGGAGCAACCUACGCUACCCUACUUGAUGAUGAUAUGAUAUCAUCAUUUCACUUCCCAGCAACUCUCCUGAGUCCGAACUCCGAAGUUGAGUUGAUUUCCUUUUUCACCUACUAGCAGCAGCAUUUGGUGUCACGUCAAAGUAUUGAAUCCAUCAUGUGUCAAUUUCGCACUUCUUUACUGGAAUUCAAACAUAUAUUAUAUUCAAGUAUUAUCCUUUACACAUUUUGCAACUUUUUGUUUUAGCACUAUUCUAUUCAACGUGAAGUUAAGCUAAAUAUCCCUUUGAUUGUUUCAGUUUCUUCACGCACACGCAUAUAUAAUAUACCCCUAUUUGGCAAACAGGAUUUUUGCCAAAUUUUUUUUUCACUUGUUUUUUAAUAACUUUAAUUACAAUAGCAUCUUUAAAUUUUUUUUUUUUUUUUUUUUUUUUUUACAAAUUCUACCAUAAGUAAAUUACAGUAGUAUAUUUUCAAAAAAAAAAAAUCUAAAAAAACUCGUCUACCAACCAAAAGAAGAAGGUACUGUAAGGGCAAUGCACACACACUGAUGGAGUAGACAGUAGAGGUGGCCUUUCCAAAUCUCUAUGGGAGAAAAUGUAGUGCAACUGCACCCGAAAUUGUACUGUACAAUUGACUCCUCUCCAUGCCAUUUUUUUUCAACACUAGGAGGCAUGAACCGCGCCCUGCGCGGUGAUAAUUUAUUAUGGAUGCCCAUAAAACAUAUGUAGCAGGUAUAUAAUUUUGAAAAUAAAAAGGACAUUGACUUUAUUAGAUGUAAUAAGUUGGAAUAACAAAAGUAACAGCUAGGACAGAAGGAAUGUUUGUUGCUUAAAACUCCAAAGGCUAAAGAACUAUACAAAGAUCUAGGCUUUAGAAACGCAGAAACAAAACAAAGUUUAGUAAUUGUCCAGUGAAUGAAUCGUCUAAGUAACAAACAUGUGGUCUAUAGUCUACAUAUCACUAUUCCAAAUACUACUGCUGCCUAAGAACUCAGCCCAAGAAGAAAGGCUCUGAGCUGGCAGCAUAACAAAGCAUCCCAAAGAAAAUUUUUUAAAAAGAACAGAACCACUAAAUGCUAUUAGUAUCAAUAGCAUAUAAGCCUCAAAACUAAUACCGACGCCACUACAAGCUCAAAGAAGUUCACGAGCUGACAAGAUAGCACAAGAAAUAAGCAUCCAAAAACAACCUCUCUAAACUGGGUAGCAAGCAACAACAGCGUAUUUAGUGCAUGUCACUUUGUUGAUCACAUCGGAUGAACGCUUAAAAUAGCAUAGGAGCCUGGUCAGUUCAAUUCGACAAGCCACACGAUGGUACAACUUAAAGGUCUGCAAAAAGGUUGAAUCGAAAUAAAGUGGCAAUUCAAGAAUCCAUGUACACAAAUCAGACCAUUUAAAUUGCAUAAAAGAAAGUUCAUUAAUGACAAAUCCAAAUGACCUGGCUACAUAGUUGAACAAUCUCCAAGUUCAGGUAUCUAUGCAUGAGAAUAGAGCAACACAUAACCUCAUCGUCAGCAGCCUCAAACAUGUCAAGCGCGCUAACACCAAUCAGCUUCUUAGCUUCGACACCUAAUGCAAUAACAUUUACACACCCAGUAUCAUCAUGAAAAGUGAGCCAGAUCCAUGCUCUAUAACAAAAAUAACAUUAACCACCAAAAAAAAGGAAACCAAGGAAUACAUAGAGUUUUUAAAAACUAAUAACUAAUAACAAAUCCACGAUGCACCUAGGGAAAUCAUACAUUCCCUGACCUCAACCAAGGUAUACAAAUAGUCUUAUAUGUUGACAAGACACCCUCAAUUGAUUUUAGUUUUCUCACGUGGCACGAUACCGUUGGGGUAAAAGAUUGGAGGCACAAACAAAAGUGACACGAAAAAUCAACAUAAUUUCUUUUCACAAAAAAUCAAGAUGCAGAGGGGAAUGCAAUAUUGGCCAUACAUCUUUAACAAGAGCUCUGUGUUAUUAUAGCAAUCAAACUUCCAGAUAAGAGUUUUGGAGCCACGAAAACAGGCAAUUUCGCAUUUCAGACACAUGCAAACAUUUAAUUCUUGUUUAUCAAUGAAGGAACAUUAUUACAGUUGCAAUGUACAUUUUUUGUGUGCUAAAAUGUCUAGAAUUAAAAAGUUUCAUCCUCCAUUUGCAAAGCCUUCUAUUGCAUGAUACAGUUCCUGCCAAAAUCCAGAUGCAGCAGUGAUUUGAUACUACAAACAACUUAACUAAGAGAAACAGCUCCUUAGCAGUAUCAAGAACAACUGAACAUUUAGUAUUCAUGCCAGACUGCAGAUUUACCAAAAUGAUCUCAUAGCAUUAUACCUAAUCAAUAUUGAACAAGCUAAACGUUUAAAAAAGUUUCCUCGUCUAAUGUAGCUCAGGACAUAGAAAACAAUGCAUGCAAUAAAUCUUAUAGAAUAAUCAGUGGGUAGAAGCAACCUUUUUUGUAGACAAAUCCUUUUUUUUUUUUUGCACUGGCUUCUUCACAGUCGACCCAAACACUUCAUACUUAAUAAAAAGGAAAAUGUUUAACAAUCAAAAGCUGUCCCAUUCCAUUUCCAGUAGCAAAAAAAAUAAAAAUAAUUGUCUAGUUUAUGGAGUAAAUCUUGCACCCGAGUACGUGAACUAUUAACCCAAUACAGGAAAGGUCAACUGCACAUUAAUUAAAGUACUGCAAUUCAAAUAGAACUAACAUGAAACGGGGAUACCUCUAAUCAAAUGCAUAGGGAUCAUCUGCAUAAGGAUUCAGAGAUCCUUCUGAAAACAGAUCACCUAUAUUAGAUGAAUUUGUAUGAACUUGUCCCUUUGUUCCCUAUCAUGAAAUUCCAAUCACAAAUGUCAGCACACAUAACAUAAAAUUAUAUGUGACCGUAAUCACAAGGCAUCUUGCAGUGUACAGAGACAAACUUCAUCACAUACAGUUAAAUUUCUCCUUGUUUCUACUUUACCUUGCUCAGGUUAACCAAUUGCUCUGUUUCAUUGCAUUAAUCUAUUAGUAAUCACAACUUAAUCCUAAAUGAUAUGAAUAAGAGUAACACCAUUUCAAGGUAAGAGAAUUUUGUGACCACGAUUAUUGUCUGUCUAGUACACCCCAUUCAUCAAAAAUAGGCAAAAAUCCUACUUCUUGUUGGGUGAGACAUGACUGACACUCCACAAAAGAUCAAAAGCUAAAACAACCAGCAUGAUGACACUGAGAAGGAAAAUUUAUCCUAGUUCAUUGUUUAAUUACCUUAGUAACAGCUCUAGGUGUAACAACUUUUGGUGUCUCUAGUUUUUUAUGUCUGCCUGGGUCCUGUAGUAAUAGAGACAAUUACACAUAACCAAGAAAUAUACACAUAAAGAAUCGUUCCCCUACGACAAUGCAUACUGAUCAGAAAUCAAAAUUACAUACCGCAAACAUUACAGUACUUUUGGUUUUCCUUUUUUUGUAAUUGUUCUUCCAUUUGCUGUUUCGACUUCAUAUUCAUGAUGAGUGACAUGCUUAAGCAAGGAAAGGAGGUUAGACAAACGGGCACAAAGAGUUGGGCUGAAUUUUCUACGAACACAGAGAGCUUAUCAAUGAUAUUCAGAAGCAUGAACUUAAUUUUCCAUGUCUUUCUUGAGAUAUAGAUUAAAUUGACAAAAAAAGAAAAAAAGGGAGAGCGAGGCAUAGGAAAACUGAUACGGGUCAUGGAUUUCUCUUUCAUUGUAAAAAUAUAGACUGGCAGGCUUUCCUUUUUUUUUUAUUAGUGCUCACUUGGUCGGGUUGGUUAUAAGAAUCGGAUCUUUUCUUGGUCAGCAAGGGUGAGUUUGUCGGAAGCGUUGGAAAGGGAGGCAUCGAGGGACUGAAGCUGGGACUGAAGGUCGGCGAUGAUGGCGUCAAAACAUACGAAUUCCAGGCAAAAAAAAAAAAAGAAGAAAGAAGGAAACUUGUAGCAAGGACUGAAGCUGACUGGACAGAUUACAACGAAGGAAGAGGAAGAGAUCCAAACGAAUGGAAGAAGAUCCGGACAGCUGCAACCAACAGCGAAGAUGGCAUCUCCUUGGGCGGAAAGAAGACAGUGACCGAGCAAAAAAACAGAAAGCUGCACGUCACCGGACAAGGGAAAAAAAUAGGAAUGCCAGGGAAAAAAAAUGAACAGAGGAAACUUGAAGAGAGGAUCGGACCUCACUGGAAAGGAAAAUAAAAGACAAAGAAGAGAGCUUACAACAAAAGAGGAGGAGAGGCCAACGAACGGCACAAGAUCUGUACCGAUGCAGCCGACAGCGAAGGUGGCAGCUCCUUGGCCGGUAAGAAGGCUAUGGGCUUGGGAGAACCGAAUACCAGAGCUCAACAAAAUGUUGCAGCAGGCUCCAGAGCAUGCGGGUAAGUGGCAGAGCAACAUUGUGGGGAGAAGUAAAUGCAGUUGGAGAGAGAAGGGAGCGGGAAGAAAGCAAAUGCAGCAGACGCAUAGAAAGAAGGACGGACGGUCACAUGGGACACUGGCUGGCGAAACCAGAUGGGAAGCUGACGCGCGAUGCGCGAACAACAUGAUACUUCCAAUCCACAUGCCGGGCACGUGAGAGGACGACGAAAGUUUUGGCUGAAUGCUGGUGGGACGUUAUCUACUUAUGUUGAUAAGUAGAUAAAGAGCCGAAGGGCUGUGAUGACCUGGAAGUUUUCGUCGUCCUCUCACGUGCCGCGCAUGUGAUUGAGAGCGUUGUUUUUCUUCGCGCAUCGCGCGGCUCUUCUCCUCUGCUGGUACUCCAUGUGCCUCCUGCUGCGCAUUAAAAGCUUCUUUCUCUAUCUGGUGCUAAUACGUGAUUUUUCUUGCCGCUGCGUUUUCUGUCUGCUUCUUUUGGACAGUGCUUCUCUCUUGCUUAUCCGCCUGCUCUGCGUCCUGGUGCACGAGCCUGCUAAAAUAUCCGGUUCUCUUCAUUCCUUGUUGUUUAGGUUUCGGUGUUCCCAGGUUCGUCGUCACCCACCACUGGUACGGUCCCCGCUCGUUGGCUAGCUUAACUGACCUAGAGCUGUGGCCUUGGGGUCUUUCUUCCUUUCCGGUUAGAUGCAUACUUUGCUGUAACCUUUCUGCUUGAUCCUUCGCCUGAAACUGAUGUUUUUUCCUGUUUUCUUUGUUUCCUUUCUCGAGCCGCCAAAGGCCUGUCAAACCUCUGUCCUUCGCGUUCUCAGGGUUUCGGUUGUCUAGAUCAACCGCCGUUGGCUAAGCUACGUCUCCUCUCCGUCUCCGUCUUCAGGGCAUUCACUCAGGUCAGAAAUGAAAUGGAAUUGGGCAUCUCCCUCUCCGACACCCAGUAUCACAAGUGCCUCAUCUCCCGGAGGUUCUUCAGACCGAGAAUAACCUCGCAACCGGAGGUAUAUUUUCUUCAACUUUCUUCCUUCUCUCAAUAUCUCAAUCUCUCUCUCUCUCUCUCGCUCUUUUUUCUUUUGUUUCAAUUAAUCUGAAUUUCUAUCUACAUUCAACGGAGUAAUAGUGUAUCGUCCUUAAUUGGUGCACAACAUUAGGAAAUCUUGUUCUCUUUUGUUGUUUCCCCUCUUUAAUAAUCGAACCACUUCAAGAAAAAAACCGACCUUGGGAAUUAUUUUGCCCUAAUACCCAUUGUGGGUUUCGUAAAUUUUGGUAAUUUAUUAUAUUUAGCUAUAAGAGAAUUGGGGGUUUUGGUAUAAUUUGUGUAAAAUUCCACAAUUUUUCGGCUAGCAGUUUGGGCUUUAGAAUUGCUGGUUUUGUCUGAAUUUUUUAUCUCUUCUAUAUUUAAUGGAUAUCUGAGGAUCAUUUAGUAUCUGAAACUAAUAAAUCUGCCAACGCUUACAGUCAUGAGUGUAGAGUUAACUAAAUAUGUUAACCUCUUUAUGAAUAACUUUUUAAGGACUUUUAUGCUAAUUCUUCGCAUUCAAAAAGGAGAGAAAUGGAAGAAACAUUAAUUUUCUGGUAUUAGAGACACCUGCGGGAAAGAAGAUGGUAGCAAGUUACUGACCCCAGGUAGUAUGAGAUGAGAUUGUAUUGUAAUUGAGCAGGGUUCACUUAUCAUAAUAGAUUGAAUUUUGUAGUUCUGAACUGAUACAUUGUUCUUUUGAUUGACUGAGUGGCAAUUUGGGAGCCAUGCAGUUUGUUUUUCUUGUUUUUAUUUUCUUAUAAUCCAAACUUGAAAAGGAUUUGUUUUUUCUCUUCCGAGUGAUUGUUUGGUUUUCCAAAGAUUUAAAUUUUCCAGAGAUUGAUUGUUUGGUUUUCCGAAGGUCAAUCUCUUUAACCCAAGAAAAUAAUAAUAUUAAACUGAAAAACAACAAAAAUGUUGUCUUGGGAAACUAUUGUUUAUUUACAUGUCUUGGAAGUUGAAAUUGCCAGAAACAAGAAGCUCACUUUCUCUGAUGGUCAUAUUUCUUCAUCAGGUUGACCAUUGCCAAAUAGAAGAGCUUAGCCACAAGACAUCUCAUAGCAAUAGCACGUCUUAUUGUUGAAAAUUUUGAUUUUAUGGUAGUGUUUGUAGGUUGAGUUAUGACCCAUGAUUUAUGCUCAGGCCCUUAAAAUGGAGAUAUAUAGUGAAGAAAAGUAUAAAAGAUCGGGGUGGCUUCAACAUUUACCUUCAACUAAUUUUCCUUGUGUUUUUCCUUUUUGAAUUCAGCUUUGUGGAAAUUAUGGCUCCUGUUUUCUCGCGGGAUGCUUGGCGAUGUGUUUGGCAUACGAUUCAGGUUCCCUUCUCUAACUUUGUCUUUUGUAUACGUAUGUUUUAAGCCUUGUUGUACCUCCAACUAUUUUUGCUUUUAGCUGCUCUCAUUAGCCUUGGUUCUUUCCAGCUUAGAGCUCACACUGAUUUUUUACUUUCAAUAACAUUCCUAGAAUGAUUUGGUGCAUGGUUGGGGAUUGGAUUUUGCGCUAAGGAGAUGUGUGGAGGUCAGUGGUUUUAUUUGUUUCUUAUCACAAUAUUAUUUGAAAGAUUUAGAAAAGAAGGCUUGUCUACCUGCUUUUCAUAUUCCUGUUGGAAGGAGAGAUCUGCGGGCAGUGGCAUGUAAAACAGAUAAAAUUAGAAAACAUGUAUUUAUUUCAAAUGGAUGUCUGCGUAUUAUCAGUUUCAUUGUAAGUGUAUUUUGCCUGUGUAGCCUGCACAUGAGAAAAUUGAUGUGGUUGACUCUCAGUGGAUAGUUCAUCAAGUUAUUCCUUCUCUGGGAAGUCAGGUCAGUUAACUACUUUAUUACAACCAUCGGGACUUGCUUUUCCUUUUCCUAGAGGUGAUUAAAAUAAUGAAGUUUAGUUGUUUGCAAAUGUUGUUCUGUUCAACUUUAAUUUCCAUUUUUGAGCAAAUGGUUCUUCAUUUAUAAUAUAAGCAACUUUUUAGCAGCAACCCCCUUAUUUACAUUUUUUUCUUCCACGUCAAUUAUCCUACUUGUCCCUUGAUCUGGUUUCCCCUCAUUUAGAUUUGUUUUGUUGAUAAUGAUGCUAACAGCUUCAGCUUCGUUGAUUCUAGGGUCAAUCUGAAAAUGGAAAAGCUCCUUGGCAAGGGGUAUGUAAGCUGUUACUUGUUCGGUUUCCAUUUCAACCUUUCUGUAUAUUUUUUUACUGAGGCCUUUUCUUUGUCCUUCAUUUUUUUUGCAAAAGUCAACUCUGAAAGCUUCUUCAUCCAAUUUUAUGGUAAUCUGAGUUAUUCUAUAUCACCUACAUUCUAACAAUCAUGUUUAAAUUAGGAUUCAUAGGUCUUAUAUCUGCACUCUGUUUGAAUUGCAUGAUUUUGCAUUGAACUGAAUUUCAUUAGAUUUGUCCAAACGUCAAGUAACUAGCUUGAAUUCUUUUCUAUCUAAUUUGGUAGGUAAGAGAGAGAUGCAGAAGUGAGUGGGCGCAGUUUCAAGAUCGCCUAGCCAAUGCAGAUAAGAAAUAUAUUGAACAGCUUGGGAGUACUUACCUACUUUCUGUUUAAUAUUCCACUAUUAAGUUGCGAAUUUGGAGACAGAAUUUCUGUUAUAUGCCAAAUUUCUAAUAUUCUGGGUAUCUCUUUUGCAGGAACGAGGUAUUUGAACAACAGAAAGUUUUGUAUCCUUUUAAGUUUUCUUGCAUUUGGGUAUUGAUACUAUUCACCUUUAUUGCUCUGACUCCUACUUCUUUGCACAAGUUCCCUUUGACCUGCAAUGCUUCUUUACUUUUUUUUCUCUUAACUUCUUGUAGCUCUGAUUGGAAAAGAAAUAUAGAGACAUUGGAGAAAAAUAGUGUAACCAGUCUGAGGACAUUGAUCAAUCUUGGUUCUGAAGUGUACAUGCAAGCUGAUGUGUAUGUCUCUUCAUACCAUAUCAAUGUCAUUUUACUUGGUUGUUCAUAGGAUUAGUAUACAUUUGAAGCGUUUAUCAAGAUAUGAAAGAAUUCAUUUCUCUUUUGUUUGAGGUGUGUGUGAUUUAUUAUAACUCUAUAUGUUUGUGUCUGCCUAUGCACUGAAAAAAAAAAAGAAAGUAUAUGGUACCUUAGUUGUUCCAAGUAUGUCUUCAGCUAUGGUGAACAAAGUGUUGUAGGUUCUUUGGGCUACGAGCUUGGGUUUUGGUAGUCUCAGUACCAGAUGGAAUCAUGUCAGAUUGAUAUAGGGUGCAAGAGAAGUGUUCUUUACUUGAUGUGAUGGUGCUUACUGUAAACAAAUAUGAGAGAUAAUUGCAGAAACAAGGCAAAAACAAUCAAUUAUGGGGACAGUUCAAAACUUUAACAGCUUACGAAUAAGCGAUCGAACCUGAAUUUAUCUUUCCUGAUUUCCAAUUUUCAACUCUAGAUAUUCCCCAGGCAAUCACGACCUUCAAGCUUCUCUUCAUAACUAUGCGUCUUUAGGAAACAUCUGUUUUUUUGAACUUGAUAAGUGGAGCCGAUCCAUGUAUUCUUAAGGUAGCUAUGUCAAUGAUUGAGUUGGAAUAGAACAAACAAAAGAGAAUGAUUUAUAAUGUCAAUGUAUCCAUGAAUGAUUUAUAAGCCUAUGUGCUUGAUUUAUCAACUCUAGAUAUAUUGAGUGAUUGAGUUGGAUCUAUUACAAUUAUCUAUUGAUUGAAUACCUUGACCUUUUUGCCAAAAUCUGUCUCAAAACUGAUUUUGAUUUGUAGCUAUGGUACAUUUGCUACUUGAGGUUGUGAUGGUUAUGUUGAUGUGUGGGAUGGAAACAAUAAAAAAAAGGCUGUAUCAGUUAUUUUUCCUUAACUGAAUUUGAAAUGGCUUCCGCUCCAUGACGACAUUUGUCAGUUUUUUAUCAUACUUGUUAUAUUUGUCAAAACAAGGGUUCUUUUUUUUUUUUUGUUUUUUGCCUUUGAAUUUGAGAUUAUGAUUUCUUCGUUAUACUAACUUAUUCUAUUGUUCGUGGAAAUUUAUUAUUUUGGCUCAUUUUUCUGAAAGUGAUCAAUUGGAAUGCUAAAGCAAGAUGAAUUGUAUUAGAGAUUUCUUUUUGUUUCAGACUUUGACAAAUGCUGUUUUAUAUCCUGUAAAUGAUGUUCUUCUGUGUUUGGUUCUUUCUGCGAGAUGUUACUUUUGCUUCGGUGCAUUGUGUAUAAAGGCAUCUUCAUAAGUUACUUGUGUGAGUGCUGUUUUGAAUGAUUACACUUAUUCUUCUUGAAUGAUUUUGAAUGCUUUUGACUGAAUAAAUAGUGUAUGCAGACUAGGAAUUCAUUGGUUAUUUAUGCCUAUGCAUUUUAUGAUUAUGCUUCUGAUUUUUUGCUGCAGAAUGCUGAACUGACUGCUCAUGUGGCUAAGCAGUAAAGAGGAAGGAAUCUGCUGUCCUAUGUUAGGCAUUGUCGUUUGAUUAUGAGUGCAGUUUCAUUGGAUGUUUUUUAGUUAAUGUGUAUUAUGUAGUUAUAGUUGUUAGAGGACUCAAGCACAGAAAUUCUGUAAUAGCUAGGUUGUUGCCAUUUCAGUUUGUUGCCAUUCUGUAACAGCUAGGUAUGUAUUGAUCAUAUAAUUUCUGAAGCAUUCUUGAUGGGAGAGAAAGACUUUGGGGUAAAGAAUCAAGAAAUCAUAUAGAGAACAAAGUUGAAAUUAAUGUAAGACGAGACCAUACAGCUUUCCUAAGAUUGAUUCUUUAUUUGGUUCAUUAUUUCUGAAAUAAGUUCAAUUCUUUGGCCACCUUUUUUUUGCACAUUACUUUUUCAUUUUUUUGUGUUCAUCCUAGAUUAGAUUAAUAGUUUAAAUAUACUUUCGACAGUAAUUAAUUUAUAAUCAGUUCCACAAUUUAGGUCUUGGUUUUCUUUUUAUGACGUUUGUAUAAUAACCUAUAAAAAUGUUGGGUAUAUCAUAAUUGUUAGUGUCUAAAACAAAAUGACUUCUUAUACACGCAACAAUUAAUGUCAUUCUUAUAUACAAAACAAGUAAUGUCAUUUUUAGUGUGAAGUGUCUUAUUGAAUUUCACUUUUGUGUAUUUCAAGCAUCUCUGGCCUCCAAAGACGAAAAUUCGCUGAGAAGAUGAGCAACAACCAUGAUGAAAGGAUUAUUUUACUACCAUUACUUCCUUACAAGGACUAAGGACAAUUCAUGAGGUCCUAGAAUCCGGUAUUUAUUACUACCACUAUAUAUAUAUUUUUUGCUUAGACGGUAUUUAUUAUGGCUGAUAUGGUUUCUUUUGUUACUUUAUAAACAGAUCAUGAAAUCUCAGAAUCAGUUCUCCAUCGUAUUGUCUCAUCUAUGAAUCCAUUCCUAAAACAUGACUGGACUACAUUCAAUUGCUUCUAUCAAUUUUAUCUAUCAAAGCUGGUAUAGUUUUGCAUUCUCUAACCUUAUUAACUCUCUUUCUUUUGUACAUAUGUGUAUUUACUUAUCACAAUUUUUUUUCAUACAUUUAUAGGAUCUGCCAGAAUUUGCGAAUCUAAGGCUAAAUGAAGAUAGUACGCUGACUAUAACUCUUAUGAAUGGUCAUAAAUAUUAUCAUGUUGGUAUGACCGAUAGAUGUUUUGAUCAAAACUGAAACCGUUUUUUUAUUGAUCAUGAUCUAAACAAUGGCCAGAUAUUGCUUUUUAUUCCACAAUCCAAGACUCCCUUUGCUGUGCUGGUGUUUGACCGCAAAGGAAUAGAGAAGUUGUUUCCAUGGCAGUUUGCAUUUUCCAUUUGAUGGCACAUCUGAUUUACGCUGAUUCUGCUUCAACGCAAUGCACGGCAUUUGUUGUAUUUAUGUUCUUAAUGGAAAAAAGUUCUGGUUAGAAAAAUGCUUCCAAAGCACUGCAAAUUUAAUGUUUAGCAAGUUCCUACUGUUGUUUAACGAUUGAAGCUUUCAUAAUGGAUGUUCCAACGGCAUUACUUAUUAAACUUUGAUGUUUAGCAAUAAAGUUGAUCCUACCUUUGGUUACAAAAAACAAAUGGCUGGUAUAUAUUAAAUUUAGAAAAAUGCUCCAUUAAAUUUGCAUUAACAAAACUUCAGAGUUUGGAAGUUCCUAUUAAAAAUUUAGAAAUUUAAAUUUGCAUUUCAGACUUUGGAAGUUUAGCAAAGUUUAGCAAAUUUAGAAAUUCAGGCUUUGGAAGUUCCAAAGCACUUCCAUUAAAUUUAGAAAUUUAGCAACUUCCAUGAAAGUUCGUAGCCAAGAAAUAUCAACAAACCUUCAGACUCAUGGUAUAUAUAUACUAAAAAAUGUACAUUUCUAAAUAAAAUGUUAUUUUUAUUACUUCAGAAAUGGAAUGGGCAUUUUACAUUACUAUCGCGCGAAGCGCGUUAUUGCCUCCUAGUUCACAAAGAAUUGGACAAAAUUGAAAGUGUGCCAUAUAAAAAUAUGGGAUAAUUUCACAAACCUCCCCUGAGGUUUCUGACGCUUGCACUGAGACCCCUCCAGGUUUUAAAUAUUUCAGCUAGCUCCCCUGGCAGAGUAUUGGGGUCCAUUGCUGACAUGAAUAGUGCUGAAAUUACCAAAUUAUCCUUAGAGGUUGGUUAGAUGACUAACGGUAACUUGGAUGACAAAUGCAUCUUGACAUUGGUAAUUACAUCUUCAAAUGUCCAGCCAUCUUUAGUCUGGCAUUCGGAUCAAAGUUGUUGUGUCGUCCUUUAUUUUAUGAUUUUUAUCCAAUCCAAAUCUCUCACCCAGCAGCACAAAGCAAAAUUUGAUGGGUUGAGUCGUGCAAAGCUUUGAUGAUUGACUUUGAUUUUUCUUUUUUCAGCUAAUUUAUUUGCAUCAUUGAAGCAGGGGAUUUUUAUUAACGCUACCAAGUUGGCACUACAUUCUUGACCCAAUAUAUAAGGUCAGAAGCAAAGCCGAAUUUGAUAGAUAAAUACUAUUUUGGAAGAAUUACAAUUUUGGCUCCGAAUAUUUGGAACGUGAACGCUUUUAGUUACUAAAUUUUGGAUGAAAAUAAAUAUAGUUCCAAAUAUUUUAGUUUCAUGCAUAUUUAGUUCUAAUAAACUGAUUUUUAUCGAAUGCUACUGUCAAAAUCGAGUCAUGUGCCAGCAAUUAAUUAUUUUUAAAAAUUUAAAAAAAAAUACUUCUAGCCAGUAACUAUAAUAAAUUAUGACUAAUUUCUCAUAUGAUGGUCAUGUGAAUAAUUUUUAAGUUUUUACUACAAAUUUUGGCCAGCAAUUUUUUUUCAAGUUUUUUAAUUCCUUUUAAAAUAAAAAUUAUUUGUUGAUACUUUAUAGCACGUCACCGUCACCGAAUCCUUGUAGCAAUCCGUAAGAGUCAUUGCACAAAUUCACAAUGAGGAUUGUAGCAAUCCGUAAGAGCUGUUGCACAAAUUCACCGUAAGAGUCCUUGUAGCAAUCCUUUAGAGUCAUUGCACAAAUUAUUUGUCGAUGGUGGAUCAAGGGGCCAUGCAUAAGAUCUGAUAAAUGUUUUCACUAUAGCCUUCUGUUAAUGCUCCUGCAAAACAAUGAGGAUAUACUCUUCCUCCUCACAAUCUUUUGGCUUGAGGAUAUACUUUGCACUUCUGAUGUUUAUAUGCAGUUGGAGGUAUACAAAAUCUGGCCAUUAGAAGAUUGCAAGUUGCCGUUGGCUCUUCCUGUUAACAUACUGAAGAUGUCUCCAUGUACUGCAUCAAAAUUUCUGAAUUGCAUUUAUAUCCUCUCAACUUUGAUAAUCAUCUCAAUCUUUUUAAUAACUUGCAAUCUUGUACUAAUAUAAAGAGGAAGAGGGUAUUCAUGGAAUAAAAAUGUCAUCUCUAUCAUGAUAGUAAUAUUUUAAUCCUAAUUGGACUGAAUUGUUACCAAAAUUUGAAAAGCAAGGGAGCUAGGUGAAAUUUUUAAAACCUAGAGGGGUCUCAGUGUAAGUGUCAGAAAUCUCAGGGGAGGUUUGUGAAAUUAUCCCUAAAAAUAUUGUCAAAUGAAUGCUCCAAAUCAACCCAAUCGCUUGCGGCAAAUCCAGACCAUGAACUGUUGUCUUGCCAGGUGUGAAUGUAGCAGUAGACCCCACCUCUCAUUUCUUCCCGCGCGACUGGUGCCACCGCUGUCAAUUUUUUUUUUCUCUGAGACGCGAUAAUUAUAGAGUGUAUCCUAAUCUAUUCUAAAUUAGGUAGAGGGAUGGACCUGAAGAGAUAAGAAGCAAUCAAAGGAAAUUAAACCAUCACCAAAUCAAAUUGAUAUAUUGUAUGAAUUUUUUGAAACAAAUUUAUAUUAACCUCCUAUCCCAUCAACAGUUAAAGGCUUGAUGGUGGCCACCAAUGCUGCCAUCAUUUGUCUUGUUAUUGGGGCCUAUACAUACGGAAUAUAGGGAUAUUUUCCAAAAUCUCCUCUAAGAUUUUGUUUAAUAUUACUUGAUUCUAAAAUCAUAUCUUUAUAACAAACUCAUCCCUACACCAUGAAAAUAUUCUUAAAAUAAUUAUUUAAAAAGAGAGAUACAGAGUGAGAUUUAUUUUUGUUCCAAUUUUAUCCCUUUAUGUUGUCUUAUCUUGAAAUUUUAACCAAAUUAAUUUCUAACAUAUAUUUGCAUGGGAGAACUAAACAAGAUUAGAAUAGAGUGUUAAGUGCUACAAUAAAUGAUAGAAUAGUAUUUUCUUUCUAUUUUUGGCUUUUUCUUUUUUUUCCCUUAUAUAAUUGUUAGAAUAACCAAAGAAACUUUAAUUAAAAACUAGCAUGUGAAAACUAAAAAUGUGGCAAGAAGAGAUGUUUGCAUACAACAAUUAUUAGAUUACACUUUUUUUUUAUAAAUUUAGAUUUAUUAUCUUCCUUUUUUUGCAUAUAUGAUGGUUAGCAUAAUUAGGAUAAUUUGAUAUAAGGUUGACAUAGAAAGACCAAAAGUCAAGGGAGGGGGUAUGUUUAGGGAAAAAUAAUAAUUAGAAUCACCAAAAUCUUAUAGAUUUUAUUUUUUUUUCCGAACUCUUUUUUGCAUAAAGUUUUUUAAAAAAAAAAAAUAGUGAGAGCAAAUAUAGAAUUGGCAUAAAAAGACAAAAGUAGGGGAGAUGUUAAGCAUUUUCACUUCCCAACUUUUUUCCCGUAACAUAGUAAGGGUGAUUUAAUAUAAAAUUCAUAUAGAGGGUAUCGAAAUUUGGAAGAAUAAGGGUGAUUAAAUUCAAAUAUAAUUAUUCGAGUAGUUGUUGUCUUGAUAGACUUAAUUUUUUUGUUACAUAUGCUAUUUGCUUAAAUAGUUAUUAUACUAUCAAAGACAAUUUAAUAAUUGGUUGACAUAAAAAGAUUAAAUAACUAAAAUUCUUUAAGUGCAAAAAUGAAAAAUGGUUAAAAUAGCCAUUGCAAUUUGGUUUUCUCUUUCGUAUUUGUUUGCCUAAAGAAUGAUUAAACUAGUAAGAAUAAUUUUGUCAAUUUAUAUGCAGUUAGGAUGAUUAGAAGUCUCAUUUACCAACAAGGGAGGUAAAUGAUAUUUCUGAAACUUUAAGGAUACUAAAGUGAAAUUAGGUAAAACCUCAAGGGAGGUCUCUGAAAUUAUUCCAAUUUUCAAAAGUCGUUCUAUCUUUUCUACCCAACUCUUCCAUCCUUUGGUUACAAUUUCAAACCCUGCCUGACAACUUCUCCUAGCCGGCAUUUCCACAACCCCCUCCUGCAACUUUUUCCCAAGUAAACGAGGAGUGUAUGAUGAAUUUGACAAAAGAUCUAUUCUCACUUUACAGUGAAAGCAAAGUCAUCUUUGAUGGGCAGGCUUCCCAAAUCCCCUCUUCGCAACUCAAGCUCCAGUUCCAAGACAUCUUAUUCAACCCCAAGUACCCCAUUGGUGCGGAUCAAUUCUUGAAGAGUUCGAACAAUUCAGUUUCUCCAUCAGCUUCCAUAACAGACAGCUCCUGCAUGACAUUGCAUUACGAAGACUAUAAGGGCCAUCACAAGGUCUUCAGUGAAGAAGAUAUAAAGACUCUUAGGCGCAUUUCAGAAAUAUUGACCUCCAGAAACGAAUUGGCGGAUUGUGUUCAGAUGUAUGUCGAGCGUCGAAAGGACGCGGUCAACACGGUAUUUAUGAGACUGCGUGAGAAAUUGAAUGUACAAACCGUCUGUCAUUUUAAUUGCUUGGAUGAGUUGAGUGACAAAAUCAAUGGAUGGAUGCAAAUAGCCAAGUUUUGCAUAGCCACCAUUUUUAAAUUAGAAAAGUGUUUUUAUGAGCAAAUAUUUGGAGACCUGGGAACAUCUGAGGACACUGCUGCUAACGGCCGUUUUGUGUCCAUAGUAGUAGGAGCUGCGGCCGAGUUGUUUGAGUUUCCAGACUCUCUAUUAGCCAGCCGCCGAUUGCCCCAGAGACCAGACAUUUUGAUGCCCUUUUGUCAAGAACUCACCAAUCUAGUUCCACAAGUGAUUGUAUAUUUUGACCAAGAUGUACAACCGGCGAAAGCUAUCUGCGGCCUUGCCACUGAGAUUUUGCUCCGACUGAAACAGCAAAUGACAAAGAUCCUUUCUGUUACAGAGAAACAUGUUCUUCGUGAGCUUUCGACGAUGCCAUUUCCUGGGGGAGGAAUUCACCCCUUAACUAGACACAUAAUUCGUCACAUUGACCUGAUUUAUGUUCACAGGAAAUCCUUAAUUGACUUGGUGGCUAGACCCCAAAGCUCCAAUGAUCGAGAUCCUCCUGAAGUAGUGGGUUCACAUGAAAUGGAUGAAAGGCCAAUUUCCAUAGAGAGCCAUCUAACUCGAGUCAUCGAGUUUUUACUGUAUAACUUGAAAUUCAAGUCCAACUUCUAUGGACAAGAAUCUCUGGGUUUUUUGUUCAUGAUGAACAAUGUUAACUCUGUUUCUGAGAUGAUUAAAAGUUCCGAGGAGUUGGGAGAACUUAUUGGCACUCGCCUGCGGAUGAAAUUAAGUGAAAAAGUGGAGCUGGCAAGGGCUGAUUAUCUCCAUACAAGUUGGGGCGAAGUCUGCGAUUUUUUGAAAGGUAAAGGAUUAAAAUCAGAUUUAAAUUUUGAUUUCUUUCCUGGAAGGUCUACGAGAGCUGUGAAAAAGAAGUUUAGGACCUUCAAUCGUAUGUUUGAAGAUAUACUUCAGACUCAAGAAGGAUGGAUGGUACCAGAUCAGCAGCUGCGGAUGAAACUUCUUGAAUGCAUAAUGGUUAAGCUGAUUCCGGCCUACAAUCAAUUUCUUGAGCAGUUGAGCCGAGUUCACAAAGUGAAGAAUCUGAAUGGGUACAUAACAUAUUCUGUCAAGGACUUGGAGACCAAGGUGCUAACUAUGUUUCAGAGUGAGUAUUGAAGACUGAAGAGUUGGUUAUUUAUCCUUCAAUUCUAUUAGAUGUCAAUUUGAACAGGUUAUACGCACUAGCUGUUGCAAUGUAACUCUCUCCAAAUGAAAAUUACUUUCUCCAAAUGAAAAUUUGGAGAAUCCUUAAAUCGUGUGUACUGUGUAAGAAUGAGGAUCCGCUAUAUGUCUUUGUAGUAACAGAAGUCGCAAGGAAAGUUGAGGAUACGAAGAUGGUGCAGGCAUUAGAGGAAAGUGUAGGGGAAGAAAUGAAAAGAAAAGAAAAGAAAAGAAAAGAAAAGAGCGGAAGCAAAGAUAAAUCAGAUAAAAAGAAACAAAACAAACAAAAGAGCUUGAAAGUAAUGAUAUGAAGUUUAAGUAUCCUUGAAGUUAUUAAUGUGUAUAUUGAAGAAAAAUGAGUAGCUAGAUUACAUGAAAGUGAAGGAGAGAGUUUGUCAGGUGAUUCAAUACCCUACUCCUUUGAGUGAAGUACAGGAAACGCCUUUGAGUUAGGAAUUUGAAGGCGCUGCUUCUGUGUCACAUCUACUUCACGCGUUUGAGCGAGGCAUCUACUCAUAGCCGGAAUCUAAAGGCAAAGCUUCCCUGAGCUUAAAAGUCAUGCCCAUACCAGGAUGCUCCUGUAUUUCUUAAGGUUCAGCAGUUUGCGUGCAUAAAGAUUAGCGUUAGUCACAGUUUUCCUGGGGGUAAUCACGCUUUCCGUUGCUCUACUCCAUUGUCUUCUUACUUUGCUUUGCUCUAUUCCAUCGUCUUCAUUUCGUGUGGCCAAAAUGCCCUACCAGCAUACCUUUUGGCAAGUACGUUUUACGCUUUUAAUGUUUAUGACGGUACGUAUUGUUACUUCGAAGAUGCCUUAUUGGAACAGGUGCUAUCUUGGCAUCGUCUCCCUGUGCUCUUAUAAUCACCUAAACAAAAUACAAAAUACGACUAAAAGAAUUAAGUGACAAAGAUAAAGAAACUUUACAAUCGCCUCCUAUUUUUCCUCUUCUUCACAUAUAAAGUUAAUCCUAGAUCCAUACUAAUCGAUUUGGAAUCCAGUGUUAUGUUUAACUUAGUAUAGCAUUAUUGUUGAAUUUAAAUCUAUUUUUCAAAUACAAUGCUACAUUAACAAACUUCCAAAAAAAAAAAAUUCAAAUACAAAGCUGCGUCAAUGAACUUCAAAAAAAAAUUAUUUUUCAAAUAUAAUGCUACAUUAACACACUCUAAAAAUUCAACGCUACAUUAAUACACUCCAAAAAAAAUCCUACUUUCUAGAUGUAAUGCUAUAUUUACACAAUCUAAAAAAGGUAUCUCAAUAAUACUUCAAAUACAAUUUCAAUACACUUGACAAAAACACACAAGAAAUAAAAAAUAAAAUAAAUUCUAUCACCUCUUUUUUUCUCCACCCACCACCCAUCUCCUCCUCUUUCCUCCACCCCCGUUAUUGUCCCUUGCUCCUCCCUCUUCCCUUCUCGUUUUUCUCUAUUUUUUCCUUCUUCUUUCUCUAUUUCUUCCUCUACCUCCCUGCUUUUUCCUCCCUCUUCCUUUUCCUCUAGGACCUUCCUUCUCCUUUUUCUGCCUUAUUCCUUUUCCCUUUCCUUAUCAUUCCAUCCUUUUCCUUCUCCUACAACCUCCUUCCCUUUCCCCCUCUCCUCCUCUCACUUAAGGGUCUACGAGAAAAGGAGGAAGGGGGGAGGAGAAUUGGGGGAAAGGGAGGAGCGAAGAGAAGAGGGGAUGAAGAAAGGGGAGAGGGGUUGCAGGAGAAAGGGGAAGGGAUGGGAUGAGCGCUGCCAGUGAAGGAAGUAGGAGAGAAAGAAGGGAAGGUAGAGAAAUGAGAUGAAGAGAGGGAGUUAAAAAAGAAGGUGGAAGGGAUGGGAAGAGGGCUACGGAGAAGUAAAAAGGAGAGAGAGAAGGGAAGGAGAAGGAAUGAGAUGAAGGGAGAGGGAUAAAAAAGAAUGGGGAAGAGAGGGAAGGGAAGAAGGGAAGAGGGGUGAGAAGGAAGAGUGAAGAGGAGAAAGUAGGAGGAUGAAGGGAGAAGAGAGGAGUGAUGGUGCUGAUAGAGG